rnacentral:lncRNA from 1 species
UAUUUAGUAGCAACAUUCCACAAUAACUCCUAAGGCAUUUGGCGGGGUUUUUUUUUGUUUCUUAUAAAAGUUUGCUCGAAGUAUCUUAGUUGAUUGUGUGCCUAAUGAAAUAUUUGAAUCAAUGCAGAGAAAGAUGUCAGCCUAUAAAAUGGCACAUGACAUAGAAAACCAGUUGGAUAACUUGUCUAAAACUGUCCCCUUGGCGGUGUAUCUAUAGAGUUCCUGAGCGACUACGGCAAGUGAAUGAGAAAGCAUAUACACCUCAAAUAGUCUCUAUAGGCCCAUUUCACCAUGGCAACGGACCCUUAAAAGCCAUGGAAGAGCACAAACUAAGGUACCUGAAACAUUUUCUAAGUAAAACCGGGGUAAGAUUGUCUGAUUGUAUACAAUGGAUACAGGAGCAAGAGGAAAGGUUGCGAGGUUUUUAUGCAGAACCCAUUGUGUUUGACAAGGAUGAAUUUGUAAGAAUUGUUUCAGUGGAUGCCGCCUUCGUCAUUGAUUUAUUAUUGAGGUUUCAUUACUCAAAUUAUGGAGAGGAAGGUGAUUACAUAUUCAGAAACCCUACGAUGAAAGAGGAUGUGGUUCGAGAUUUGAAGUUGCUUGAAAACCAGCUGCCAUUCUUCAUUCUUCAAGAUCUUUUCACAUUUUUUCCUUCUUCACCUGAGCAUCCUUCGUUACUUAAAAUUUCCUACUUUGUCUUCCAAAGUGAAAUCGAUAGCAAGGGAGAAAAAGAGAAAUUUGACGAGAUAGUUUCUUCUGGAGUAGAAGAGAGAAGUUCUUCUGGAGUAGAAGUAAAACAUUUUGUUGAUCUGAUAAGAAUUCUAUACCUACAAAAGAAACCCGAAACUACAGACACACCCAAAACCACUUUGUGCGACCGGAUGCCAGUGCGCUUAUCUCACUCAAUCUUUCUGACGUCUGGGUAUACACCCAUCACCACAGACAACCCCAACACCACAGCCACUCCCAAGUUGACAGAGCUACACCAGGCUGGAGUCAAGUUUAAGGUAGGAAAAGACAGCAGCUUAAUUGACAUAAAGUUUUGGGUCAACAUUAUUAAUAAUGGUUGUAUAUCUUCAACUAAAUUAAAAUGGCUCGAUGAACGGGUGCUUUAAUGCCUAUAAAUACCUAUUGUAGCAUAAUGUUUCACACAAAUUUCAGAAAUUUAUUUUUACAGUACUUGCUCUCUUUUCUCUCCAUCACAUUCAUACAAUUUCUUUCUAUUUAUUUCUAAGGUAAUACAAUUCGGUUUUGCUAAUCGAAUAUUCCAUACUUUGUUGUAUCAUUGUAGUGACUUGCCAAGAACCCUUUAGCAAACUCAUUUGAGUGGGGGCAAAUAACAAUUUAAGAAAACAAUUCAAGUUGUACCUCAAAGUCAUCAUUCGGAUUAUUCUAUAUAUUUCUACUUUUACUCUAAUAAUCUUAAAGUGUUACUUUCGUAACAAAUCUGAUAACAUGGCUUUGAAGAUUAUCAAUCAAGAUGUCUACAAGUUAAACAAAUUUGAUGGAUCCAAUUUCACUCGAUGGAAUGACAAGAUGCGUUUCAUGCUUACUGUUCUAAAUGUCAUAUAUGUGUUGGACCCGAAAUUGGAGCCGAUUCAUGAACCAAGUGACAAAGACUUGGACAAAAUAGUUGCCGAUCAAAAGAAGUGUGAAGAAGAUGAAUUGGUAUAUGGAGGACACAUCUUGGGCACAUUAUCUGAUCGCUUAUAUGACAUGUACGCACACAUUCAAUCUCCAAAGGAAAUUUGGGAAACAUUUGAACACAAGUUCACAACGGAGAAAAUAGGUACCAAUAAAUUUUUAAUGUUCAAACUAAGUAUUAAUAAUAAAGUGAAUUCUUCUGCUUAUAUUGUUGAAUCUUCCUUUCAUUUAUGGCAUUUACGUUUACCACAUAUAAAUUUUAGAUCUUUAAAAUACAUGCACACACUUGGUUUAAUUGCUUGCAAUGAUGAUUAUAAUGAUAAAUGUGAAACGUGUAUUCAAGCGAAAAUGACUAAUAAACCUUUUCCAACUGCCGAAAGAAAUACAAAUUUAUUAGACUUAAUACAUUCUGAUAUAUGUGAAUUCAAUGGUAUUUUAACAAGAGGAGGAAAAAGAUAUUUUAUCACAUUUAUAGAUGAUUGUUCUAAGUUCACUUAUGUUUAUUUAUUGUCUAAUAAAGAUGAAGUUUUUGAGUGUUUUAAGCACUAUAAAGCUGAAAUUGAAAACCAAAAAGGAAGGAAAAUUAAAUGUCUUUGUAGUGAUAGAGGUGGUGAAUAUUUUUCACGUAAAUUUGAUAUUUUUUGUGAAGAGCAUGGUGUUAUACAUCAAAGAUCUGCACCCUAUACACCACAACAAAUGAUUUGGCAAAAAGAAAAAAUAGGACACUCACUGAAAUGAUUAAUUCUAUGAUGAUUAAUGCUAAUACUCCAAAAUAUUUAUGGGGUAAAACAUUGUUUACUGCAUGCCAUAUACAUUAUAGAAUUACAUCUACAAAGACACAUGUAUCACCAUAUGAAAUUUGGAAGGGAAGAAAACCAAAUUUGUCAUAUUUGAGAGUAUGGGGUUGUAUAGCUUUUUAUAAGGCACUCGAUCCUAAGAGAUCCAAGUUGGGUCCAAGAGGAAUUAAAAACAUAUUUGUAGGAUAUGCAGAAAAUUCAAAGGCAUAGUUGCUUAAUUUAGACUCAAAUACAAUAAUUGAGUCUAGAGAUGUUGAAUUUAUAAAAAAUAAAUUUUAUAACGACUACUCAGUGUUUGGAAAAGAGUGAUCAAACACCUUUCUCUAAUCCGUCAACUAGUCAUUCUCAAGGUGAGAAAAGAAAACAGUCUCAAAUUGUUAAUGAACCAAGGAAAAACCAAAGAGUAAGAAAAGAAAAGACUCUAGGCUCUGAUUUUAUUUCGUCUCAAUCUAUUGUAUUUUUAGUCGAAGAAAAUAUAACAAAGGUUCUUAAGAAAAUACCCAUAUUAUUGAAUGUUGAGGAUGAUCCUAAAAUUCUAAGCGAAGCAUUGACUUCAAGAGAUGCAGCCUUUUGGAAAUAGGCUAUAAAUGAUGAAUUUGAAUCAUUAAUAUCUAAGGGGCUCUUAGGGUGCGUUUGUUGCAUCGAACUAUCUCGGACUAGACUAACUUCACGGACUAAGCUGGACUGAUUUAAUGAAGCGUUUGAUGCAGUGUCGGACUAAGAAGCAGGAUAACUAUUAAAUUUAGAUACUAUAUUUUGAUCAUACUUGUUUGUACCAUACUUGACCAAUCCCAAAACUACUGAGCACCGGUCAACGUUAUACCAUCAAGGACCCAGAAGAGCUUCCCUUCAACCAGGAGGCCAAUCACAACGCGACACGUGUCGACAUCAGAAGCCAAUCACAGCACGACACGUGUCAACAUCAUAAGCCAAUCACAACAUGACACGUGUCAAUGUUAGAACAAAACUAAAAACUCUCUUCUAUAAAUAGGGAUCAUUCUCCCACAAUAAUCUCUAAUUUUAUUUUGUACUAAACUAUUCACUAGAACUCAUAAAAGGAGAAGAGCUUGAACCUAUGUAUUUGUGUAAACCCUUCACAAUUAAUGAGAACUCCUCUACUCCGUGGACGUAGCCAAUCUGGGUGAACCACGUACAUCUUGUGUUUGCUUGUCCCUAUUCAUUUACGUACUUAUCUUCACUAGUGAUCGAAGCAACCAAGCGAAGGUUACAAACCUGACACUUUCUGUUGUACCAAAGUCCUCGCUGGUUUUGUGCAUCAACAUUUGGCGCCGUCUGUGGGAACGACACUUAUUCCCACUCUCUUCAGCUUUGUCAAGCUGGUUUCCACCGCUCGUACACUCUCUUUUGGCCAAGCAUCUCUCUCCGACAUGGGGAGCGAAAGAAGCCAUAGCACACAGAAUGACACCCCCCUUGGACCUAGUAUGAAGCAACGAAAGCAGGAAGAAAAUAGAGUUACUCUUCAAGCUAAAGUCGAUGAGCUAGAGAUUCAGAAUAACAAGAUAGCGAUGAAGAAUGAGGUCCUCCAGGAACAAUAUGAAAAACUUUUCGAGAUGCUUCACGAGGCUAGGCAUGCUUGUUCUAUCGACAUCUUCCCGACAUGGACGAUGUUCUUUGACGAAUCUGCACGAGCGGACGGAGCAGGGGCAAGAGUAGUAUUCAUGUCGCCAUAAAGGCAAAUACUACCUUAUUCCUUCCAACUAAGCGAAUUAUGCUCCAACAACGUCGCUGAGUACCAAGCACUGAUCAUCGAGCUCCAAAUGGCGAUCAACAUAAAAAUCACAACCCUCGAGGUAUAUGGCGACUCUAAGCUCAUAAUCAAUCAACUUUUGACUGAAUAUGAAGUGAGGAAAGAUGAUCUUGUCCCAUACUUCCGGCUGGCAACUCAAUUGCUACAAAGGUUUGAGGCUGUAACACUAGAACAUAUGCCAAGAAAAGAAAAUCAAAUGGCAGAUGCUCUUGCCAACCUAGCCUCAAGCAUGCCAUUAGGAGAAGACGAAGCUGCAGACGUGCCAGCGUGCCAAAGAUGGGUGAUCCCCCUCAUCACUGAAAUGCUACUGGAUGAUACAAAUGUCAUCUCAGUACUUCUAGUCAAUGUUGAGGAGUGGAGACAACCUCUAAUCGACUACUUAAAGCAUGGAAAACUUCCAGAUGAUCUUAGACACCGCUCUGAAAUACGUCGACGAGCACCUCGCUUCCUCUACCACAAAGAAACACUCUACCGACGCUCUUUUUUUAAUGAGUACUUAUGAGAUGCCUAGGUGAGGAAGAAGCCAAUCAAACCAGGGAAGAAGCACAUUCAGGUGUAUGCGGGGGCAUUAAUCUUGACCAAAGCUACAUUUCCAGCUCAAAAGAAUGGGUUACUACUGACCAAGCAUGGUGAAGGACUGCCUAGAACAUGCCAAAAGGUGCCAAGCCUGCUAAUUCCAUCCCAACUUCAUACAUCAACCACCUGAGCCAUUACACCCUACAGCUGUUUCAUGGCCAUUCGAUGCAUGGGGAUUGGACGUCGUAAAACCGAUUACUCCAAAGUCAUCUGCAGUAGAAGCUUACAUCCUAGCUGCAACAGAUUACUUCUCCAAGUGGGUUGAAGCAAUACCCCUAAGGGAAGUAAAGAAGGAAAUUGUCGUCCGUUUCAUCAAAGAGCAUAUCAUCCACCGAUAUGGUGUGCCUCGCUACAUCAUCACUAACAACGGAAAACAAUUCUCCAACCGACUUGUGGAUGAGCUCUGUGAGAAAUACAAGUUCAAGCAGCACAAGUCUUCCAUGUAUCAUGUUCUGGCCAAUGGUCUUGCAAAAGCAUUCAACAAAACAUUGUGCAAUCUCCUAAAGAAGAUGAUCGGCCGAACAAAGAGAGACUGGCACAAAGGAAUAAGCGAAGCACUUUGGGCAUAUCGGACGACACAUAGGACUCCUACCCAAGGUACGCCUUAUUCUCUUGUAUAUGACGUGGAAGCAGUUCUACCGCUCGAAAGUCAAAUCCCCUCACUAAGAAUGGCUAUACAAGAAUGCUUGACUGAUGAAGAGAAUGCAAAGUUACACCUUCAAGAGUUGGAAGCACGACGAAAGAAGGCUCGAAGCUCAACAACACUUGGAAUGCUACCAAGCACGCCUAUCCAAGGCAUUCAACAAGAAUGUCUGCCCAAGGUCUUUCCAAACUGGAGAUCUCGUCCUUGCAUUACGUAGGCCUAUCAUCACAACUCACAAGACAAAAAGCAAGUUCACAUCAAAGUGGGAUGGACCAUACGUAAUGCAAGAGGUCUACACCAACGGCGCCUACUUAAUCAUGGCAGAAGACGGCUUGAAGAUUGGCCCCAUCAAUGGCAGAUUCUUAAAGCGCUACUACCCCUAAAAAGUGACAACCAAGGCUCCUCGCCUGCAUGAGCCUAAACUGCACACGGUACAAAGUUCCUGGCCCGUAAGAACAUAAACUGUGUACGGAAAAAUAAUCAUCAAAAUCACCAUAAAAAAAAUCAUCGCUCAUUUAAACUACGUUACGACAUGAUCUCUUAUUUGGAAGAGUACGUAGGCAACUUGAAACUUCAAAACUUCAAGUACAGUCACAUCAUCAACAAAAACAAACACUUUGAAGAAUAAAAGCAAAUUCAAAAUAUGAAUACUUUAUUUCUUUAAAGGAAUGAUUCGGUUACAAAGUCGUAUUAGAAAGGUGAGCAUUACGCCAACUUCACCACCGAGGAAAGUUGUGACCAAAAGGCAUUACACAGCAUAAACUCGCUGCAGUCUUUUGCACAACCCCACAAGGUAAAGGUGACGCACUGGAACAGGCUCCAAGCAGUAGCGGCAAAGAGGGCAACUAUAAGACGGUCAUUCAAAGCACGUUACAGUAGCGAAGAAACCAAAAUGCCACGCAAUCGCAUUACACAACCCCACAGCGAUUACGCAAGCAGUUUCUUACACCGCACGAUAACGUCACCACCAAGGGAAAACUGUGACCAAAAGGAACUACACAACGAAGCCCCGCUGCAGUCUCUUACACAGCACCACACGGCAGCGCACCACCGAGGGAAAACUGUGAUCAAAAGGCACUACACAACAAAAUCCCGCUACAGUCUUUUGCACAACCCCACCUGCUACACAUGGUGUGCACACCCGGAGCAAGUGGACCUCAAAGUCAGUCGCACAACCUCGUCUGCAAACACAUUCUUUUCUGCUGACUCUUCUUCUUCCUUUCAUAAAAGUGGCACAGUCACCCACAAACAAAAGGAAGACCUGCACAUGCACAAAAUAUGAAUCCAGAGGUGGUGUUUUUCUCUCUCUCCUCUGCAGCGACAUCUCUCUCUCUAAGUCACAGCAAAGAUGAACCUGUAGCAACAAGCAUGAAGCUGCAACGGUUGAAGACGAGUAAAGCAACUCGGCCUUGAUGUUCGAACCUGCACUCGCAUUCACUCUCACUGACCGAGUCAAGCAGAGCAGACUUUCGAUGCCUUCCUGGGUUCUUCGUCGGUUUGGCAACCUCAGCCUGACAGAGCACUAUAUAUAUAAAAAUAUAUAUAUAUAUAUAUCACCUGCCACAAAUAUAUAUAUACAUAUAUAUAUAUAUAAGCAGUGAUGAGACAAUCACCUGCCAUAUAUAUAUGCGGCAAACCGUCCUCAGCAUUAAAACAUACCUCACAGAGUGAAGGCAGCGCCCUCCUUCCUCUUCUCCAUCAGUGGAAACAUUUGCAGCGCCGUCGAGGACGUUAAACGGAAGCCCAAAAGGUUGUAGCAACCAUGCUGCAGUUAUUCAUCCUCUCCUGCAACUCUCCAUGAAGCUUGCAGGACAAUGAAGUUCGUUGUUGCUGCCCUAAUUUUGAUGAUGGGUGAUGGGGUUGAAGAAGCUGCACCACUUUUUUUUUGUCCAACACCGAGCUCACCACACGGCAGAUGCGAAAAACACGUCGCAGCAAGAAAACAGGACAGUGCAGUUAAGUUUCAGGGCAGUAAGCUGGUGCAGUGGCUAUGUAAAGACUACAUAGUGCCCUAUGUGUGUAUGCAUGUGUGUGUGAAUGCGUAUAUAUAUAUAUAUAUAUAUAUAUAUAUAUAUAUAUAUAUAUAUAUAUAUAUUGGUCUCAACAGGCUGCAAAUAAAAUCGGUCUGCAUGUAGUGCAGUGACUGUGCAAACAGUGAUCCGCAUGCGAGAAGAAUGCAAUGUAGUAAGGAAGGCCACCAAGGAACCCGACGGUGUCAGUCUACCAUACUCAUCAUCAGAACAUGUACACACACACAAAAAGAAGGUGGAAGCUACUGUUAGCAAGUUAAGAAGGAAAAUGGAAAUGGGUGGUGACGACAAAAUGAUGCUUCCAGUCACCAUCUAAAAAGAAGUGGGUGCAUCAGGCACCAUCUUAGUGAGAUAUAUGUUUUGCUUGCACUUAGCACAACGCACUGAAUAAAAUAAAGCUCGUCUAUUGAUAUCUCCAAAAAGAAAAAAAAAUUACAAAUACAUACAUACAUACCAAAAAAAAAAAAAAAAAAAAAAAAAAGGGAGCCUUCAUGAAUGUCACUUAUAUGAAGUCUCACUACUCGGCGAAACCCUAGAAGCAUGAGGCAUUGAAGAUAGAUUAUUCGGAGCCUCAAUACUUGGACGAACUCCAGAUGUCGAAGGCAAAAGAUGCCUCUGGAAUAAAGCCACAAACCUCUGAUGGUCACUUUGAAUCCGACCUUCAGAUUCCUGCAGCUCAUCGAGCUUUCUCUUCAAGCCCGUCGAAUAAUUAUUUGCAAGCCUGUGCAAAUCUCUAUUCUCACGCUUAAGCCAUUUGAUCUCUCGUUUAAGAUCUUCCACCUCGGCAGGCAAUGAUUCAACUUGGCGAGUUCGAGCAAGUAAUCGCUGGCCCAUAUUCAACACAGAGCCUGCACACCGAACACUGAGGGCCAGGGAGCCUCAAACGGCCAACUCAUCAGAUCGUCGUGAAAGAAGCCUAUUAUCUCUAGGAGUGAGGAGGUUCCUAACUACUACCGUAGCUAUUAUUUCAUCCCCCAUCGCAGAGUCUUCAACUAUAAGAGGGCCAUUAGAAGAUAAGAAGAACGGGCGCCAUAUAUUACCCUGAUGCGGCGCAACUGUGUCACGGCUGAGACUCAAAUCUAAGCAAAUGUUAAACGGGUAAGCCAUUUUCAAAAAUGUUAAAAGAAAAAGGUUGGAUAUAGUAAAAGCUCAAAAAUAUACCGGAGACGACUUUCACGAACGGGCAAUCUUCAAAGUGUGCAUGUUGAAUAUGAUUGACACCUCUUUAAAGGGGGAGGCAACACAACCACUUGUUCAAAAAUUGAAGAGACACCACUCUCCGAAUUUCAAAAGCCGGAUUUUCCUGCAUAAAGUUCGUCAACACUUCUCAGACGCAAUCUCAGCUUUUCAGAUAGCACGUGCAACUUUAUCAAAGAUCUCUGACAGACUUGAAAACGCGUGAAGUUCACUAUUCCAACCACCACACUUCGGCUGACAAGUGUGGGUGACAAGGCCACAUCCGCACCACUACCUGUUGUUGGAAAACCCUUAUAUAGGUCGACCUUCACCCUCUAGGAAUGCAUCUGCAACCAAACCUCUCACCAUACUUAGCUUUCUUCCUCUCUAAAAACACAUCUUCAACCAGGUCACACCAGAGCAGAAGUAUCUCAUAUCAUUAGGGUCGAAAGCAAGAGUAUCUCAUAGCAUCCUUUCUCUCUAUCCUUUUCUUUGUCCUUCAUUUUCACUGCAGGACAAGGAGAAAGAGAGCAAUCAGCCGGCACUUGGAAUCAACCUUCCGACUUGGAACCGACUACCUGGAAACCCAUUCCCUGAUUGCUUACCUAGCAUCGCUCUCAAGGACUUAUCUUCAACCGUUGAUGUACUUCCAAAGAAGACACCACAUCUGCCUGGAAAACAGAUGAUGCAAGAGAAGAUGAUACAUCGAAGCAUGUGGAGACAAGCGUAACAAAAAACGUGUUGGUUCAUCUGCUACUUUUUCAAAAGCAAACGUAUCUCAUAUCAUCGGGGUCGAAAGCAAAGGUAUCUCAUAUCAUGCUUUUUCCCUGUCUUUCCCUCUGCCCUUGCUCUUGCCUGCAGAACAAGAAAAAAUAAAGCAAUCAGUCAAAACCUGAAAUCAAACUUCCGAUCAGGAACUGAUUGCCCGGAACCUUUGCCUGGUUGCUUACCUAGCAUUGCUCUCGAGUGCUCAUCUUCAACUAUUGACGGGUCAAUUUUCCUCGGCAAAUACUUCAAGACAGUUGAUAUGGUGUUGGCUCGUUACACUGAAGCUGCCAAGCACGGAUGAGUGGCUAAGAAGUGAUGCUCUGAAGGACCAUUUAAAGGCAAAAUGUUUCGCACCACUUUGGCUAUGCAAAAGAAACAAGCAGAGAAGAAUGCAGCAUAGUGAGUUGUAACAAAUCACUAUAACAUGACACCCUUCCUUGCACAAUCAACCAACCCAGCAGAAGGAGUCUGAGUUGAAUCCAAGAACUCGAGAAGCUUCAACAACAUAUUGAUGGGAUCAUCGCCGAAAAGCAAAGCCUCGCUGUGCAAUGUUGUCAAAUCGCCACCACUUCUUCGAAAGCAAGAGUAUUUCAUAUCAUGCUUUCUCCCUGUCCUUUUCUUUGUCCUUGUUCUUACCUGUAAGACAAGAAGAAGGGGAGCCAUCAGUCAGAACUUGAAGUCAAACUCCCAGUCAGGAAUCGACUACCCGAAACCCUUCCCUGAUUGCUUACCUAGCACUGCUCUCGAAGUACCCAUUGUUUCAACAUCUUAUGCUUCCAGAGAAGAUACCACAUCUGCCCAAAGAACAGAUAAGGCAAAUGAAAAUGAUACCUUGAAGCAUGUGGAGACAACGUGCUGAUUUCCUUCAAGAUCAAGUCUCAUCUUCUUUGCUAAGAAGCUCUCCAGCCUAGUUCAAGAAUAAACUUGUGGAAAGAUACUUCUUCAAAAGCAAAAGUACAUCAUAUCAUCAUAGUCGAAGGCAAAGAUAUCUCAUGGCAUUCUUUUCCUUUACCAUUGCUCUUGCCUGCGGUACAAGGAGAAAGAAAGCAAUCGAUUGGCACUUGGAAAGAUUGAACAAAGAAACAGGCCAUCACCUCCUCCUCGUGCCUGCCUACCAUAAGUUCGAACCGCUGGAGGAAGCCAGAACACCCUCCAUCCCAGUUCAAGAUUAAGCUUGUAGAAAAUCAUUGAUUGAAGGAAACCAAAAAACCCUCCAACCUAGUUCAAGAUCAAAGCUGUGGAAAGUCAACAAGCGCAACAAAAUACGUGCCGAUUCAUCCAUUACCAAAGUCGAAGAUCAUCUACCACAUGAAGCUCCUUGUGGUCCAAUUUCAUCCAAGAUCAAGCCUCAAUGGCCCUCACCUACAAUAUCCACUCAAUUCACCCAAUCCACCUACAACCUCCACCCAAAUUCACCUACAACAAUCCACCAAAACAAAUGGAUGGUGGUGAUUCAUUCUCAAAGCCUAUAAAUAGGCUCCUCCAUCAAAAGAUCAAAGGAGGAUUUUACAUACAUUUUUCUCUACUCCUAAAUUGGAAGAGAAUUCACAUCACACCAAAACCUUGAAGCCUUGAAACUCUAAAACUCUCAAGCAAAUCCCGAAGGAUCAAGAAAGCCCUCUUUGUUCUUCAUCAAAUCCUCCCUCAAGAUCAAGCCCCAACGGCCCUUGAAGAACUUACACCAAUUCAAGAUCAAGCCCUGACGGCCCUUGAAGAAAGUGUUCAUCAUUCAUCAUCCGUUGAUCCCUAGAUCAAGCCCCGACGACCCUUUGGAUCAACGACAUCCGCAAAUCUGGACAACUGUUUAUCCUAAGAUCAAGCCCCGACGGCCCCUUGGAUCAAAACCACAUCAACAAAUCUACCCAUUGCAAAGAUAGAAUCAAAGGCUAAAUUUGUAGAAGAGAUUGUAACCCCAAAUCAUUAAUACAAAUAUUAUUUUGUACACGUGUUCUUGUCUCAUUCAUCGCAGGAAUUUCCGUGUUUACAGUUAAAUUGAAACAUUUGAGAGAAAUAAAGAACAACAUUUUACAGUUUUCAAAACUUACCCCAACUGGUCAGAAUUCGUCGGAAUUGGUGCUUAAAACCCGAACGAAAUAUAGUCUUGUAUGCACGAAUCACCCACAACAACUGCUUCACUUUGAUUUUGACCUAAGAGUUUAUAUAAGAAAAUUAUAAAAAUCAGGAUGAUUAUUAUGAAUUGAUAAUGAGAAAAUCCAACCUGAUUUUCGGGAUCAAUACAUAGAAAGGAAAGCGUGAACAUCAUCGUCAUCAACAGAGAAAAAGGGAAAAACUUCAUUGAAGCCGGAGAUGGAAAGAUGAAUCGUAACCGAUGCAUAGUCGAUGGAGCGAUGAAUCGUAACGGGCAGAGACGCGAGGAAUCCUCCACCACAAAACGUUUAACCACUUAUCCAUACCUAAGGGCAAUAUAGGUAAACUUAAAAUAUAAUAAUUUUGUAGAAAAAUAAUUAAAUAUGACAUGGAUUAUAUAAUCUGACGUGGACAUCAGUCAAAGGACUAUUUUAAGUUUUUAAUCUUCAAUACGGUAUUAUUGAAAAGUUAAUCUUAUUUAGGGAUUAAAUUGAAGUUUCCUAAAUAUCUAAUCAAACAUGGGUUUUAGUAGACUUGCCCCAAGGAUCAAAAGCAAUAUGUUGUAAGUUAGGCUAGUUGCCAAGAUUUUUAAGUAAAAAAAAAGGAAUAGACUAUUUCGAUACAUAUGCACCAGUAGCUAUGCUUACAUCAAUUAGAAUAUUGUUUGUUUUGACAUCUUUAUAUAAUUUGCAUGUGCAUCAAAUGGAUGUGAGAACAACAUUUUUAAAUGGUGAUUUGGAUGAAGAAGUCUACAUGGAACAACCAGAAAGGUUUAUUCUCCUUAGGAAUGAAAAGAAGGUUUGUAAAUUAGUAAAGUCGUUAUAUAGAUUGAAGCAAACACCAAAACAAUGGCAUGAAAAGUUUGAUUUUGUCAUUUUAGCAUAUGGAUUUAGACAUAAUAGUGCUGAUAAAUGCAUAUACUCUAAAUUCACAAAUGAUUAUGGUAUUGUUAUAUGUGUUAUAUGUCGAUGACUUGCUAAUUUUUGGUACAAACAUGAAAGGUGUAUAUGAAACUAAAAAGUAUCUAAAUUCAAAAUUUAAGAUGAAGGACUUGAAUGAAGUAGAUACUAUCUUGGGAAUUAAAGUAAAGAAGCAUAGUAGAGGUUACGCUUUGUGUCAGUCACAUUAUAUAGAAAAAUUGCUUCUUAAGUUUAAGCAUCUACAAAUAAAAUAAGCAAAUACCCCUUAUGACCCUAGUGAAACUUUGCUUAAUAAUUCUGGUAGGUCUGUUGCACAACUUAAGUAUGCUAGUGUAAUCGAAAGUUUAAUGUAUGUCAUGCAUUGUAUCAGGCCAGAUAUCGCAUUUGCAGUAAGCAAACUUUCUAGAUACACUAGUUAUCCAGGUACUACUCAUUGGAAAGCAAUAAAAUAGAAGUUUUGGUUAUCUUAAAAGAACUAUUAACCUAAGUUUAACUUGCUCUGAGUUUCCAGCAGUACUUGAAGGAUAUUCAGAUGCAAAUUGGAUAACAAAUGCUAAUGAUAAUAAGUCUAUCAAGGUGGAUUUUUACAAUUGUCGGAUGAGUAAUUUGGGCUUCGAAGAAGCAAACAUGUAUAGCACAUGCAACUAUGGAAUCUGAAUUUAUAGCAUUAGCGGCAGCAGAUAAAGAAGCGGAAUGGAUUAGAAAUUUGUUAUUGGAAAUAGAGUUGUGGCCACAACCAAUGCCAUCCAUUUCUUUAUACUGUGAUAGUGAGGCUACUUUGUCUGGAGCAUACAAUAAGGUAUACAAUGGAAAGUCUAGACAUGUUAGCUUGAGACAUGAAUAUGUCAAGCAAUUAAUUACUGAUGGAGUUAUUAAUAUUAUUUAUGAUAAAUUAAGUAAUAAUUUGGCGGAUCCGUUAACGAAAGUACUUUCAAGAACUUUGGUAGUUAGUAUAUCUAGUGGAAUGGGGCUAAAACCCUUUACUGAAAAUUAGCCACCAAUAAUGGUAACUCGACUUUAUCUAGAACAUCACUAGUUUAAAAGUUUAAUGGGUAAUAACAAGUUAUUGAUAAGUGGUUGUGAAAGCACUGAAAAUUAAUAUAUAGCUCAUUCCAGGAUGAUCAGUGCAAGACUGCUACGUUUAGGAGGAUGAGUUUUAUCUCUUAAUGAGGUUAUUUGUAGUUGUGUCUAUAGUAACAGGGACAUGGAAAGGAACCUCUCCUAUAUGCUAGCAAGAGUUGGGUUUUCUCUUGUAAAUGUUUAUGAAACCAGGAUGAAGCACAAGACCAUAAUAGUGCUUAAUUAGUAAUUUCUUUAAGGAAAUAAGACAUAGUCAUGUGUAUAGCGAUUCGGUUUUAACAUAAGAAUAGUUGGUUUAAACUUAGGUCACCAUUGCAAUCGUUAUAACUUCGAAUUACUUACACUAAUUAAAGGUUUAAUUCAAAAGACACCUUUAUUGUAUGCAUGAUUAUAUCAAUAUGUUUGUGGUUAAUUACAAAGAGAGAAAUGUUAUUAUAUUAUCUAUUAUAUUAUUGAAAUUGGGAAGAAUUGUUAGAGAUUUCAAUAAUAAAUAUAUAAAUUACUAUUAUAUAUAUAUAUAUAUAAAGUAUAUAAUGACUUGGUGCUGCAUUGUGCAGCGUGUGUGUAUGAUAAAAGGUGCUGCGGUGCGCAACAAAUGUAAUUAGUAGAAUGGUUGCAACUUUUAGUUAAAAGAUAUGAUGCUUACUUAAAUUGUAUGAGUAGAAUUAAAAGAUGUAAUUAGUCAAUAUUUAUUUUCUGAAAAUAUUAAAUAGAAAACAUGUCUUUUGGGUCAACGCUAUUAAGAAGGGUUGUAUAUCUUCAACUAAAAUGAAAGGACUUGAUGAACGGGUGCUUUAAUGCCUAUAAAUAGUAAUACAUAUUGUGGCAUAAUGUUUCACACACAAUUUCAGAAAUUUAUGUCUGCAUUUCUUGCUCUCUUUUCUCUCCAUCACAUUCAUACAAUUUCUUUCUAGUUAUUUCUAAGGGAAUACAAUUCGGUUUUGCUAAUCGAAUAUUUCAUACUUUGUUGUAUCCUGAAAAUGACUUGCCAAGAACCCUUUAGCAAACUCAUUCGAGUGAGGGCAAAUAAUACUUGAAGGAAACGGUUCAAGUUGUACCUCAAAGUCAUCAUUUAGAUUAUUCUAUAUAUUUCUACUUUUACUCUAACAGUAAAUAAAGAGAAGUGAUUUCUGCAGACCAUUUUGUCCUCUGCACUUCUAUAUUUUUUGGUCUCAGAUGCAACCAAUUGUGAUGUAGCUACUUAUGUCGUACCAAUUUAAUGUUCAUGGACCUAUGGUUAUUAUGUUUGAAGAAAAAGAAGAGUAAUUAUAUCAUGUUUUUUGUUUUUUGCCACACCAAGUGAACUUUUCCAUUAAAAUGUUGCUUUAAGCAUCACUCGCAAGGAUAUGGAAUUGCUUGUUCAAAAAUGUAAUUGUUGAAACUCAAGGCUUGACAGGGACGAGGUUAACAAACCUUAUUCAUCCGUGGAAGUAACUCUUCCGAAGAAAUCUCUUUAGUGAUCUUAGUAAAGACAUCAAUACAUAACGCAGAAGUGGAAGGCAAUGUUGAAACAAUACUCUUUCAAUCUCCAUGCUCUCUACUUUUUAUUGUUGUGGUUGCUGCAGUCCUCGUGAUCACUUCCAUUCAAACAGUGUCUAAUCUCUUUCUUUCCGCAUCACCUAUUAUCAUUAAAGAUUGAUUCUAAAAAUAUUAUCAAAUCUUCAAUUAAUUAAAUUUAAGACUUCUUACUUACAAGCGAAGAUGAAUACCUAGUACUAAGUAAGAUAGGGUCAUAAUUAUUUUUAAAAAAAAUAUAUAUUAACCUAAAUUACCUUUAAUAUAAAGGCAAAUAGAUGAUAUAAAUUCCUCAAUGAAAAGACAACAUAUAUGACUUUCAUUUUUUUCUUAAAUUUGAAGACAAACGUGACAUUGAAUACAAAAAACAAAGAAAUCCUUUGUUGAUGUCAUGCUCAAAGUAGCAAAAGAAUAUUAUGAAAAUUAUCAUCGUCGAUUUCUUAAAGAGCAUAAUUGAAGUGUAUUUUGUUGCAAAAAGUUGAGGUAGAAUAUAGCAAUUUUGUUGCAAGACUUCGUUAAACUAGUUGAUGCGCGUACAUACAAUUUUUUUACCAUUUGGCCGUAUUAAUGAAAUGGUAGUGCUGGUAAUUUAUAAAGAAAGCCAAGUUUCUUAGAAAGAUGUUAGCGACAUUUGCAUUUCAUUUGGAAAGAUAAAAUUUUUAGGUUAUUCUUUAGCUAAAUUAGAUGACGACUUUAUAUUCAACGGGUGGAAUUCAAAAGGAAUUCUCUGUUGAUGGCAUGCUUGAAAUAGCAAUAGAAUAUCAUAAAAAAUUCCAUUGUUAGUGAUGAGUCAAUAUUACAUUAUAUAUUAUAUCCUAAUUUUUAGUUAUAAUUUAUUGUUUUUUUGGAAGAAUUUUGAUGUUUUGAAUUAUAUUUUCAAUAUACAACAUACAACUUAACUCUUGAGCAAAAAAUAAUCAAAUGAACGGAUUUUUGAGUGAUUCAAAUUGAAGGAUGUUCAUAAGUCUCUCAAUUUGUUCGUAUUAAAAUUCCAAAUUUUAAUACCAGUUAGUUUUCUAUAUUGCAUAAAUUAAAGUAUUUUUUUGUUGCAAAAAGUUGAGGUAGAUAUAUAUUUUCUUCUUGUAGGACCUUCAAUCUAUUGAGCCAGACAUAAAUUUUUGACUAUUUGACCGAUACCAACAAAUAAACAGUGCCAAUGAUUAAUAAAGCAAGGAAAAGGAUCCCUCGUCGGAUCCUUUUUCUGGGGAUCCUAGGGAUCCGUAAUCAAGAUCGACCAUCGUACAUUGUGUGGUCAUAAAACUAUAAGUGCUUUUUUUAAAACCAAUUUUUAGUAAAAAUGCAAGUUAACUAUGAAGAAGCACUUGAAGUGCUGCAAGAAGCACAUAACUGAUGCUUCUUACCUGAAGCAUUUCAAGUGCUUUUAAAAUCCAAAAAUAUUUUCUUUAAAAUCACUUUUAAUUAUUUAAAAAUAUUUUCUAAACAAGCCAAUAAUAAUAUUGAUAUGUAGUAUGUCAGCUUAUAUUCCGAAUACACUAAAAAAAUUUAUCGAGGGCCAAUUGAAAAUUUAACACCUGCAUUGAACCGAAAAGGUGAAAAAAAAAUUCAGGCCACCUCCAACCGACGGGCCCAGAGGGCUAGAGGGUCGAAAAUAGCCCGAAAAUCGUCUCUAACCGAGGGCUAGGCCAGAGGGCUCUGGAAUCUGUGAGGGCCCUACGAAAUCGGAGAGGGCUGGAGGGCUGCAGCCAGCCAGCCCGGGGCUGGCCCUUUUUUUUUUAAUGUUUUGUUAUUUCUGUCGGUUGUAGUCGACACUAAUAAUAUAUACUAUAUUAUUAGUGUCGGUUAAUAGCAAUGUUAAUAUAAUAGCAGUUUGAACAGUGUCGGUUAAAAUCGUCACUAAUUCUAAUUUGAAUUCCAAUUGUGUCGAUUAUAACUGACACUAAUUUGAAUUCUAAUUUGAGUUCCAAUGGCUAGCCAGUCACUAGUUGUUGUAUUCAAUUUUUUUUUUUUUAUGAAUUUAAAACUUUUUUUUUUGGUCUAUAACUUAUAUUUUAUAAAAUUUGGUUCAUAUUUUUUUUUCGUAUAACUUCUAUUUUACAAAAAAAAAAUUCAUAUUUUUUUUUAAAUUCCAUUUUUUUCCUAAGCCAUUAUACAACAUUAAAUUAAAUUAAGUAACAUGAAACAACAUUAAAUAACAUUAACCAACAUAAAAAUUAUACAACAUGAAACUUAAACAACAUUUUUAAAAACAUUUAAAAACAUAAAACGUAAAUGCCUACUCCAUGCUUCUUUGGGCCCAAAGAUGUGCAACAAGAUCUUGUUACUUGUUUGUGGCACGAGAACGUAUUAUUCUAUAGCGCCUCAUGUACUCAUCUAUAGAGAUACUACCAAUUCUUGGAUUGAAAGGCAAAUUAGGCUCAUCAUAUAUGUUGAUGCACAAAAUCAGUGAGGACUUUGAUACAACAGAAAGUGUUAAGUUUGUGACCUUCGCUAGAUUGCUCCGGUCACUAGUGUGGAUAAGUAUGUAAAUGGAUAGGGACAGGGAAGCAAACACAAGAUGUACAUGGUUCACCCGAAUUGGCUACGUCCACGGAGUAUAGGAGUUCUCAUUAAUUGUGAAAUGUUUACAAAAGUACAUAGGUUCAAGCUCUCAUUUAGUGAGUACUAGUGAAUGAUUUAGUACAAAUGACAUUAGAAAAUAUUGUGGGAGAAUGAUCUCCUUUUAUAGAAGAGAGUUUCUAGUUUUGUUCUGACAUUGACACGUGUCGUGUUGUGAUUGGCUUCUGAUGUUGACACGUGUCGCGCAAUGAUUGGCUUCUGAUGUCGACACGUGUUGCGUUGUGAUUGGUCUCCUGGUUAGAGGGAAAGUCUUUAGGUCCUUGACGAUAUAACGUUGACUGGUGCUCGGUAGUUUCGGGAUUUGUCAAGUAUGGUACAAACAGUGCUCCCCUAAGUUCCCGAGUGAGGGAAGCUCCUCGGUUGGGGACUUGUAAGAUCCAAGCCGCUGAGUAAUCACAAAACUUCUAAGUACCGAAGUGUGGUAUCGUCUUCACUUGCCUUAUAUGUCUCAUAGGUAUAUGUGGCAUAUUCUCUGGAAGUACUUUUCCUCUAUGCAGGGGUGGUAUCUUUAACCGGUAGAUAUGCACAAGGUAAUGUAUCAAUUUGACUUGAAGCUUACUUGUAGUUUCAGGCUUGGCUAAGCAUGAUACAAAUCAUAUAGUAGGAGUCCCCCAAGUCGUCGAGGUAGGAGAUUUUUCGAAAAAUGUGCCAGACAAGGUAAGCAAUCAGAGUUCCAAGCAAUCAGUCUCAAAUCAGAAGUUUGAUUUCAAGUUUCGGCUGAUUGUUCUCAUUCUCCCUAUCUUGCAGGUAGCAAGAAAGAUAAAGAGAAAAAAAAUGAGAAGAGAUGAUAUAAGAUACUUUCGCUUUUGAAGAAGUUACUUUGCACACGCUUAUUCUUGAACUGGGCUGGACGAUUUUCUGGUUUCUUCUAAAGUAUAAGGCCGACUCAAGAAGUUGAGGGUCAAAACAAGUCCAUCAAAUCUAAAGUACGUUUGAUCCUGAUGAUAUGGGAUAUUUUUGCUGUUGACAAAGUAGUGGAUGUAUCGGCACGUGUUCUAUUACGCUUGUCUCCACAUGUUUCCUUGUAUCCUUCUCACUUGCCCUAUCUGUUCCUCAGGCAUAUGUGGUAUCUUCUCUAGAAGCAUAAGGUAUUAAAGAUGAGUACUCGAGAGCAAUGCCAGGUAAGUAAUCAGGCAAAGGGUUCCAGGCAGUCAAUUCCUGACUGGAAGCUUGAUUCCAAGUGCUAACUGAUUGCUCUAUUUCUUCUUGUCUUGCAAGUAAGAAAAAGACAGGGAAAAAGCAUGAUAUGGGAUACUCUUGCUUUUGACCCUAAUGAUAUGAGAUACUCUUACUCUGGUAUGGCUGGCUUGCAUAGGUAUUAUUGGAAGGGAAGAAAACUGAGUAUUUCGAGAAGCUUCAUUGUGAGUGCCCUCUCAGAUAUGAGAAAGGGUUGAGCAUUUUUGUAUGUCUGCCUGUCCGUGGAGGAUGGAGGUCGACAUAUAUAGGAGUCUCCCUAACAAUAAGUAGUAAUGUUAUUUCUUUAUCCUUCUUGGUCAUAGCAAUGUAGUGGGAGUUGCAAGCUUUACGUGUUUUAACUUUGCCAGAGCAGUUUGAAAAAGUGGUCUGUGGUAUCUGGAAAGCUGAUAUUGCGUGUGAAGAUUGCAAACAAAUUUAAUCCAAGGAAAUCUAUCUCUUGAAGUUCAAAUAGCGGUGCCUCUUCAGUUUUUUAACAAGCAAUCAUGUUGGGGAUCUGGCUCUCGAGAUUCGGAGAGCGUUGCUUCUUCGAUUUUUGAGAAAGUAAUCAUGUUGGGAGUGUUUUCUCGAAUGUGAGUAAAGGUUGAGCAUUUUUGCCAGUCUGCCUUGCCACAGAGCACAGAGGUUGACACACAUAGGGACUUUCCUGUUAUCAAGCAGUGGUGAUGUUCCUUUACCCUUGUGCGUAAUAGUAUGGUAGCUGGAACUUCAAAAUUUAUGUGUCUAAACUUUGUCAAAGAUCUUUAGCAAAGUUAUCUAUGGUACCCGAGAAGCUGAUAUUGCGUGUGGAGAUUGUCGACAUAUCUUACUCAGGAAAAUCCAUUUCUUGAAAUUCAGAGAGUUGUGCCUCUUCAAUUUUUGAACUAACGGCCCUGUUGCCCUUUCUUUUAUAGGGGCACCAAUUGUGUGCAAGAAGUAAAUUCAGAGAGUUAUUGCUUGCAGGAAUUUUCCCCUUAUUUUUGUACUUCAAUGAUUUAUUGGACCUCAUUUCUCCUUCAUCAUUUCUGAAAAUGUCUGGCCCAUCCGACCUCGUUUUGACUUGAUCUUUGGUGAAGAGGCAGCUAUGUCUCAUCAAGAUAACAUAUGGCGCGCAUCUUUCUUAUCCCAUACUAGUCAUCUUACCGUUGGGGACUCUAUGAUGAAGAAUGAUAUGACCGCUACGGUUGUAGCCAGGAACCUUUUCACUCCCAAAGAUAACAUACUAUUUUCCAAACGGUCUGAUGAGUUGACUGUUAAGGAUUCUUUGGCUUUUAGUGUUCAGUGUGUAGGUUUUGUGUCUAAUAUGGCCCAACGCCUAUUUGCUCGAACCCUCCAAGUUGAAUUAUUGGCGGCUGAAGUGAUAAAUCUCAAACAGGAGAUUAGAGGGCUCAAGCAUGAGAAUAAACAGUUGCACAGACUCGCACAUAACUAUGCUACAAACAUGAAGAGGAAGCUUGACCAGCUGCAGUAAUCUGAUGGUCAAAUUUUACUUGAUCAUCAGAGGUUUGUGGGUUUGUUCCAAAGGCAUUUAUUGCCUUCGUCUUCUGGGGCUGUAUCGCGUAAUGAAGCUCCAAAUGAUCAACCCCUGGUGCCUCCUCCUUCUGGGGUUCUGCUCAGUACUGAGGCUCUGAAUGAUUACCCUCCGGUGCCUACUCUUCUGGGGUUCUGCCGACUGCUAAAACUUCUCCUGAGUAACCUUUGUGAAGGCUCCCUCUUGUUUGUUUAUUUUGAUUCAUGUAUAUGUACAUAUUUAUAACUUAUCGGAGAUAUCAAUAAAUAAGCUUUGCUUCAUUUCAACGUAUUGUGUUAAAUACACCAAAGCCUUCUUUACUAAGUUCUUUGAAUUUUUUCUUUUGUUAAAGCUUGUAUGUUGAAGCUUUGUGAGUGAAGCAUGUAUGUUGAGGUAGUGUUUCCUUAAUUUUCCGAGUGAGGAAAACUUCUUGGUUGGAGACUUGAAAAAUCCAAGUCACUGAGUGGUCGUGAGACUUCCGAGUAUCAAGGUGCAUUAGCAUAUGGUAGAAGUCCCCCAAGUCUCCGGUUGAGGGAGUUGACGAAUGAGGCAUUUCCUUUCUAAGUGGUAGCCCAAAACCCCUCCUUUAUAUAUAUUUGUUAUGAAAGUUGUUAGGCCCAAAGAAGAUGAGGCCUAGACAAAUUUUUUUUUUUCGAUUUUUUUUUUUUCGAAUUUCUGAAUUUUGGAAUUUCCAAAAUAUAUAUAUAUAUAUAUAUAUAUUAAGCUUUGUAGGUGAAGUUUUGGUGUUGAAACUUUGUAGGUGAAGCUUUGAGGUUGAAAUUUUGUUGGGUACCAUGAAUUGAUUUUGCUUCACACUAUCUUGACCAAGAGUGUGUGAAGCUUUUGUGUUAAAGCUUUAUAGGUGAAGCUUUGGAGUUGAAGUUUUAUAGGUGAAGCUUUGGAGUUGAAGCUUUUGUUGGGUACCAUGAAUUGAUUUUGCUUCACACUAUCUUGAUCAAGAUAGUGUGAAGCUUUUGAGAAUUUGUAGUUGCCCUCCAUUUGUUGAAGCUUUUGUUGGUGAAGCUUUGUAGGUGAAGCUUUGUUGGGUACUAUGAAUUGACUUUGCUUCACACUAUCUUGAUCAAGAUAGUGUGAAGAUUUUGAGAAUUUGUAGUUGUCCUCCAUUGAUGAAGCUUUGUUGAAUUUCUUAAUUUCCUUUUUUUUUUUUGGGAAACUAGAAAUUUGAAAAUGUGGGAGAGACAAUAUAUACAAAUUUUGCUUCCACACUGUUGAGCAAGAGAUUGUGAUGCAAGUCACACCUUGUAGUAGUCGAGGAUUUGGAUGAACUAUAUAAAUUGAAUUUGCUUCGAACAGUCUUGAUCAAGAGUGUGUGAAGCUUUCUACGAGUUGUAGUUGCCCUUCAUUGAUGACCCUUUUGUUGGCACCAUAAAUUAAUUUUGCUUCACACUGUCUUGAUCAGGAGUGUGUGAAGCUUUUGAGAAUUGUGGUUGCCCUCCAUUGAUGAAGCUCUUGUUGGCACCAUAAAUUGAUUUUGCUUCACACUGUUUUGAUCAAGAGUGUGUGAAGCUUUUGAAAAUUGUGGUUGAACUCCUUUGAUGAAACUCUUGUUGGCACCAUAAAUUGGUUUUGCUUCACACUGUCUUGAUCAAAAGUGUGUGAAGCUUUUGAGAAUUGUGGUUAAAUUCCUUUGAUGAAGCUCUUGUUGGCACCAUAAAUUGGUUUUGCUUCACACUGUCUUGAUCAAAAAUGUGUGAAGCUUUUGAGAAUUGUGAUUGCCCUCCAUUGAUGAAGCUCUUGUUGGCACCAUAAAUUGGUUUUGCUUCAUACUGUCUUGAUCAAGAGUGUGUGAAGCUUUUUGAGAAUUGUGGUUGAACUCCUUUGAUGAAGCUCUUGUUGGCACCAUAAAUUAGUUUUGCUUCAUACUGUCUUGAUCAAGAGUGUGUGAAGCUUUCUACGAAUUAUAGUUUUUACAUUGUUAUAAAGGAGAAAUGUCUGAAGCAGAUGCAAGAGAGCUGAAUAGCUUGAUCUUUAUAUGCCAUGCACUGAAGUUGUUGUUGGCUUGCAAUAAGACUUUGUUGGGGAUUAUAACUCUUGUUGGGCAUAAGUGCUCCCUUAGUUGAGUUGUUAAGCUUGAGGGUUUUUUAUUAUUUAUGAAUGCUAGGAGUUCGAAUGUACAAGUUGUACCACUCGUCUUCUGGUAGGUGGAAUGAAUGGUGAGUUGCUUUCAUCAUUUAGUUGGUGGUAUGAAAGUGAGUUCCUUCAUCACCUUUCAUCACAUUUCAUCACCUGGUUGGUGGCACGAAAAUGAGUUCCUUCUUCAUCUGGUUGGUGGCAUGAAUGGCAAGUUGCCAAAUGAUAUUAAAGUACAGGUUGUACAUUUCAUCACCUGGUUGGUGGCAUGAAGAUGAGUUCCUUCUUCACCUGGUUGGUGGCAUGAGUGGUAAGUUACCAAAUGAUAAUAGAGUACGGGUUGUACAUUUCAUCACCUGGUUGGUGGCAUGAAGGAGAAUACGGGGUGUACAUUUCAUCACCUGGUUAGUGGCAUGAAUGAGAGUACGGGUUGUACAUUUCAUCACCUGGUUGGUGGCAUGAAGAUAAGUUCUUUUUUCACAUUUCAUCACCUGGUUGGUGAGAAUAAGGGCAAAGUGUCGAGGCACAUUGUAACAAGUGUCGAAUAACACAAAGUAUGUUGAACCCUUUCGAAGUACAGUUGGUUUAUGUAUGAAUGUGUUGGAAUAUAUGAUUGAACGAAUAUACUAUGAAGCUAUUCGUUUAUUUGUAUAGUCUUGUUGACAUAUACUUAGACUUUGUUUCAUGUUGGAAACAUUCAUGUUGAAGCUUUGAACCCGAGUGUUUCAUUGCUAGGAAUGUAAGAGGAUUAUGACCGAGUUGUCUAAAUCACCUCUUUAUUAAAUUCAUGCUAAAUAGCCUUCGUUACAUAGGGUGCCGAACGGCUGAAACUUAACACUUGUACAAUGUGAGUUUACUUGUAAUAGUACUUCAAAUGAUCAGCGUUCCAUGGGUGGCCAAGGGUCUUACCAUUGGAGCUUCUAAGCUUGUAGGAGCCAGGGCGACUGAUGCCAACAACUUCAAACGGUCCAUCCCAGUUUGGACUAAUUGUUCCUUCACUCGAGACUCUGCCGCAGAGUAAUCUUUUCCUCAAUACCCAGUCCCCCAAUUUGAAAGAACGAGGUUUGACCCUUGAGUCAUAGUAGUUGGAGAUGCGCUGCUUGUAGGCAACAUUCCUCAAGUAAGCCUGGUUUUUGUGUUCCUCGACUAGAUCUAAGUUGAAGGUAAGUUGUUUGUUAUUUUCGCUUUGCACGUAGUUCUGGACUCAAAACGUUGCUUGCUCAAGCUUAACUGGGACAACUGCCUCUGUACCAAGGGCAAGUGAGAAUGGGGUUUCUCCUGUUGACAUUCGAUACGAAGUGCGGUAUGACCAAAGAACUUGGGGUACAAAUUCUGGCCAACAACCCUUAGCCUUGUCCAAGCUGGUUUUCAAAGUUCGCUUGAUUAUUUUGUUGAUGGCUUCAACUUGUCCAUUAGACUAGGGAUGAGCUGGGAAGGCAAAACAUAAGUUGAUGUUGAACUUAGAACAUAAUAUCCUGAACUUAUUGUUGUCGAACUGUCGCCGGUUGUCAGUGACUAUCGCAUUAGGAAUGCCAAAUCUGCAAAUGAUGUUUUUCUAUAUGAAGUCUUCUAUUUUUACCUCAGUAAUGGUUGCCAAUGGUUAUACUUCGGCCCACUUUGUGAAGUAGUCAACUGUAACGAUUGCAUAGCGGACCUUGCCCUUCCCUGCAGGCAUUGGGCCGAUCAAAUCAAGUCCCCAUUGGGCGAAGCGUCAAGGGUUGAUCAUAGGAAUGAGCGGCUCAGGAGGGGAGUGAUGAAUAGCUGCGUAGCGUUGACACUUAUCACAUGAGCAGGAUAUUCUGAUGUCAUCAUGGUAGAGUGUUGGCCAGUACUAUCCUUGGAGGAAAGUCUUGUGUGCUAGGGAUCGAGAUCCAGCAUGAUCUCCACAGACUCUUUAAUGUAUUUCCCGAAUGACAGUUUCUGCCUUUGCGGACAUAAGGCAUCUUAGGUAUGGUAUGUUAAAACCCCGCUUGUAAAGUUAGUCAUUAAUGAUCAAGUAACGGGUAGCCUUGUAUCAAAUCUUCUUAGCUUAGACUUUGUCAUUUGGAAGGGUGUCAUGAGCAAGGAAUCUAUAAAUCGGGGUAAUCCAACUAUCCCCCUAUUGUAAGUUGCACACUUCCGCAGCCAUGGUGCUUGGUGCUACCAACAAUUCGACCUGAAUUUUUCUCCCAAUCUUGUCUUCCACCGCUGAGGUGAGGCAACCCAAAGCAUUUGCAUUACUGUUUGCCGCUCGAGGAAUUUGGGUGAUCUGGUAGUGGAAGUGCUCAAGCAACAAUUGUGGUUGUGCCAGAUACGCUGCCAUGGAGCUAUCCUUAGCGUCAAAGUUGUUGGUGACCUGGUUAACCACCAAUUGGGAGUCACUGAAGAUAUCAAUUCGUUUAACCCCAAGGUAUUUGGCCAAACGUAAGCCUGCUAGGAGGGCUUCAUAUUCGUCUUCAUUGUUCGACGCCUUGAAUUUGAAACGAAUAGCAUACUCCAUCGCCACUUUGUCAGGGGCAUAAGGACUAGUCCUGCUCCACAACCUUGUUGGUUGGACGAGCCAUCAACAUAUAGAUUCCAUGCUAAGGCUGUUGGUUAUAUUUUCUAAGCUUCCGAGGGUAAUGAAACCACUUCUUUAGGCGUAGAAACAAUGUCAACAGGAUAUAUGAAGUCGGCGAUGAAGUCUGCCACUACUUGGCCCUUCUCAGCUGUCUUUGGUUGGUAGGAGAUGUCAAACUCACCCAAUGUUAUCGCCUAUUUGAUCAUUCGUCCCGAAGUGUCAGGAUUUUGGAGUAUCUGUCAAAGAUGAUGAUUGGUAAGCAUGGUGAUGGAGUGUGCUUGGAAGUAAGGGUGAAGUUUUCGAGCAGACAUGGCCAAUGCUAGAGCCAAUUUCUCAAUGUUGGAGUAUCGUGUCUCCACAUCUUGUAAGGCCUUGCUAGCGUAGUAGACAAGCCGUUCAACAUUACCAUCAUUUCAAAUGAGAACGAAACUUACUGCUCAAGCUGAUACCUACAGAUAGAUAAUAAGAGUGUCACCAACCUCAAGUUUGAAGAGCAAAUGGGCGUUACUCAUGUAGUCUUUGAGGUUCUUAAAAGCCUCGACACAUUUAUCAGUCUAUGUAAUGUACUUCUUACUUUCCUUAAGUGCUUUGAAGAAAGAAGCACAUUUAUCUGUGGCCUUAGAGAUGAACCUAGUUAAGGCUGCCACCUUGCUAGUAAGGCUCUGGAUGUCUUUUGAAGUUAUCGGUUCUUUCAUGUCAAGGAUUGCUUUAAUCUUCUCGGGAUUAGCCUCAAUGCCUCGUUAGCUUAUCAUGAAGCCCAAGAACUUUCCAAAGCCUACGCCGAAGGCACAUUGGUUGGGGUACAAUUUGAUACCUCUUCAGAAUGGUGAAAAUUUCAGAUAGGUUGGUGAUGUGUUGGUCAGCAUGUUUGCUCUUGACUAGCAUAUCAUCAACGUAAACUUCCAUGCUUUUCCCAAUCUGUUCGACGAACAUUGAAUUGACCAGUCUCUGAUAAGUCGCUCAUGCAUUCUUUAUCAAUAUGACCAGUCUCUGGAAAUGGAGCUUGUGUUCUCAUCUUUUCUUCAAAAGAAAUCCUAAUAAAGAAAAUGCUAUAAAGUCACAUUUAUACCUACUUUCAUUAGAGUGGCAAACUUGUAAUAAGUCCAAAACCCACUCUUUUAUCAAUAUGGCCGGCCAUAGCGUUUUAUUGGGCUGUUUGGGCCUUUGUGAAUUAUUAGUCAUUAAGUUGUCAUACAACUUAAGUCAAUGGGCUUGACGUUCGAAGCCCAUUGGGCCUUGAGGCUCAAAACUAACCCGAGGUCUUUAACGAACUUUAUUCGUUUGAUUAAUUAACAUAUUAAUUCAUCCUUGCCAUAAAUAAUUAAACCAUUUAAUUAUCCUUACUCAUCUCCGUUGUUUCUUCAAUCUCUACCUUACACGGUGUACGAUCCAUUAGGUUCCUUUUAGCGAGGCAGUGGGAGAUUAGAACUCUUUCAAAUCGAUUGUGAAUUGAAACUUACUUUCAAUUCCCCCUUUAGUGAUUAUACACGUUUAGGGCUUCCACAAACCAUGAGUGACACCUAGCAGUAUGUCAUGGUUACCCAAGCAAAUUAGAAGAGGUGGAAAACCUAUUCAGUUUAGGAUUACAAUGCAAUAUGGACUUUCUCUAAUACAAUACUCUUGACCACAUUGUUUGGUUUGAUAGUUUAUUCAUGUCUACUGUUCAAUGUGAUUCUCUUACUUAUAUGAUUACCUUGAAUGUGAUUUGAAAUGAUUUCCUAAAUCUCAUUCAUACUCUGGCCAUAGAUUUUUAAUCAUAUCAUAGAGUAUUCUCCUUCAAACGGUUUAAAGAUUAAAGAUCCCUUGUUGCGCAUUCAUUUGCCUCCAUGGCUAAGUGGCUUAACUCCAACUAUGUCGUGGACACCCUCUGACGAAGUGACUUUGACAUAGUCAAAGAUCAAUGACCUAACCACAAGACAACUAUGAUGCCUCAGGUCAAAUGACUACUUUGCGGUCAAAUGACUACUUUGCAUUAUCCCAACCAUGAGUUCUCAUGUGAUAUGAGUAUGAGAAUUCCUUGUUGAUCGUGUUCAGUGGACUCAUUCUCUAUUGAGCACCUACAUGCUUGUCUUGGUGUCAGUCACACCAAUGACUCGAGACCAGUCACUCUCCCUAAAAGAAGACAUAGCACUUACUGAUCUUAAAGGACUGUCAAUGCCAAUUGGCAAUCCUAUGAUUAGGAACGUUUAGGAUAUGUAUAUGAAAGAGAAUGGUCUCAUGAAUCUAACUUUUUUAGAUCGCAUUCUCCCAAUUACAUAUUCCUUGGACUUAUCAUUUAAGCAUAUAACAUUUAUAUUAGACGGCUUCAAACAAUAAUCUUUGCCCUUUAUAUUAAACUAUAUUAGUUUAAUAUGUCAAAUGUCUGUAAAGUAUCAUCAUAUGAUUGGUUUUAGGUAGGGAUGGACAAAAUACCCAUGGAUAUGGGUAACCGCGGUUACCCGCCCAUUUAAAGUUGAUGGUUAUGGGUAACCGUUUAAACAAAUAAACGGUUAUGGGUAUAACCGUUUAUCCAUGAAAUUUAAAUGGACGGUUAUGGGUAUUAUCCGCGAUUAUAACGGGUAUCUAUCAGUUAUGGUUAAUAUUCAUGGUUAUAACGGGUAUCCAUUUACCCAUUUGAUCAUCGUCUGGAAAACCCUACAGAAACACUCCCCGACCCCCAAAUCAACGACCCAGAUCCCCCGAACAACCCAGAAGCCUCCGAACCCGAUCAUGUUCUUCUCGCCGAGCUCGACUCCCUCUGCCAGUUGCACCAGAGCCUGCUAUCGAAGGCCCUGGCUCGCAACGCCGAGCUAAUUAAAGUCGUCGGAGAAAUUUCCUGCAAGAGGGACUCUCUUCGCGGCGAAAUUCAGAAGCUCGAAGAUUUUCUGAGAGAAAAGGAAGACGGGUUUUCUUCCAAAUUGGAGGAGGAGUUGAAGACGAAUGAGGCGAUCGAAAAUGAGGUGCGAGUUUGUCGGGGGACGAUUGAAAGGUUGGAGCUUGAGAGAAAAGAGAUAGAUGGGUUUUUGUUGAAGUGCCUGGAUUCGCUCCGAUCGACCAAGGAGGGCAUAAUCGGAAUAAUCGACGGCGUCGGCGAUGAAAAGGCUGAGAAUGGAGCUGAAGAAGCUGAGGGGGUUUGGGAGGAGAGUGCGGCGGUUGCGCGGUUGGCAGCUUCGGCGGAAGCGAAGGUGAGUGAGUAUAAAGAGCUGAGGAAGAAGGAGAAGAAAGAGUUGGAGAAAAGCGUGGUGAGUCUGACAGAGGAGAAUAGGGAUAUCAGCAGCUUGCUGAGGGUUUCUCUAGUGGAGAAGGAGGCGGUGGAGAAGAAGUUGAAAGGAAACAGCGAGCAGAAGCGGGUGGCACUUUUGCAUAUUGCGGAGAGGGGUUUGCAGAGAGUUGGGUUUGGGUUUAUGAUGGGAAGUGCUUUUAUUAAAGAACAAAAGUCGAUUACAUAGAAGUGCUUUUAUUAAAGAACAAAAGUCGAUUGAUCAGAAACUCAAAAAAUAAAGACAAAAGUCGAAAUUUUUAUUGAAAAUGCUUCUUGGAAAAGCAGUUGGAAGUGCUUUUCAUUUUUUGAUUAACUAUCGUUAAAAAAUAAUGUAGACGGGAGAAAAAAAGGGUAAAUGGGUAAAAAAAAGGAUAAACGGGCGAAAAAAUGGGUAAACGGGUAAAUGGUUAUGGUUAUGGUUAAAUGGGUAAAUGGGUACACGGUUAUGGGUAUGGAUAACCGUUUAUAAAUGGUUAUGGUUAUGGGUAUAACCGUUUAUGUAAUUACCCAACGGGUAAACUGUUAUGCGGGUAUGAACAUAAACGGUUAUGGGUAAAAUAACUGCGGUUACCCGCCCGCAUAACCAUUGCCCAUCCCUAGUUUUAGGGCACAUUUCCAACAUGUUUUGCUCUAAGUUCAACAUCAACUUAUGCUUCGCCUCCCCAGCUCAUCCCUAGUCUAAUGGACAAGUUGAAGCCAUCAACAAAAUAAUCAAGCGCACUUUAAAAACCAGCUUGGAAAAGGUUAAAGGUUGUUGGCCAGAAUUUGUACCCCAAAUUCUUUAGUCAUACCUCACUUCGUAUCGGACUUCAACAGGAGAAACUCUAUUCUCACUUGCUUUUGGUACAAAGGCAGUUGUCCCAGUUGAGAUUGAGCAAGCAACGUUUCGAGUCCAGAACUACGUGUAAAGCGAAAAUGACAAACAACUUACCCUCAACUUAGAUAUAAUCAAGAAACACAGAAACCAGGCUCACUUGAGGAAUAUUGCCUACAAGCAGCGCAUCUCCAACUACUAUGACUCAAGGGUCAAACCUCGUUAUUUCAAAGUGAGGGACUGGGUAUUGAAGAAAAGAUUACUCUGCGACAGAGUCCCGAGUGAAUGAACACUUAGUCCAAACUGGGAUGGACUGUUUGAAGUUGUUGGCAUUAGUCACCCUGGCUCCGACAAGCUUAGAAGCUCUGAUGGCAAGAUCAUUGGCCAUCCAUGGAACGCUGAUCACUUGAAGUACUAUUACAAGUAAACUCACAUUGUACAAGUGUUAAGCUUCAGUCGUUCGGCAUCCUAUGUAACGAAGACCAUUUGGCAUGAAUUCAAUAAAGAGGUGAUUUAGGCAACUCGGUCAUAAUCCUCUUACAGUCCUAGCAAUGAAACACUCGGGUGCAAAGCUUCAACACAAAAGUGUCACCUACAAAGCUUCAACUCCAAAGUGUCACCUACAAAGCUUCAACUCCAAAGCUUCACCUACAAAAGUUUCAACUCCAAAGCUUCACCUACAAAUUUUCAACACAAAAGCUUCACCUCCAAAGCUUUAACACAAAAGCUUCACCUACAAAACUUUUCGCAUACAAAAGCUUCAACUCCAAAGCUUCACCUACAAAAGCUUCAACUUCAAAGCUUCAACUCCAAAACUUCACCUAUAAAGCUUCAACACAAAAGCUUCACCUACAAAGCUUCAACACAAAAGCUUCACCUACAAAAGCUUCACUUACAAAUCUUCAACCCAAAAACUUCACCCACAAAAGCUUCAACACAAAAACUUCACCCACAAAAGUUUCACCUACAAAGCUUCACACACUCUUGAUCAAGAUAGUGUGAAGCAAAAUCAAUUCAUGGUACCCAACAAAGCUUCAACCUCAAAACUUCACCUACAAAGCUUCAACACCAAAAUUUCACCUACAAAGCUUUAAAAUAUAUAUUUUUUUUUUUGGAAAUUCAAAAAUUCAGAAAUUCGAAAAUUCAAAAAAACAAUUUCGAAAAUUUAAAAAAAUAUUCCUACGCCUCAUCUUCUUUGGGUUUAACAACUUUCAUAACAAAUAUAUAUGAAAAAAGAGUUUUGGGCUACCACUUAAAAAGGAAAAUGGUGAAGUUUUGUUACUUUGGAAACUUGGCUACUAGCAAGACACCUCCUUCUUCAACUCCCUCGACCGGAAACUUGGGGGACUCCUACCAUAUGCUACUACACCUCGGUACUUGGAAGGUUCACGACUAUUCAAUGACUUGGAUCUUUCAAGUCUCCAACCGAGAAGUUUUCCUCACUCGGGAAAUUAAUGGAGCACUACCUCAACCUACAUGCUUCACUCACAAAGUUUCAACAUACAAGCUUCAACAAAAAAAAAAAUUCAAAGAACUUAGUAAAGAAGGCUUUGGUGUAUUUAACAAUACGUUGAAAUGAAGCAAAGCUUAUUUAUUAAUAUCUCCGAUAAGUUACAAAUAUGUACAUAUACAUGAGUCAAAAUAAACGAACAAGAGUAAGCAUUCACAAAGGUUGCUCAGGAGAAGUUUAGACACAUAAAUUUUGAAGGUCAUUGGGUACCACAGAUAACUUUGCCAAAGAUCUCUGACAAAGUUUAAACACAUAAAUUUUAAAGGUCCAGCUACCCUACCAUCACCCACAAGGAUAAAGGAACAGCACCACUGCUUAAUAACUGGAAAGUCCUUAUGUGUGUCAACCUCCAUGCUCUGUAGCAAGGCAGACUGGCAAAAAUGCCCAACCUUUACUCACAUCGAGAAAACACUCCCAACAUGAUUACUUUCUCAAAAAAUCAAAGAGGCACCGCUCCCCGAAUCUCGAAAGCUAGACUCCCACCAGGAUUGCUUUCUCAAAAAUCGAAUAGGCACCGAUAUCCAAAUCUCGAGAGCCAGAUUCCCACCAGGAUUGCUUUCUCAAAAAUCGAAUAGGCAUCGCUAUCCGGAUCUCGAGAGCUAGACUCCCACCAUGAUUACUUUCUCAAAAAUCGAAGAGGCACCAUUAUCCAAAUCUCGAGAGCUAGACUCCUACCAGGAUCGCUUUCUCAAAAAUCGAAGAGGCACCGCUAUCCGAAUCUCGAGAGCCUGACUCCUACUAGGAUCGCUUUCUCAAAAAUCGAAGAAGCACCGCUCUCUAAAUCUCGAGAGCCAGAUCCUCAAUAAGAUUGCUUGUUCAAAAAUCGAAGAGGCAACGCUCUCCGAAUCUCGAGAGCCAGAUCCCCAACAGGAUUGCUUGUUCGAAAACCAAAGAGGCACCGCUCUCCGAACUUCGAGAGCCAGAUUUCCUUGGAUAAAAUUUGUCUGCAAUCUUCACACGCAACAUCAGCUUUCCAAAUACCAUAGACCAUUUUUUUCAAAGUGCUCUGACAAAGUUAAAACACAUGAGACUUGCAGCUCCCACUACAUUGCUAUAACCAAGAAAGGUAAAAGAAUAGAAUUACUACUUGUUGUUAGGGAAACUCCUAUAUAUGUCUACUUUCACCCUCCACGGAUAUGCAGACCUGCAAAAAUGCUCAACCAUUCCUCAUAUCUGAUAGGGCAUUCUCAACGAAGCCUUUCGAAAUACUCAGCUUCCUUUCCCCCGAUAAUACCUUUGCAAACAAGCCACACCAGAGCAAGAGUAUCUCAUAUCAUCAGGGUUAAAAUUAAGAGUAUCUCAUAUCAUACUUUUUCCCUGUCUUUUCCUUUGCCCUUGCUCUUACCUACAAGACAAGGAGAAAGAAAACAAUCAGUUGGAACAUGAAAUCAAACUUCUGAUUCGGAACUGAUUGCCCGGAACCUUUGCCUGGUUGCUCACCUAGCAUUACUCUCGAGUACUCAUCCUCAACUGUUGUCAAGGUCACGAAUCCUUUCAGCAAAUACUUCAGAACAGUUGAUACGAUAUUGGCUUUUUACACUGAAGCUCCCAAGCAUGGAUGAGUCGCUGAGAAGCAAGGAAGAAAAUAUCGGUAAUAUCGGAAAUAUCGGUAGUCCGAAAACACGGAAAUAUCGAUGGAAAUAUCGGGAUAAUAUCGAUAUCGAUAAAAAUUACAUGGAAACCACGGAAAUUGUAAGAAAAACUUGGAAAUUUUUAUUGAAACUUUGCAGGAUGUUUAUUUAGUCAAUUAUCUAUUAGUUUAUCACAAAAAAUUGGAAGGAAAUGCAUUGCAUGAUGGAUUUAACAUUAUCAAGUUGAUUAUAUAGCGAGCUGACAAACAUUGUGAGUGUAGAAAAUAUGUAGAAAUUAAUGAAAGAAGUCUAAACACACCAUAAUUAUUUAUAUAUAAAGAAUUAGUACAAUAUUUUACACUUUAUACAUUGCAUGGUAAGAUACAUGAGUGACUUAGUACCACAUAGAGUUCCUAUGAGGUUCAAAAUUUUCACUAUCUUCAUCAUCUCUAUGUGUAGAGUGAGUGUAUUUUGAAGAGUAGUUAGCAACCAUGGCAAUGGUUUUCAAGAACCAAAACCCAAAAGUCAAUAGGAAAAUACUUCGGUAUUUUUCGGGAUUACCAAACAAAUGGGAUUUGGAAACCAAUCCCAUAUCGAAAAUUUCGGUAUUUUUCGGGAUGGGAUUCCCGAACUUCAGGAUGGUUUUGGUUUGGAUUUGGGACUUUUUCGGUUUGGUUUGGAAUUUUCCGGAAUUUUUUCCAGCCCUACCAUGUAAGUGACCAAAUAAAAAAUAGAAAAAUUAAAAACCACAUGUCAUUGACUAAGUAAUUAAUUGACACAAUUUAAAAUAUAAUACCACAAAAAAUUUGGAAUAUGUGCAAAUUUGUUUCUUGUAAAAAGAAUUCAAAACAAAACCAUAUAUAUAAAUAUUGUAGCAUAUUAUCACAACAACAUAAGUGGUAUAGUGGUUAAGGCGUUAAGGAGUUAAGUGAGAGGGGUUCGAACCCCUCUAUGCUCAAAAUUGAGACUUUUCCAAAUUUUCAGGAAUUUUUGGACUAAUAUCGCGAUAUUAUAAGAAAUAUCGAGAAAUAUCGCGAUAUUACCGAUAUUAUCAAUAAUAUCGCGAUAUUUUGACAAAAACUAAUUGGAUACUCAUUAAAAUACCAUUCAAAUGCAAAGGUUGCGUACCACUUAUGCGAUGCAAAAGAUUGAAGCAGAAGGUUCAACGAUGAGCUAGAAUAAAUCACUAUAGCACGACGCUCUCCCUGCAGAACAGCAUAAUCCAGACGGAUAAGUCUAAGUCAAAUCCAAACUCGGCAUCGCUGCCCUAUCCGAAGAGCUCAAGAAACCUCAACCCUUUCGCUAGCAACGUCGCCAAAGAGCAAAGCAUCGCCAUACCACAUCCACUACUUUGUCAACAGCAAAAGUAUCUCAUAUCAUCAAGGUCGAACGAACUCUUGAUUUGACGGACUUAUUUUAACCCUCAAAUUCUUAAGUCGGCCUUAUACUCUGGAGGAAACUAAAAAACCCUCCAGCCCAGUUCAAGAAUAAGCUUGUGGAAAGUUACUUCUUCAAAAGCAAAAGUAUCUCAUAUCAUCUCUUCUCAUUUUUAUUCUCUUUAUCCUUAAUGUUGCCUGCAAGAUAAGGAAAAUGAGAACAAUCAGCCGGAACUCGAAAUCAAACUUCUGAUUUGUGAUUGAUUGCUUAGAGCUCUGAUUGCUUACCUUGUCUGUCACCUCUUUCGGCAGAUAUCCUAGCUCGGCGACUUGGGGGACUCCUACUACCUGGUUUGUAUCGCGCUUGACCAAGCCUGAAACUACAAGUAAGCUUCAAGUGAAAUUGAUACAUUACCUUGUGCAUCUCCACCGGUUAAAGAUACCACCCAUGGAUAGAGGAAAAAUACUUAUAGAGUAGAUGUCAUAUCUACCUAUGAGACAGAUAAGGCAAGUGAAGACGAUACCACACUCCGGUACUUAGAAAGGGAGGUUAUUACUCAGCGGCUUGGAUCUUGCAAGUCCCCAACCGAGGAGCUUCCCUCACUCAGGAACUUAGGGGAACACUGUAUGUACCAUACCUGACCAAUCCCGAAACUAUCGAGCACUGAUCAACGUUAUACUGUCAAGGAUCCAGAAAAGUUUCUCCCCAACCAGGAGGUCAAUCACAGCACGACACGUGUCGACAUCAGAAGCUAAUCAUAGCGCGACACGUAUCAACAUCAAAAGUCAAUCACAACACGACACGUGUCAAUGUCAGAACAAAACUAGAAACUCUCUUCUAUAAAAGGAGAUCAUUCUCCCACAAUAUUUACUAAUGUCAUUUGUACUAAAUCAUUCACUAGUACUCACUAAAGGAGAGCUUAAACUUAUGUACUUGUGUAAACCCUUCACAAUUAAUGAGAAUCAUCUACUCCGUGGAUGUAGCCAAUCUGGAUGAACCACGUACAUCUUGUCUUUGCUUCCCUGUCUCUAUCCAUUUACAUACUUAUCCAUACUAGUGACCGCAACAAUCUAGCGAAGGUCACAAACUUAACACUUUCUGUUAUACCAAAGUCUUCACUGAUUUUGUGCAUCAACACUAUGUUCUUAAGAAACUCACUUGAUUGAUUUUUCUGAAUUUACAACUACCUCAAAAAGAAUAUAGACAAACAUUGGGAGACAAUUAAAAUGUGAGAGAGAAUUCAUGCAACUUAAUACCUCAUUUAACUCUUUUUCUUUUAGAGUAGUUUCAAACUUAGCCUUCCACAUUUCCACCUGAAGACAAAUUUAGAAACAUAGACCGAGCAUAAGCACCAACCCCCAUCUAGAAAAAUGCGCUUUCGCAGAGACUUAAAAAUUACCAGUGCAAAACAAUGUUUUGGUCUUAUAAUUAAAAUCACAACGGACUUUCACUAUGAGCACAUUCAGAUACAAAAUAACUUUUCUUCCAAAUGAGAAAAAAUAACUCACUUUUUUCUCUAUUUUUGAAAGCAAAUCAUCGAUCUUCUUCUCAAUUUUACUCUGCAACGAAGAAAUGCUAUCCGACUUCUGUUGAAUUACUUCAUCCUCCUCUUUUAUAAGCUCAAUGAUCUUUUUUAGUUGGAGUUCCAUCGAAGAAAUUCUAUCCAAGUUGUGUACUUUCUCCUCUUUUAUAGGCUCAUUGUUCUUUUUUAUUUGGUAUUUUUCUAUAGUAAAGAAACACAAACCGUCAGCCAGGAAAACCCAAAACAGCACUAAAAAAACAUUUUAAAAUGCUCGAAAUCGACAUUCGACUAAUAUCCAUGUUGUUUCUACUCCCAAAGUAACUAAGAGCAAGUCCACCGGGACUUGCUUUGCCCAGCCCCUAGCACAAAAAACAGCCUGGCCCUCAGUGAAAUUGCUCCAGCCCACAAAGUUGCCUGGCACCCAGCCCAUGCCAGGCAACAGGCCAGCCUAAUUUUGACAGACCAAGAAGCCGGCCUAUUUGGCUGGUGCGUGCACGACAAGCGCGCCUGGGCGCGAGUAGCCGACAGGCUGCAGAGGGGCUGUCAGCCCACUUGUGUUCCGGAUCCCAUCAGCGACGUGACAUGCUCAUAGCCGUUGGAUUUCCAACGGCUAGUUUUUCUAGACCGUUGGAUUUCCAACGGUAAAAAAAGUUUAAAUUUUACUUUUAAAAUAGACCGUCCAAUCACAGAUCAACGGUCUAUGUUAAUUAACUAAAUUAAAAUUUAUUAAAAAAUACAGAAAAAAUAUUAAAAAAUACAGAAAAUUUUAAAAAUUUUAUUUAUUUUUUCUAUAAAUACCUAACUCUCAUCUUCUACCUUACACCACAUUUGAAUAUUUUCUACACUUUCUACCAAAGCUUUCAUAUACUUUUUGUGUGAAAAAAAAUACCAAAAAGCUUGUGGUUGAAGAAUAAAGUGUAUUUGAUGAGUUUAUGUAAUUUCAUUUUAGUGUGUUUUUUUUAUAGUUUAUUUGAUGAGUAUGUAAUUUUAUUUUAGUGUGUAUUUUUUUUUAAGUUUAUUUGAAAUUUUAUCUGAAAUUGGUUAAAAAUCUUAUCCAAAAUAAACUUAAAAAAAAAAACACACCAAAUAAAUGCGCUGGGUGCCAGCGCAUUUUUUUAGGGGUGGAGAUGCCUUGGCCUAUUACUGUUCACUCCAGUCUAUUACUGUUCACUUGAGUGGAUAAAUGCGAUGGGUGCUGGCGCAAAGUCCUUAAGGGUGGAAUUGCUCUAAACAAUUCAGCAUCUUUAUUGGUCUGAUUAAAAUUAUGAAAAAAGAAAAAUCAAAGCUGUACAAGUAAGCGUCAGACCUCAGCUAAUUGGCAUAUUACUUAGAUUCCAAAACAUAAACACAAAAUUAUAAAUGGAAAGCAUCACAAACACUUCCCAAUUGAAAAAUCAAAGGAUCUCCAACUUCAGUAACAUCUAUUUGGAUGGCGAGAAAACAGAGGGAAAAAUAUUAUGAACUCAACAUGAAUAACGUUAGAAAGACCAAAUUUAUAAACCAAGUGAUAGGUCACAAAUAGAAAAAAGAGCACAUUAAUCAACACUUGUGUAAUAAUCUAAUUAUCAACAUCCACAUCAUUUGGUUUACAAAAUUUUGUUUGGAAAUUUAGUCUCUUUAGCAUUACCCACUCAAAUUAAGAUUGCUUUGUGAUUGCCUUAGACCAUCUUCAAAAGAGAUGUCAAAUAUGCCAAAUAAGAUUAAAAGACAUUCAAGUGUUCUCUAGUGGAUAUGUCAUAUAUGAUAUGGCAUGUGAGUCAUUUGACUCCUUAUUUUCUAGCUGCCUUUUUUUAUAACAAACAAAUAAUGAGUCAAAUAUAUUUAAUUUAAUCUUUUAAUGCAUGGGUCCCAUUAACAAUCAAUAAAAUACAAUCUAAAAUUAAUUUUGAUUAUUUUUUAAUAGUUAAUGUAACUAUAGGCCCAUACAAUAAUAAAAUAAAUAUUUGACACAUCCAUUGGAAAAAAAAAUAAAAAAUUUAGCACUUGUAUUCAAUUUGUCACAUCAAUCAUCAAAUAAAAUUUUAACUACUAUAUUAGACAUAUCCUUUGAAGAUGCUUUUAAUCACCAAUUAGAGAGUUAAUUGAAGGUUUUAUUGUUAAGGAUUGUCUUUAAACAUGCCAGCUGGCAUUAAAAAGUAUGGUGACUGUAUAAAAGGAGGCCAGCUCCCUGAAAUCUAACAUAUUGGUUUUACAUAAGAAAUCAAAUACCAAAAUUAUUGCUCCUCUCUUCCUUCCUUCCCUCUUCUUCCAUUGCAGUAGUUAAGGUUGAGUUAGGGUUGAGAUUCGGGUCCUAACAAAAUAUCGAAUCGAUGAAAAAUCACAAAUUUCAUCCACUAAACCCUAGAAUUCGCAGAAGACGAUAGAAACGAACAAUGUAUCUUAUACAUGAGCUUACGAAAAAAGCCCCCUCGGAGGGCUCUCACGUUUCUCCGCCGGGACUGGAGAGUCUCGCUCGUAUUCCUCCCAUGAGAUUCCAGUUUCAGCCCGAAUCUGGGAGAAAAUAAGGGCAAGAAAGAUUGAGAGAAUCGUGAGCUUGGAGGGUGCCAUGGGAGCAUGCAAUCACAGCCAACGAAACUCUCACAGCGACAAUUUUUCGAGUUUUUUUUUUUUUUUUUUUUUUUUUUUUUUUUUUUUUAAGUUGGAGUUCGAUUUCUUCCGACUGCAAAUAUUAAAUAUCGUUUGGUACAAAAAAAAUCUUGUAUUACCUCAAGGAAAAUGGACAUAUGACUGCCAACUAAUCAAGCAUCUAUGAUACCAACAAUUGUUUUUUUUAACUAAAAUUUCAAAAUAUUAAAUUAAUUAGUUAGGAUUAAUUGUUGCUUUGAAAAAUAAGGGAAAAAUAUUUUAUUAUUAGCAAAACUGUCACAUCUAGGCUCGGGCCCCCACCACAUCCCAAGUUCGACUCCACCGUAGCACGAUAUUGUCCUUUUUGGCCCGGACCACGCCCUCACGGUUUUGUUCCUAGGAAUUCACACGAGAAUUUCUCAAUAAGUCACCCAUAUGAGAUUGCCUUUGCGCGAACUCGCUAAACUUCGGAGUUCCGAUGGAACCCAAAGCCAAUGAGCUCCCAAAAAACCUCGUGCUAAGUAGAGAUGGGAAUAUACAUAUAAGGCUUAUAUGAUCCACAUUAUACUUCUAGAAUAACAUACUAAAAUUUCAUUACGAUCCAAUGGUUGGAUCUCCGCCAAUUGCAAAUUCAUGUGGCGGUUAACGUUUUAUUUUAUGAACUUACAAAUCCAAUUCGGGAAGAUCAGUACUUCGGAUUCCAGAUCCGUAAGCACAUCCCGGCCCGAGCCCCCAUCACAUCCCGGGCCGGGAUGUGACAAAAACAGGAAAAAUAUUUUAUUCUAAUUUAAAACAAAAAUAUAUCAUGCAAUUUAAAAGAUGUAAUAUCAACUUUUAUAUAAGUAAAAAUUCGUUGGGUUGUUUCAUUUUGAAUUAUUUUUUGGAGGAAAAUUUGAAUUUAUUUCUAUUGCAAAAACAUUAUCAUAUAUAAACAAACUAUAGGGUCAUAAUUAUUAAAAAAAAUAUUUAUAUUAACACAAAUUUCCUUUAAUAUAAAGGCAAAUAGAUGGUAUAAAUUCCUCCAUGAAAGGACAAUCUUUUGUUGAUAUCAUGCUUGAAAGUUGAAACAACAAAAAAUAUAUAUAUAUUAUAAAAGUAUCACCACCAAUUUUUGAAAAAACGUAAUUGAACUAUUUUUCGAAAGAACGUAAAAAGUAUUUUUUUUCUUGAAAAAAGUAGAGGUAGAAAAUAAGAUUUUUGUUGAAAGACCUUCAAUAAACUCGGUGAGUCGUCCUUACAUCUUUUUGACCAUUUGACAUAUACUGACAAAAAAUCAAUGCUGGUGAUUAACAAAGUGAACUAAGUUUCCCGAAAUAUGUUAGCGACCUUUGCAUUAGAUUUAGAAAGAUAAAAUCUUUUGGGUCAUCCCUUGACAAAGUUAGAGGACGACUAUUUCUUUUUUGAUUCAUUGUAUAACAUUCUUCUGCCUCAGGUAGUUUUGUUUGAUAAGUUGUACCCACCUGCUACCUUUAUAUCAGUUAACAUUCCCCUUUUAUUUUAUUUUUAUAUUUAGAAACUUUUAUAUUUUAUAACUUUUGCUAGACUUCAAAUACUUUCAAAAAUUAGUUAUUUUUUGUGUAAUGCACAUGGCUCCUUAACAUUGGACAUGUGUGCCACGUCAACAUAUUUGAACUAAUUUUUACAACGUGAACCAAAUUGAUGUGUUGUAAUUAAUUUGAGACCGCCUUUGAUCAAUUUUGAGAUUAAAGAAACAAAAUAACGAGUCAUGUGAAUCUAAAAAGGGGAAACUUGAUAUAACUCCAAUUUUUUGAGCUAAUAGUAGGAAUGGUCAAAUUUAUUAAAAUAAGUCCAAUUCUUUAAAUUUAAUUAUUUUAUUAUCAAUAAUUAUCUCUUAAAAGAAAAAACUUAUUGUAAAAAUCAAAUUUCUUCCUAAUUAUCUCUUUGAUUAUCUCUUUUUAUAUUUUUUUUUUGUUAUUUCUUGUUCUUCCUCCUGCUUUACCCAUUUAUAGAUUUUUUUUUAAUUUUUAUAAUCAACCUAUAUCACAAGUUAAUUGUAUUUAUCUACCUAUAUGACAGAUUCUUUUUCAUAAUCAACCUGUCACAGAUUAAUGUGUCUUGCUUAUAGGUAUAUUAUGUUUUUUUCUAACUUUUAGUUAGGUUUCAUAUAUCACUUAUAGGUAUAAUAUACAUUCAUAUCUUUUGCUACUUGAGUUAGGGUAGAAUGUUUUGCAGAUAGAUUUAUGUUAGUAUAUUAAUUUUUUUUAUAAGAUAUUAAUUAGAUAUUUUAGAGUUGAAAAAUGCAUAAUAUUAAAAGAUUUUAAUUGAUUUUUAAUAUUUUUAGAAAAUAUAAAAGGAGUAUAAAAGAAAUAAAAACAUAUAAUUAGAUAACUGGAGUCACUCCUAAAAACACUCUGUGUUUUUGAACCGAAUCUAAAAGCCCCAUUUAAAAAAUCAUUUAUAAUUAAAAAAAACCCAACUUAUAUUUAAUGAUAUUGUAUAGUGUGUCAGCCGUAUUCCGAGUUGAGUAGGACCAAUUGAAAAUUCAACACCAACCCCGGCGGAUAAUGUCCUAUUAUUGAGCGCGACUCCCGAUUAAUUGGAUUUCGACCACGCUAACCUCACCCGCACACUGCACUCCCCAAUCACCUAGCGACGCGUAACCUCAAUUUAUUUUCCCGCGGAUUUUUAUUUCUGAAAUUCUAAAAGACGCUAAUCGCUAAUAGAAUGGCCAAGUAGAACCUAGUGUCUAAGCGGACUUAGUGAAUUUAACUAAAUUUAUUAUAUUUCAGGUAAAUAAAUGUUUAUUUAUACUUAAAAUAUAUAUAAUUUCAUCAUAAACUACAAAAUAAAUAUUUGUUUUUUUCCAAUUGGGCGAGCUCACAAUCUAAACAGUCACCGGCCGUAGCGGAAGAUUCUAAGUCGCAUCGUGUAAUGUCUAAAUCCAAUAAUUCAAAGCAAAGAUAAAGAUCCUGUAAUAAGGACAUACCGUUUUCAAUUGUCUCAACAACCAGAUCGUAUUUAAAGAAUCAAAAUAGAUUCUAAAGAAGACAGACAAAAAAGGGUUAGAGACCACUCAAUAAAUUUAAUACCUAACAAGGAUUUCUUUUGAGUUAUUUGAGAGUUAUUCAAAUUGAGUUAUGAGAAAGCACAUAAUUUAUGGAUCCUUCCUUGAAAGAAUCGCACACAGAGUGGUAAAUCUCGUCGUUUCGACGAAAGUACCUAUCAGUCUCUUCUUCCCCCUCAGCGAUUUUCAGUUUCAAAUUGCUCUGAGAAAUGAAUUUUGAGACGUUUAUGUGAAUUUUGAGAGGUAUUAUGAAUUGGGUUUUGAAUUUCAGUCAGAGAAAUGAAUUUUCAUGAUAAUUUGUGGUUGGUAAGGAGUCACGUGAAUUUAGUAAAAGUUGUUUGAAGCUACAUCCCUGAAUUUCCAUGCAAAUAUUAUUAAGGGUGCAAGUUAGAAAUAUAGUUAGAAAGUUUGUUAGUAUUUGGUUAGAGUUGUUAGGCUUACUAGUAUAAAAACAAAGUGUGUAAUCUUCAUUCUUUAGUUAAUACAAAUCCUAUUACUCUCUCUAAAUUCUCUCUCUAGCAUCUCUCUUGCUUCUCUCUGUCUUCUUUCUCCUCCUCUGUACAAAUCCUUUAUCUUUGCAAUGUAGUUAACAAAUAUGCCUUACCUGGAGAGACUCCAUUUUUACUCGGCGUAUUCUUCUCGUGUUCCGUAGUCUUCUCACCGAUAUUGGAUACACCAGCCACCGAAUUAAUGAGUUUAUCUUUGAACAAAAUAAAAAAAAAAAACCGUCAGCCAGGAAAACCCAAACAGCACUAAAAACACUAGAAAAUGCUUGAAAUCGAAAUUUAUCUAAUAUCGAUGUUGUUUCUAGUUUCUACUCACAAAGUAACUAAAUAAAUAAUUACGCAUCUUUAUUGCUCUGAUUAAAAUUAUAGAAACUGAAAAGUCAAAGCUUUACAAGUAAGCAUCAGAGCUCAGCUAAUUGCAGUAUUACUUAGAUUCCAAAACAGAAACACAAAAUUAUAAAUGGAAAGAAUUACAAACACUUCCCAAUUGAAAAACCAAAGGAUCUCUAACUUUAGUACAUCUGUUUGGAUGGCGAGAAAACUGAGGGAAAAAUUCGAAUCGACAAACACUUGAAAAUUCACAAAUUUCACCCAAUAAACCCUAGGAUUCGCAGAAGACAAUAGAAAUGAACCUGGGGAGGGCGCCCCAUCCGAAGUGAACGAGUCGGGCAAUACGGCUGACCCUGAUCCAAGUCCUGGAGCUUGAGCCCGAAUCUGGGAGAAAAUUAGGGCAAGAAAAAUCGAGGGAAUGGCGAGCUUGGAGGGCGCCAUAGGAGCACUCAAUCAUAGCCAACGAAACUCUCACAGCGACAAUUUUUCGAGUUUUUUUUUUUUUUUUUUUUUUUUGAGUUCGCGUUCGAUCUCUUCCGACUACAAAUAUUAAAUAACGUUUUGGUUCCAAUCUUUUAUUACCUUAACGAAAAUGGAUGUAUAACUGUCAACUAAUAAAGCAUAUACGAUCAGUUUCCAAAAAAAUAAAUAAAGCAUAUAUGAGACCAACAAUUGUUUUUUUUUUAUAGAAAAAUUCAAAAUAUUAAAUCAAUUAGUUAUGAUUGAAACAGUAAUUUCAAAGAGUAAUAUUAGGGAGACUAAAUUUACAAACUAAAUAAUGCGUCAUCAAAAUGAAUGAGCACAUUUAUUAACUUUUAAGUAAUAAAUCAAUCAAAAGAUCCAUAUAUUUUAGUUUUCAAAACUUUAUCUAUAAAUUUAAUCUUCAUAACAUUACCCAAUUCCAAAACAACUGACUUAAUUGAUAUUACUUUCAUUUGUUGCUUUGAAUAAAAAAUAGAAAAAUAUUUUAUUAUUAUCAAAAAAAGGAAAAAGAUUUUAUUCUAAUUUAAAACAAAAGUAUGUACUGUAAUUAAAAAAAGGCUAAUUGGCAGAUGUGUGGGCGUGUUUGAAACAGAUAUGUAAUGUAACAUUCACUUUUGUACAAGCAAAAAUGAGUUGUUUGAUUUUGAAUUCUUUUUUUGGUGGAAAUUUUGAAUUUAAUUUUAUUACAAAAAUAUUGUCAGGUAUAAACAACAGGUGCACUUUUUAACACAAAAACAAUUAUGGUGUAUAUUGUAACAUCCCACACCGACCAACGGAGACGGGGUGAUAUGCCCUAUAUGUACAUGCCCAUCUCCAUAUAACACAAGACUUUUUGGGAACUCACCCGCUUCGAAUUCCAUCAUAACUCUGAAGUUAAGCGAGUUUGGGUGAGAGCAAUCAUAGGAUGGGUGACCCACUGAGAUGUGACAGAAUGGUAUCAGAGCCACUUUGCCGUUGGUGUGAGUGUGCUGACGAGGAUGUUAGGCCCCUAAGGGAGGUGGAUUGUGACAUCCCACAUAGACCAACGGAGAGGGGGUGAUGUGGCCUAUAUGUAGAUGCACACCUCCAUAUAGCACGAAGCCUUUUGGGAACUCACUGGCUUCAGAUUUCAUUGGAACUCCGAAGUUAAGCGAGUUUGGGCGAGAGCAAUCCCAUGAUUGGUGACACACUAGGAAGUUACUCGUGAAUUCCUAAAAACAAAACCGUGAGGGCGUGGUCGGGGCCCAAAGCGGACAAUAUCGUGUUACGGCGGAGUCAAGACUAGGAUGUGACGUAUGCUCACCAUACAACGCAUCAUAUGCCACGUGACCUUUCAUCUAACCUUGAUCGAUUUUUUCAAAAUUGAAAAAAGCAACAAAUUAACCAGAGUUAAAUAAAAUGACAUGUAUGAGAUGAUUAUUAAAAAUUAUAUUUAUAUUAACCUAAAUUUCCUUUAAUAUAAAGGAAAAUAGAUGAUAUAAAUUCCUACAUGAAAAGACAACAUAUAUGACUUUCAUUUUUCUCAAAUUUGAAGAUAAAUGUCAUAUUGAAUGCGGAAAAAAAAAAUUCCUUAAUUGAUGACUACCAUGAAAAAUAUCACUCUCAGUUUUUGAAAGAGCAUAAUUAAGGAUUUUUUUUUGCUACAAAAAGUCGAGGUAAAAGAUACAAUUUUUGUUGCAAGAGAUUCACAAAUACAAUUUUUUGACUAUUUGGCACAUGCUAACAACAAGGUGGUGCUGGUGAAUUAUAAAGAGAACCAAGUUUCUCAGAAACAUUUGCAUUUAAUUUGGAAAGAUAAACAUUUUAGGUCAUCCUCUAGCCAAAUUAGAUGAGGACCAUUAUAUUAAACAAGUUGAAUUAAAAAAUAAUUAUAUGAUGAUGGCAUGCUUGCAACAGCAGUAAAAUAUCAUUAAAAAUUUCCAUUAUUUGUUUUUGCAAGAGCGUGAAUUAAAGUAUUUUUUGCUGCAAAAAAUCGAGGUAAAAGAUAAGAUUUUUGUUGCAAGACCUUCAAUAAACUUGUUGGGUCGUACAUAUAUAUAUAUAUAUUUGGACCCUUAGACAGAUACUAACAAAAAGACGGUACUAAUGAAGCAAACAAGGUUUUUCCAAAAAGAUGUUAGCAACCUUUGCUCUAUAUUUGGAAAGAUAAACUUUUUAGGUCAUCCCUUGAAUUCAAAAUAGAAUCCUUCGUUGAUGACACGCUUAAAAGAGCAAUAGAAUAUCAUUGAAAAUCUCACUGCCAGUUUUUGAAAGAGUGUAUAUUGAAGUGUUUUUUCGCUUGAAAAAGUAGGGGUAGAUGAUUCAUAAAGGUAUCAUCUAAGACCAUUAUCAUUAAAGUGCCAUGGAAUUAUUACUUUUUUUUUUAUUAAUUGUAAAAAAAAUUAUUUUGUCUCAGGCACUUUUGUUUAAUAUUUUAUGCCCACCUGCUGUCUUUAUAUCAGUUACCAUUCCCAUUUUAUUUUAUUUUAAGUUUAUAAACUUUUAUUUCUAAUAUUAGAAAAUCAGAAGUCAAUUUUUGUGUCUAAAGGUUUCAUAAAAAAAUGAACGUAAUAGCCCCUCAAACCAAAAAAAAAAAAAAAAGGGACAGAAAAAAUAAAUUUAAAACCUUGAUUUUGUCAGAAAGAAAAAAUUAUAAUUCGUUUUAUUAGGAAAAAAAAAAGAUAAAAAAUGGGACGUGCUGAAAUCCUUGAUUUGUUUUCUUAUAAAAAAAAAAUGAGAUAAAAUGAAUUUAACCCAACCAACCAACACCACUUCUCCAUUUUAGGAGAGCGAGAGCUUCUAAUAUCUCACAUAAACAAAAAUAAGAAGAUACAAAAUAAAACGCAAUGAUAGUAUUGUAACAAAAAACAGAAACUUAAAAUUCUUUUUAUUGAAAAAAAUGAAAGAAAAAAAGAAAACCUAAUAAAAAAGGAUCGUGAUGAAUCCCUCAAAAGAUGGAAACUGAAAAAACUGCAACGUUCAAUGUAAAGCUGUUUCUUCAAAUUGAACUGCCAAUAUCUCCUUCCAUAAAUAUUUUCCCCGAGCUUCUGUAAAUUUUAAAUUUUAAAUUUCUGUUAUGAUCUACUUUUACACUAUGUUUGGAUGAAAGAAGUAAACUUGGAAUUUAGGUAAAAAUCAGAAUUUAUAAAUUGACAUGCAUCAAUUCCCUUGUUUGGAUUUAUAAACAUAGAAAUUUAGAAUUUCCGCGUGGAAAAUAACUUGGAAUUUAAGACCUCAAAUUCCCAAGUUUAAAUUCCAUGUAAAUAUGUAUCAUUUCCCAAUUUCUAUGACUAAGAGUUUAAAAAUAACAAAUUUCGUAUUCAAUUCCACAGUUCUUUUAGGUUUACCAAACAAGAAAAUUCACAAAUUCUAGAAAAUAAAAUCUCGUCAUUUCAAUUUCCGUCAUUUUCAAAUUCCUUAGUAAUCUUAAAUUUCUUCAUCCAAACAUAAUGUUAGCUUUUUUAUUAGAUUAUUGGUUUGCAGACGACCAUACAAUUUUGAAGCUGUUCACAGGUGGGGUUUUCGAUUUCUUCAUCAGAUAAAGGAAAGUGGUAUCUCAAGACUUUUUACCAGAAAUUUUUUUUUUUUAUAAUUAAUCAAUUAUCUAAUAUAUUUAUUUUUUAUUUAAUUUGGUUCUGUAAACAAUUAGGACAUCUGUGUGAAAUUAGGCAAAGGCAGUUUCUUGGUCUGCUACGAGAUGCUGAAUUUUGAUUUAAAAAUUAGGCACUAUCAGCAAUUGUUACAAGGAAAACUAAUUAAAAUAAUUUGAAAACUUUGAAUUUUAAAGAUAAGGACAAAAUAAAAGGUAAAGUGAAUAGUAUCAGGAUUGACUUUUUAGUGUAAAAAUAUAGUUUUUCGUUAAAAUGAACAGUAUCGGAAACUUUUCGUUAAAUUUUCCUAUAAUAUAUUGCAGUCUGUCUAAUAGUGAUAUCAGUUUAGUACACUUUUGUUUUUUUUUUCCCCCUUCAUUUCUGAUUUUCUCUAUCCCUCCCUCUCUCUAUGCUUUGGGUUUUGUAGUGUUUGAAUUCAUGAGUUUGUGUUUGUUCUGAUUUUCUCUAUCCCUGCCUCUCUCUCUAUGCUUUGGGUUUUGUAGUGUUUGAAUUAAUGGGUUUGUAUUUGUUCUUCGAUUAAUGCAGAAGAAUUAAUGGCGGCGGCAACAACUUCUAAAUUUUCAUAUUUUUCAGAUUCGUAGUUUUAUUAAAUGGGUGGUUGAAAUUUGAUCUAAAGGUGUUCUACAUCGGCAAUUCGACCGCGGGUGGAUGCUGCAUAUUGCAUUCAUGCUGUUUCAAAAAGAUUAAGCGAGACCCAUAAUUGGACGGUAUGCUCCCAUUCCAUUGCAAAUUUGCAAUGCCAUCCAUUUUAAUAUCGAUUUUGUAUUGCUGGUUAGUGGACUUAAUAUUUAAUGAUGUAUCUAUUUCCUUUGAAUUUCAAGUGGGGUUUGCUUAAUAUUGUUGCUUACCAUGCCAUACUAUAUUAUUUGAGUUUGCUUGGAAUUAAUUGGUCAAGUACAAAUGUAAACAUUUGACAAAAAAAAGUACAAAUGUAACAGUGUACGUUCUCCAUAGUAUGCUAUACUUAUGAAAAUAUCUUUACAUAAUGAAAAAAAAAUCUGUACGCCAUGAAAGAAUAUGAAUAAGAAUGAAGGGUAAAAAAACCAUAUUUCUUUUAACAUUGCAAAUUAGCGAACUUUUUGAAAGAGGUACAUAAUCAUUUUGAAUUUUUUACAAAUAUGACCUCAAUAAUUUUGAUUUUUUUUACAGCCCUCUCACCCAAAUUUAUAUUCUUUUUUGAGGCACCUAGCGCUCAUGAUAAAUAAAAAGCAUUUGACAAAAGAAGAAAUCGGUAGGGAAAUUACAUAUUAUGGAUUAAUCUAAAGUAAAAAAUAGAGGAAUUUAGAGCAAAAUUACAAAUAAACAUCAUGUAUUUAAAGGAUUUUUAGGGGCGCACAAAGUCUGUUAUUAAUGAAAUUAUGUAUACCGUGUGUAGCACUUCGUAGUAUAAAAACGCUUUUCACACUCAAGGCGAGUGCAAAGGCUAGUGUAUGGAGAAAGUGUGUCCCUCGUUGAGUAGAGGACCAAUUUAAAAUUCAACACCUAUCCAGGCGGCUGAUGUCCCAUUCAACGGCCACGAUUCUCCCACCGCACACGAUCCAAUGCCCACCAACAUUCCUUUAUUGCGCCCGACUUCCGGUUAAUUGGAUUUCGACCACACUAACCUCACCCGCUCACUGCACUAACCCCACCAAUCACCUCGCGACGCGUAACCUCAUUUUAUUAUUCCCGUGGGUUCCUUUUGCCGAUUGGACGAGCUCGCGAUCCAAACAGUCACCGGCCGUGGCGGAAGAUUCUAGGUUGCGUCGCAAAAACGACGGUAAUUCUCGUCGUUUCGACGAAAUUACGUAUCAGUCUCUUCUUCUCCUCAGAAAUUUUCAGUUCCAAAUUGCUCUGAGCUUUUCUUAUUCUGCUUUCGCUUCCGGAGCUCUCUGGGACUUCAGGUGGAUUAUAUUUCUCUGAUUAAUUUUGCUAAUUUCGGUUUUUUUCUUCGAAUUAUUUAUUGUAAUUUGCUGAUUAGUUGCAGUUUAAUUUGCUGAUGAAGUUUUGGGUGAUGACUUUUAUGUGAAAUUUGAGAGGUAUUAUGAAUUGGGUUUUGAAUUUCAGUCAGAGAAAUGAAUUUUCAUGAGAAUUUUUGGUUGCUAGGAGUUUAGGUGAAUUUAGUAAAAGCUGCUUGAAGCUGGCAUCCCUAAGUUUCCAUUUUUUGUUGGAUUACCAUUGUGAAAGAAGUUAACUUUGGAUGCACAUGUAAGUAUGAAUUACACUGGAGGAAAUUGGCGGUGAGUGAUCGAAAUUCCCAAGGGAAAUGGGAGUUAUGAACUAGAUUCGUAUGAGUAUUCGUAUUCGGGUUGUUCUAAGUUUGAGUUCAUGUUCAUGAGCUUGAUGUCGGCACAUUUUCCGUAUAAGAACACUUGAAAGGUUUGGUUUUGGUGGUGUUGUUUGAAGCUGUAUCAAUAAAUUUCAAAUCUUGUUGAAUUCUCAUUGUGAAAGAAAUUACCUUUCUAUGCGUUGCAUCCAAAAAUUACCAUUGUGUGCCCAUACAUGUACACGUUUCAAUGGAGGAUAGAUGGCGAUAUUUUAUACUAGAAUAAAUUGUAGCAAUGGUCCUUUAAUUUUAAUCAAAUUGGAGCAAUGAUUCUUUAAUUAAAAAUCCAUUACUAUUGGUCCAUCAACUCAUCAAAAUGUGUAGCUAUGAUCAUUUUCGUCAAUUUCGUCAUAAUUUUGUCAAAAUAAAUUAUGUUAGAAUGACCAUUUCUACAAUUGAGAUCUCUCAACUCAUCAAAACGUGUAGCUAUUAUCCUUUUCAUCAACUUCGUCAGAAUUUUGUCAAAAUGAGUUAUGUUAGAAUGAUCAUUUCUACAAUUGGGUUAAAAUUAAAGGAUCAUUACUCCAAUUGGAUUAGAGUUGAGGCUGCACGUUUUGAUGAGUUGAGGGGUCAAUAGGAAUGGAUUUUUGGUUGAAUGAUCAUUGCUAUAAUUGAGUUAAAAUUAAAGGACCAUUGUUACAAUUUACUCUUUACCCUAUAAGAACUAUGAAAUUGGGAUGGAAAAAGUACAAUUUUUUUUUAGGAAAACUAAUGAAAAUGGGUUUGAAAACUUUGAGUUUUAACGAUAAGGACAAAAUAAAGGGUAAAGUGAAUAGUACCAGGUUUGAUUUUUUAGUGUAAAAAUAUAGUUUUUCGUUAAAGUGAAAAGUAUAAUGGGCUUUUCAUUAAACUCCUUUUUUCUAUAAAACUCGACUGAACACUACUUCGUCUGUGUGAAAGAGGAUUUUUGCCGACCACAAUCGCCACAUCAUAAAGUAUUUUUGAAUUUUGGGCCAUGCACUGUUCAUUUGCUGCACAAAUUGAAUGCUUACCAAGAUUUUAGACAAAUAUUAGUGUGUUGGGCCUUGGACAGGCCCAACAGUCUAUUUUUAACCCCAAACAUCCACAUUGCACACUAAAUAUUGGGCAAAUAAAGUCUAAAAAAAGUUAUAUGCACAAUUAUUGUUUUGAAUAAACGAUAGUAUUUGAGCCAAGGUGUUAGGGGUGUGGGGUCAGCCCUAUAAUGGAUUAGUAAUAAUAUGGUUUCAAUUUAUGUUAUUCAAGAAUAGAAUCAAAUGUCACUAGACUGUAAUACUAAGUAGCAAAAUUAUAUGCACAUUGAAGCAUUCUUUCUCCCUCUUGAAACAUUUCAACUUUCGUAUUUAAGCCUUAACUAACAAAUUAAAUAUCCAUCAACUUGCAAUCGGUGUAGUAUGCAUCUGUUCCAUAAUUAUUGGCCUCAUGGCCCCCAAUUAUAAAUAUGCUUUAUUUGAAAGUUCGUCUAUCUUCACGUGUUAAAUGACAACUUUGUUGAUGUUAUUCUGCUAUUGAUGGUUGUCAGCAGCCAAAGGCUCAGAAGGAUUCAUGUUUAUAGAAUGCUAAAACCCCAAACCAUAAACCUUCCAACACGUGUGAUCUGCCAGCCACACAAAAAGCUUCACGGAAAGGUUACUAUUAAGAAUAUUGUCACAUUCCAUCAAUUUGUGCACAACUUGAGGGAUAAGGAUCUUUUCCGAAUCUUCUAUGAUCACAUAUUAGCAGUUAAUUAUAUAUUGUGUGGUAAAUUUUCGUUAUGUAUUAUUUAUAUUUAAUUUUAAAAAUAAUUUUUUAUCGCACGAUGAAUGAUUAAAAUGUGAAAAUCUCUAGGAUUCCGACAAUUUGAAUAUGAAUGAAAUCCAAUUCUCAACUUGAGAACUAGUUGCCUGUUAUAGUUUGUUUAAAUUAAUCUAACAGUACAACUAAAUUAUUAGAAAAUUAGCAAUAAUAGAUAAUUUCAAAAUGUGUGGUACUAUCUACAACUAUAUUUUACCUUCUACACAUAUUUUGUUAGUUUAUGUUCUUUAGUUUUUUUUUUUCAAUUCAUUCGAUUCGAUGGUAGAAAAUUGAUAAUACUACUAUAAGAAUGCAACGAAAAAUCACAAUUUAACGGUUACUUUAGCUCCGAUUUUAAUGAUUUUUUACAGCUACACUCCUCGACCCUAUAAGAAUGCAAUGAAUAAAUUUGAUCUUCAAUUUAAAAUUUACACUAGUGGAUACCACAAAAUCUUAUUUUAUACUUAAUGGAAGUAUAACAUUAAGUUUUAAGUGUUUAUUUAAUCUACAGUUUUGACGCGAUAUACAUUCUACGAAACUUUUUUUAAUGAUCUAACCGUCAAAUUUGUUUGUACACACUCCAAGAUCACAUACGUAAAAAAUCACAAAAAAUAAACAUUCAGAGAUUAGGUAGCAAAACAAAAGUUUUCAACGGUUAUAAACGAAAAAUCAAAAUUUAACGGUUAUUUUAGCUCCGAUUUUGAUGAUUUUUUACAAUUACACUUCUUGACCCUAUAAGAAUGCAUUGAAUGAAUUUGAUCUUCAAUUUAAAAUAUUUACACUAGUGAAUAUCACAAAAUCUUAUUUUAUACUUGAUGCGGAAGUAUAACAUUAACUCUUAAGUGUUUGUUUAAUCUACAGUUUUGAUGCAAUAUGCAUUCUAUGAAACUUUUUUCAACGAUCCAACCGUCAAACUUAUUUUUACACACUCCAAGAUUGUAUACGUAAAAAAUCGUAAAAACAAACAUUCAGAGAUUAAGUAAUGAAACAAAAAAUUUCGAUGGUUAUAAACAAAAAAUCACAAUUUGUUUGUAAAUCAAAUAUGUUUGUAUAUUCCGAGAUAGCAUGUGUAAAAAAUCGCAAAAAAAAAAUUCAAAGAUUAGAUAACGGGACCGUGAGUGAAAAAAAAAAUUAAACCAUUUGUUUAUUUAUUUAUUUAUUUUUAAUCAAUGUAACAUUUUAAAAUAAUAAAAUAGUCAAUUUCUGUUGGUUAUAACCGCCACCAUUAACAUAGAAACCGCCAGAAUAUGUUAAAACUAUUAAAAAAAAAGAAUUCAAAAAUACUGAAGGUUAUAAUAAUUUUAUGGCGGUUAAAUCCGCCAGGAAUUUAUGUCGGAUAUAUCCGACAGAAAGUACUUUUAAUCCGACAGUAAAUAAAUUAUGUGUCAGAUAUCUUUUAUCCGUCAGAAUUGCUUUUUAACCGUCAGAAUCGUCCAACACAUAAAGCUAAUAUUGUAGUAGUGAGUGUGUAGCUAUAAAAAAAAUGUGGGGAUAACAAAACCAUUUCAUUAUUUGCAUGCUGAAAUAGAAAGGAAAUAUAAAAGAUAUGAAUAAUAGAGGCGGAUGAUAGGGAAUGCCAAAAGUGAGGUUGCUCGUUCAUUGCACCACAAACAUUGUCUAGGGCAAAUCCUGUUGACUCGAUUUGCUCUCAUCGCUCUCAUCCUUAGAGGCCAGUAAGCUCAUCUCCGUGCAAAUAUUAUUUCACCAUAAGUGAGAUUUUUUUUUUCUUGUAUAAUCUGAGUGUUAAACAUUUCUCUAAUUAACAUUAUCAGUUAUGAAAAUACUAAAUUACUCGAGCACCGUAAGGAAGAUAAAUCCGGCUAGUAUAAUAUCGAGACUCUUCCAAAUCCGCGUUCCGUCAAACUCAGUACAUUAAUUGGAGAAUUAGUAUCAACCACUUCUGUUAAUAGUCAAGGAAAGAUAAAGGUAGGUAGCUAUAUGAAACAUGACAUUAAUUUAAUGUGGCCCAUUAGACGCGUUCUGCAAAAACAAGUUACUAAUAGUACUACGUGAUACUUUACAUGCGAGAAAGUAAAGUCUCUUGCGUUAAUGUGGCAAAAACAAGUAAAGAGUCUUGCAAGGUAUCAUCCAAGCUAUCUGUGAACACGGAAAAUUCCUAAAACGAAAGAGACAAGAACAAACGUGCACAAACAAAUAUUUGUAUUUGAUAGUUUUGGGUUACAAUCUCUCUCUAUUUUGAUCCUCUGAUUCGAUCUCCGUAAGGUGUUGAUUUGUGGAUGUUUCGUUGAUCCAAGGGCUGUUGAGGCUUGAUCUUGGAUGAACUGUUGGAAGUUUCUUCAAGGGGCCAUGGGCUUGAUCUUUGAAGGUGGAUUUGAGCGGAUCUUCAAGGGCUUUUGGGCUUAAUCUUGAAGAACUGUUGAUGAACGGAUCUUCAAGGGCCUUUGGGGCUUGAUCUUGAUGAACAGUUGAUGGAUGGAUUUUCAAGGGGCUUUUGGGGCUUGAUCUUGAUGAAUAGUUGAUGGAUGGAUCUUCAAGGGCUUUUGGGCUUGAUCUUGAAGAACAGUUGGAUGUGUGGAUUCGUUGAUGUUGUUGAUCCAAAGGGCCGUCGAGGCUUGAUCUAGGGAUGAACGGAUGAUGAACGAUGGUGCUUUUCUUCAAGGGCCGUCGGGGCUUGAUCUUGGAAGAACGAUGAACGAAGAACGAAGAAGGCUUUCUUGAUUCUUCGGACACCUGGAUGCUUGAGAGCUUCGGAGUUUCAGAGCUUCAGAGCCUCAAGGUGUAAUAUCAAUUGGUUCCCUUAAAUGAAUGAAAUAGGCUUGUAUUUAUAGAAUUUUCCAAGGCCUAAUUUUGAAUAUAAUAUCCCAGAUGAAAUAAGUUGUUUCUGCCAGGUGUUGACACGUGUCCUAUUUGAUGACUUUUCCAACUCAUUUCAAUUUUCGUUGAGUCACACGCUACGUGUAAAAUUUAUGUAAUACAUGAGUGUUGACACUUUGAUUUAUCGGUCAACAUUUAUUUACCGAAAUUUCGAUGUCUACAAAUGCCCCCACUUCAAGGCACGUCGUAUACAUGUGCUUGUCACGUGUAGGAGAUGCGUUUUGAAGUCCCUUAUUGUAGAUGUCGAUUCAAGGGCCAUUCGAGGCUUGACCUUGAAUUGGGCUAGAGAUUUCUUCAAGGGCCGUUGAGGCUUGAUCUUGAAUUGGGCUUGAGAUUUCUUCAUGGGCCGUCGAGGCUUGUUCUUGAACUUUCGUUUGAAAUUUCUUCAAGGGCCGUCGAUGCUUGAUCUUGAAGGUUGAAAUUGGACCACAAGGAGCUUCAUGUGGUAGAUGAUCUUUGGCUUUGGUAGUGGGUGAAUCGGCACAUAUUUUGUUACGCUUGUUGACUUUCCACAGCUUUGAUCUUGAACUGGGUUGGAGGAUUUUCUGGAUUCCUCCAAUUGUUGAUUUUCCACAGCUUAUUCUUGAACUAGGUUUUGAUUCAAGGGUGGUAGACACUUAAUCUUGAAUCGGACUUGUGAUUUCCUUAAGGGCCGUCGAGGCUUGAUCUUGAAUUUUGCUGGAAACUUCUUCAAGGGCCGUUGAGGCUUGAUUCUUGAAGGUUGACUUGAACACAUGGCAAGUAGGCAUGAGGUAAAGGUGACAACCUGUUUCUUUGUUCAAUAUUCUAAUUCACACCUGAGCAGUUUGGUCAACGGUAUGAUCUUCAAGAUUGAUGAACUCUUCUUCCAGUUGGUGACUUGAUCUUUAAAGAUUCGAUUCAAGGGUGGUGAAUUGGCACGUGCUGCCCACAACGCCUAGUAAGUCGACCCAAGAAUUUGAGGGUCAAAACGAGUUCUUCAUCUCAGACUCUUUCUGCCGAGUUGACUGUGCAUGCUGCAUUCUUCUCUGCUUGUUUCUUCAGGCAGAUAUGGCAGCUUCUCGAGUUCUUCAGCUCGGACUCCUUCUGCUGAGUUGACCGUGCAUACUGCAUUCUUCUCUGCUUGUUCCUUCUGCACCUUGUCUCCACAUGCUGCAAGGUAUCAUUUUCACUUGCCUUAUCUGUUCUCCAGGCAGAUGUGGCAGCUUCUUUGGAAGUACAGCAGCAGUGGGAGACGAGUACUCGAGAGCAGUGCCAGGUAGGCAAUCAGGGAAGGGUUCCAAGCAGUCGGUUCCUUACCCGAGUUUGAGUGGAAGUUCCGGCAUAUUGUUUUCUUUAUCCUUGUCUUUGUAGGUAAGAACAAGGACAAAGGAAAGGACAGGGAGAACACAUGAUAUGAGAUACUCUUGCUUUAUACCCUGGUGAUAUGAGAUACUUUUGCUUUGGAGUCAUUGGCUUGCAGAGGUACCCCAAGGAAUAAGGAACACUGAAUGACUCGAGAGGCUUCGUUGAGAAAACAUCUUUGGAGAUGAAGGAAGACUCUGUAUGUCUGCCUUGCUAUGGAAGGUGAAGGUGGACAGUUAUAGGAGGUCCCUUAAUACCUGUAGAGGUACUAUUCUUUCACUCGUGUCGGCAACUAACGCGUGAUUGAACAGUAAACUUCACGUGCUUUCUCCUUCACCGAAAAUCUUCGACAAAUUGCCCGUGAUUUGCACAAAGUUGAGUGUGCAUAUGACAGGUGAUGACGCGGCUGAAAAAGACUGGCGCCUCUUCGAUAUCUGGGAUUGGCGCUUCGACAAAUUACCCGUGAUUUCCGCAAAGCUGAGUUUGCGUGUGACGGGUGCCGACACGUCUGGAAAAGCAAGAUGCUUCUCUGAUUUCUGAGCUUGCCUCUUCGAUUUUUGAAUGGCCUCUUCGAAUUCUGAGCUCGCCUCUUCGAUCUCUGAAAUCCUGUUGAGUGCUGAUUUUUAUAGAGGCACGCAGUUCGUUUCAAAGCACACUUGAAUUUUUGCUUAUAGAAACUCCCUUCUUGCACUUCUAAGAUCUUGAUCUGUCCGACCUCUUCUUCCUUCAAUACCUUUGAAAAUGUCUGGACCCUCCGACCGUCGUUUUGAUUUGAACCUUGGUGAAGAGGCAGUCCCGCAUUCCCCCGACAACAUAUGGCGCCCCUCAUUCAUAUCCCCUACUGGUCCUCUUACCGUUGGGGAUUCGAUGAUGAAGAAUGAUAUGACCGCUGCGGUGGUGGCCCGGAACCUUGCCACUCCCAAAGAUAGCAGACUGCUUUCCAAGCGGUCUGAUGAGUUGGCUGUUAAGGAGUCUCUGGCCCUUAGUGUGCAGUGUGCGGGUUCUGUGUCCAACAUGGCCCAACGUCUAUUUGCUCGAACCCGUCAAGUUGAAUCCUUGGCGGCUGAAGUGAUGAGUCUCAAACAGGAGAUUAGAGGGCUCAAGCAUGAGAAUAAACAGCUGCACAAGCUUGCACACAACUAUGCCACCAACAUGAAGAGGAAAAUUGACCAGAUGCAGGAAUCUGAUGGUCAGAUUCUACUUGAUCAUCGGAGGUUUGUGGGCUGUUCCAACAACAUUUGCCUUCGUUUUCUGGGGCUGUACCGCGUAGUGAAGCUCCGAAUGAUCAACCUCUAAUACCUUCUCCUUCUGUGGCCCUGCCGACCGCUGAAGCUCCGCCUGAGCAACCUUUGUGAAGGCUCUCCCUCUCUCAUUUGUUUAUUUUGACUUAUGUAUAUUUGCAAUUUAUCGGAAACAUUAAUAAAUGAGCUUUAUUUCUCUUAGUGUCUAUAUGCACUUUUUUUUUUUUUGACGUUGGGAAAGUAGUUCAUUUACUUCUUUUAUAGAAAAUGCAGCUUCUUAUCGAGCAUCAUAACCAGUAACUCGUAUGAAGAGGAAAUUGAGUGCGGAACAUGCAUUACGUGCUGAAGUAAAUCAACUAAGAGAGAGAAAAACAUAUUUAACUUUUCAUCUAGGCGUCGUAGCAUAGUCUCAGCAAUGCUUUGUUGCUUUCGCUCUCUGUGCUUUGGGCUGGGCCGAGAGUAUUUCAGAUACUCGUCCCACGGAACCAUCUUAAGUCCUGCUCGAACAGAAAUUAUGUCCCUGGCCCUCUCCGCAAAUUCAAUCGCGGUUUCCCCAGGCCUAAUGUUUUGGGGCUCCAAAUACCACACAUUACAAACAACAGCCCAUGACGUCAUAAGUUGUAGCAGAUGCAUUGUGAAUGACUGCUUUUUGCUGUUCCACAAAGCAUCGACGAAAAUUUUGUUGUACUUUGAUUGCGACGGGGCAAACUGAGCAGCCAAUCUCAAAUGCACCCUUCUUAAACAUAACAGUGUAGUGAUUGUUUACACACGUUCCUUCAGGAAAUAUAAGGAGAGGGUUAUUGUCUGCCCCCAGCACAUGGUCCCUUAAUUUCUUUGUUACAAUUUCCCGAUCCUUUGCCUCUGAACGAUUGAACCAAACGCACCCUACGCUCUCCAAAAUAGUGCUUUGCAGAAAGGUUCUGUGUUGGGGGUUGAUGAGAGGCCCCUCUAUCUGCCUCAUCCCAUCCUUCCACGUGAACAAUAUUAAUAUCAAGAGGGGGAAAGGCAACCUACGUGGUGAUUUAUUCAAUCUGAAGCAUACAGCUAAAGCUGUAUGUCCUUUGUUUUCUCCCCAAAUAUGUUGUUUCCUGGCAGGUAAGUAUGGGCGUUUAAAUUUUCUCCAUCUUUAACAAAAGAUUGCUGCAUGUGAAUAUCAUCAUUUCGCGGCAUGUGCACUGUAGUGUUGGUCUGUUUUGGGUGUGUAUAAGUAAGCCUUCCUGUAAGGCUUUUUUUUAGGCAGGUAUUCGAUUGCUGCUUCAUAUUUGUGCAGGUUUGCUUGCUUCUCUGAACACCACAACUACGCAACGAUUUCACGGCCAACUGCGCAGCCACUGCAUUCUCACCGUCACUGCCAAGCCCUUGCACAGCCACCAUCCUUGCCGCACAGCCGCCGAGUACGGCAGAUCGUCAGGCAGCUGGAGAAGUGACGAUGCAAUGAUCGUCGGCCGUUUCGCCGCCAUUCUCCAAGCACUCGCUUCUGCCUGAGCAGGUCGUCACUGGGUUUUUUUUUUUUUUUUUUUUUUUUUUUUCACUUGUUGAAGGACCACGAACCGUGCCCCCUUCCUCUUCCUCAUUUCUAUUUGAACUUUUUGCAGCCGCUGCUACUUUUAGCCACAGAGACCGGAGAGAGAGAGAAAACAUCCAUUGGAGACAACACCAAGUUUCUUCUGGUCCUCUCCUUGGCUAUUAACUGCACCCUGAGCCCCGAUCAAGUUGGAAGUGCUGGCCCUCUGCCGCAGGGAGACGAUCAGUUUGCAUUCCAACGCAAUGCUAGGGGGUAUGUGAUCGUAGGUUCUGUCGGGGUUGCAGGCUGCAGCUAUUCUCCGACUUGCAGGCGUGAGUCUGCAGCAGCUCGUCCUCUCUGCCUUAUAGCGGGAGCGGGUUGGCUAGCAACUGAGCUGGUAAACAAAAAUCAAAGAAAUGGGUGACUGGCUGAAAUGGUGCUGGUAUGUGGUUGCUUAGAGUCCUGCCAUUUUGCUGUCCUCGUCUUUCCCUAACGCCUGGAUCUCUGCAGUUGCUCUCCAACUUCCACUUUUGCACAACGGAGAUCACAGUACAUUAAUUUAUACACAACUCCACUUUCAUGGAUUGUAUUGUUGAUGCUUUAGCUCCACUGAUCAGGACAGUACCACUGAAGUGAAGGUGCUUGCUCAUCGGAGAAGAAGUUACAGGCCUCCUCACUGCUAAAGAAAUUGUGCUCCUCUACCUUCACCAAAGGCUGGUAGCUCUUCUGGAACGGAAAGCAAUUCAUCGACGAUGAUGACGGCGAGGAGGACGAGGAGCAGUUGAAUUUGAGUGAAGUGGAGGCCGGAGACCUGAUCAGCUGAUGGUUUUGAAGGAUGCCAGAUGAAGACAUAGUCAAGUUUGGACUGUUAUCUUCGUUCAAGAUCGCACUCGAGUCACUGUCUGAAGAGCUAUCUUUGAAAUCUGGGAACAAUGAGACGGUUUCUAGUACUCCACUUGUGUUGUUGAAGCUCUCAAAGUUGAGCUCGUUACACUCUGUUUCUGGAGCAGAGGAUCCCGGAGGCGGUGGCGGUGACUGGCUCCGCUCCUGAACCACUUUGUAACUCUGAUCUUUUCCCAAGAGUUGCUCUUCUUUCCCGGUGGGAUUCUUGCUCCCUGCGUUAUCUUCUUGCAACUUUGCCUUCAAUUGCUUUAUUUCCUUGAGAAGGGCAUCAUUGUCAUGUUGAAGGGUAUCGUAGUUCCGCUUGACAGUGUCGUUUGCAUGCAUAUAUAUAUAUACUUUAUUUUCUUGUUGUCCUGUCAUCCGCAUGCAUAUAUAUUUUAUUUGCUUUGGUGGCGUCUUCUGCAUGCAUAUAUAUAUAUAUAUAUAUAUUUGCUUUGGUGGCGUCUUCUGCAUGCAUAUAUAUAAAUAUACUUGUUUGCUUGUCCCAUCCUUGGCGUCUUCUGCAUGCGUAUAUAUAUAUAGUUGCUUUGGUUGUCCCAACACUUGGCGUCUUCUGCAUGCGUAUAUAUAUAUAUUUGCUUUGGUUGUCCCAUCAUUUGUCAUCCGCAUGCAUAUAUAUAUAUACAGGGAGCUUAAGGGGAGGGAUCCCCAUUUUUUCAAAAAAAAUGGGGACACGCUCCCCACCGUUAGAUUGACUUUAAUGAAAUUGUGUGGUUGAGAUUAAAACACAGGCCUUAGAAUCUCAACCACAGGAUUUCAUUUAAUUCAAAUCCAACGGUGGGGAGCGUGUCCCCAUUUUUUUGAAAAAAUGGGGAUUCCUCCCCUUAAGCAAUUCCUAUAUAUAUAUAUUUGUGUGUUUGCCGCAUCACUCUGCAUGCAUAUAUAUAUACAUUUGUUUCUCUUUCCCGCCAUCUUCACUGAUGGAUUUUGUUGUAAUGCUAGGGAUCUUUAAUUACGAAGCUUUCAGAGGCGUGGUAUUUGGAGUGAGCAGGGCGUGAGCAUAUUUGUGCCUUCUGCUGCCUAGGGUUCGCGCAAGGGACUGCAGCGGGUUUUCGUUGUGUGGUGCCUUUUUGCUGCCGCUUGGAAUGACUGUCUCGUAGCUACCCGCUUUGCCGUGCUGCUGCUGAUUUAUUUUGUUUUUUUUUCGAGGUCAUGGUAUUUUUCAAGUGCUUUAAAGGCAGCACCCUUACCAUUCUUGCGCAGGCAGGUGACUCGCAAGACAAAGGAACGACAUUGAAGCUUUACGAGCCAUUGACUGGUCCUAAAGCGUUUGCUCUUCCCGCGAAAGAUAACUCCAUGCAUAUUAAGUCGUGGUCUUCCGAAGUAUCUUGGGAUGUGGUAGAUUCUGUCCAAACAGAUACGAAGAAAAAGGCGCACAUCUCGAAGAUUCUUAUCUUGAAUCCAUCGCACCAUGCUGGUGACAAUCAUUCGACCUCAUUUAAGCUUCUUGGUGAUCACAUCCGCCUUGGAGCUAAGUUUUGGAAGGGUACCCUGUCUACUGCUGGAGAGGCCGUUUUUUAUGAGUUUUAUUGGGAGUGGCUCGAAGAUGUCUUGAGCCGAUCUAAGGAUGUGCUUACUAAGGUGGACCUUUACCACGCUGUGUAUGCGUCUUUGUUUAGUUACGAUCGCCAUCCUUCCGUUAUUCGUGCGUUCUUAGAGUGUUGGUGCUCGGCCACCAACACACUUCACACAGCGCAAGGGGAGAUGUCAAUUUCACUUUGGGAUCUUCACAGGAUUGGAGGUUUGCCGAUCCAAGGUAAGUUUUACGACGAGGUCGUUCCCAGCGCAGAGGACCUUUCUCUUUGCAAUAACCGAGGAUUGCCUGCAAGUUGCCGCUAUUUGUUUUGGGCGUAUCACAGGCUUUUCCAGGAUGCUCGAGGUAAAUCAGGCGUGAGGAUUUCCUCAUGGAUCCGAUUCUGGUACUAGGAGGCCAUGAGAUAUAAGAAGCCUUCAAAGAAAAUUGGUCGUAACAAGACCACUAGGCCAAAGGGCGACUCAGACCCGUCCGGUGUUAUUGGCGCAACCAGGCGUCGCUCUUCUGAUGAGUUGAGAGCAUUUGAGGAUCUUGGCAUAGCACCAGAGCAUGUGGAGGAAUCUUACUUGGCUGCUUUCUUAGCUUGUUGGCUUUGUAAAUUUGUUUUCCCCGCAGGCGACGUCAACUUAGUUCGCCCUGGAGUUUUCAAAGUUGCUAGCAAGAUGGCUGCAGGUGAGUCUUUUAGCCUCGCUAUUCCGGUCUUAGCCAGCAUUUACAACGGCUUGAGCAUGGUUUCUGACUCGGCAAGCACUGAAGAUCGUGCUGCGGUAUUUCCUUACCACUAUGUGUAUGGUUGGUUGGAUGAAUAUUUUGGCACUCAUUUUUCUCUAUCGACUCUGGAUAAGUUAAGACCUUCCUCAUCGACCGGAGCCAAGCUAGGGCCUUUGAUGACGAAGUAUUCUGGUGUGCUCUCCGCGAAGAGCCUUGACGAUUUGCAAGCGCGAGCGCUAUUUAAGAGUUGUGAAGACUUGAGGAUGGACCCUUUAGCGAGAGUUGGCUCGGUGCGGCGAGGCAUCGUAGACAACUUGCAUCUCCGCUUCUCGGACUUGUCUUAUCUUAUAAGCCUUCGCUCGGGGUUUGUUUCUUUACGGCAAGAAGACCGAUGUAUCAUCCAGUCAUAUAGCCCCCACCGUUUCAGCAGGCAAUUUGGUUUUGUCCAAAGCGAGCCAAGCAAGUUGAAGGAAAGGAACUCAUCGGUAUCCCUGCAAGCCGUGUACAUGCAUUGGGAGUCUUGUACCCGUUCAUGCACAAAUGCUGUUAUUACGCUGUCGGCCAAUGAUGAGUUCAGGAGUAAUCCAGUGACCCGUGUUUACGCACAUUGGUGGUCAAAGACACAUUAUAAGAACUCGGGGACGACAAGUGGCGCCCAUUCUUCUCGCUUAAGCGAUGAUACGUCGAGAGAGGGUUGUCCUGUGAUUUCUAUGCGACUGGUACCCUUUGAUUGUGCGAGUGCGGCUCCCUUACAAGAUAGACCUGUAGCUUUAACUCUUCAACAUCCAUGCUUGUCCCCUCGACAUCCGGAUGCUUCCGAAGAGGCGGGGGAUGAAGGUGACUCGCACGAAGAUGGACUCAUUUUGCAGCAGAGUCCAUAAGUUUCAACCAAGAGAUCACUUGAGGAUGCUCAGGCUGACAGUGAUGUCAAUUUUCGUCACAAGAAGAAAGAAGCGCUUAGAACUCCUCAAUUCGAUGACCGUGCGCCAUUUGAGAGAGAUGUAUGUCCUUUAUUUUCUCUCACGAUUUCUUCUGCUUUUAUCGUUUUGGCUUUUAUUUCUAACCUCUUUCUCCGUCUUCUUUAGGUUGGGCCUUCCCGUCAUUUUGAUUUGGCAACUGCAGAUGUUUAUUCCUAUACGGGGAUGCUAUUUGCAGGUAACCUACCUACAGACGGGGAUAUCGGGGAUCCUCCUGGUGCAGAGCUUGUUCCAAAUCCGUCGAACUUCCCGAGUUUGCCACGUGUGGGUGGGGGUAUGCAAGAACCCGUCAUGUGUCCAACGCCUUUGCCAGCUAGCUCUGAGAUCUCUUUGAGAGGGCCGAAUCUUAGCGGUACUGAGCGACUCAUCCAUCGCAUAAGUCUUGGUGCGGCAAUGGAGAUCAAGGGCCAUAUUGAGGCGAGGAUUUCUAAGUGUCCACUGGAAGACCUCCCGUUGCUUAAUGAGGAUUUGUCGAAGUUUAUUUCGGUGAUUGACAACCUUAACGUUGAUUCCUCCUCCUUGAAGAUCAAGAUUGCCGAACUCAUGGCCGCCUCGACUGAAUAUUCUUCCUUGCGUGCUAUUUCCUUAGAGAAGUUGAGUCCAGAUGUCAGAGCUCAUCAGCUAACCAUGAUAGACUCAUCACUGGCUCAAGUCCGGUCAUUUCAGCAAGCUAUUUCAGGAGAUUAUCAAGCCACGGAGGCUUCGUUAACUUCUGUCCAAGGGCGUCUAGAUGCAUUGGUGCGAGAGCGAGAGCAGUUGGUAGUCGAGGCAUUACAACUUGAAAGUAUCCUCGCAGAGCAGGGAACUGCACUUUCUCAGUACCAAGAAGAGAUUUCACGCCUAGAACGAGAGAAAAACACGACUAUAGAGUUACCCAUCUUGUCUCCCACCGAGGUAGAGACUUUGAAGACCUUGGAAGGCUCGCUUGGAGAUCGCCUUCGUAGUUUUAGAGACAUAGUUUUCAAGUAAUAUUUCUUGUAAUAAGGCCUUGGAACCAACUCCUUCUUUCAAAGAAAUAAAGCAUUUAUGUUCUUGAAUUUGCUCCUCGAUCUUCAAAGUGUGUACUUAUUAUUACUAUUAUUUCUUUUAGAUGGUGUGACUGUACUUGAAGUUUUGACACUUCGAGUUGCCUACGUACCCUUUGUUGAGGAGGGAUCAAGUCAUAACGUAGUUCAAAAUACAUUUUUUUUAUAUAUAUAUAUAUUUUUUUGUGCCGUUUGCAGUUUCAGCUCGUGCAGACCAGGAGCGUUGUGCCAUGCAGUUUAGGCUCGUACAGGCGAUGAGCUCUGGUUCGUGCAGUUUAGGCUCGUGCGAACAAUGAGCAUGGUAUUUGUUGCCUUUCAGGGGUAGUAGCGCUUCAAGAAUCUGCCGUUGAUAGGGCCGAUCUUCAAGCCGUCUUCCGCCAUGAUUAAGUAGGCACCAUUGGUGUAGACUUCUUGUACUAUGUAUGGUCCAUCCCAUUUUGACGUGAACUUGCUCUUUGUCUUGUGAGUUGUGAUGAUAGGCCUACGCAAUGAAAGGACGAGAUCUCCCAUUUGAAAAGAUCGAGGGAGAACUUUCUUGUUGAAGGCUUUAGAGAGUCGAGCUUGAUAACACUCUAGGUGUUGCUGGGCUUCGAGUCUUUUCUCAUCCAGUGCCUCCAGUUCUUGAAGACGCAACUUUGCAUUCUCUUCGUCAGUCAAGCCUUCUUGUAUAGCCAUCCUUAGCGAGGGGAUUUGACUUUCGAGUGGUAGAACAGCUUCUACGCCAUAUACAAGAGAAUAAGGUGUGGCUUGGGUAGGCGUUCUAUAUGUUGUCCUGUAUGCCCAUAGGGCUUCGCCUAUUCUUUCAUGCCAGUCUUUCUUUGUUCUACCGAUUACCUUCUUCAGGAGGUUGCACAAUGUCUUGUUGAAUGCUUCUGCAAGACCGUUGGCUGGAGCAUGAUACAUGGAGGAUUUGCGCUGCUUGAACUUGUAUUUCUCGCAAAGCUCGUCCAUGAGUCGGUUUGAGAACUGCUUUCCGUUGUCGGUGACAAUGUAGCGAGGCACCCCAUAUCGAUGGAUGAUAUGUCCCUUGAUAAAACAGACGACAGUUUCCUUCUUGACUUCCUUCAGGGGUAUGGCCUCAGCCCACUUAGAGAAGUAAUCUGUUGCAGCCAGGAUGUAAGCCUCUCCCGUAGAUGACUUUGGCGCAAUUGGUCCUACGACAUCCAAUCCCCAUGCAUCGAACGGCCAUGAAGUAGCUGUGGGGUGUAAUGGUUCAGGUGGUUGAUGUAUGAAGUUGGCGUGAAAUUGGCAGGCUUGGCACCUUUUGGCGUAUUCUAGGCAGUCCUUUACCAUGCUUGGCCAGUAAUAACCCAUUCUUUUGAGCUGGAAAUGAAGCUUUGGUCCGGACUGGUGUGCUCCACAUAUUCCUGAGUGUGCUUCUUCCAUGGCUUGAUUGGCUUCUUCCUCGCCUAGGUAUCUCAGAAGUACCCCUUCGAAAGAUCGCCGGUAGAGUGUCCCUUUGUAAUAGAGGAAGCGAUGUGCUCGUCGACGUACUUCAGAGCGGUGUUUCGGAUCAUCUGGAAGCAUUCCAUGCUCCAAGUAGUUGAUCAGAGGCUGUCUCCAUUCUUCAACGUUGACCGGAAGUAUUGAAAUAACGUUUGUAUCGCUUAGUACUGUUUCAGUGACAAGCGGGAUUACCCAUCUUUGGCAGACUGGCACGUUUGUAGCUUCGUCUUCUCCUAAUGUCAUGCUCGAGGCUAGGUUGGCGAGAGCGUCUGCCAUUUGAUUCUCUUUUCUUGGCACGUGUUCUAGUGUUACGGCCUCAAACCUUUGUAGUAACUGCGUUGCUAACCGGAAGUAUGGGACGAGGUCAUCUUUCCUCACCUCAUAUUCAGUCAGGAGUUGAUUUAUUAUGAGCUUGGAGUCGCCGUAUAUCUCAAGGGCUGCGAUUUCCAUGUUGAUUGCCAUUUGGAGCCUGAGGAUCAGUGCUUGGUACUCAGCGACGUUGUUAGAGCAUAAUUCGCUUAGCUGGAAUGAAUAAGGUAGUACUUGCCUUUGUGGCGACAUGAAUACUACUCCUGCCCCCGCUCCGUCUGCUCGUGCAGAUCCGUCGAAGAACAUCGUCCAUGUCGGGAAUAUGUCGAUGCAAAACGCCUCUUCGUCGGGCAAGUUGUCCGAGAUUUUCCAAUCAGCUGGGAUUGGAUGGUAGGCAAGGAAGUCUGCUAGCGCUUGUCCUUUGACGGCUUUGGCUGGGACGUAGAUGAUCUCGUAUUGAUUGAGAAGCAAUGCCCAUUUAGCUAGUCGUCCUGUCAACACUGGCUUGGACAUGACGUAUUUGACCGGGUCAGCUUUAGUAACCAAGUGGAUGGUGUAAGCAUGCAUGUAAUGUCUGAGCUUCUGGAUGGCAAACAUCAAGGCCAGACACAUUUUUUCUAUUGGGGAGUAGUUCAAUUCGGCGCCGGUAAGCGUUCGACUGAGGUAGUAGAGCGCUCCUUCUUUCUGGGCCUCGUUUUCCUGUGCCAAGAGUGCUCCAACUGAACUUUCCUGAGCAGCAAUGUACAAUAUGAGUGGUUUCCCUGGUACAGGUGCCCCCAAGACGGGUGGACUUGAUAAAUACUUCUUUAUGCUUUCAAAAGCAUUGUUGCAUGCUUUGUCCCAUACGAACGGAACAUCUUUCUUCAUGAGUCGACUGAACAGUUGACAACGCCCUGCAAGGUUGGAGAUGAAGCGUCUGAUGAAGGCUAGCCGACCUUGUAGACUUUUCAACUCGUGCAGGUUUCUUGGCUCGGGCAUGCUUUGAAUGGCCUUGAUCUUUGAUUGGUCUACUUCAAUGCCACGAUGCUUGACAAUGAAGCCAAGGAACUUUCCAGAUGUGACGCCAAAUGCACACUUUAACGGGUUCAUCUUGAGGUUGUAUUUUCGCAACCUUUCGAACACUACUCUCAAAUCCUUCAAGAUUUUUGAUCUUUUCUUUGUCUUGACCACCACAUCAUCCACAUAGCAUUCUAUGUUUUUGUGUAGCAUGUCAUUGAAGAUCUUCUGCAUUGCGCGUUGAUAUGUAGCUCCAGCAUUCUUCAGACCAAAUGGCAUCACCUUGUAGCAGUAGAUACCUUUUGGAGUGCGGAAGGCUGUUAGUUCCUCAUCUUCAAGAGCCAUACGAAUUUGAUUAUAUCCAGAGGAGCCGUCCAUGAAUGAUAGUGCUUCAUGGCCAGUGGUUGCAUCCACCAUGAUUUCAAUGAUUGGCAAGGGGAAGUCAUCAUUUGGGCAAACAUUAUUGAGGUCUCGGAAGUCCACGCAAACACGUAUUUGUCCGGAUUUCUUAAGGACUAUGACGAUGUUGGAGAUCCACUUGGGGUAUUGCACCUCUCGAAUGAAGCCUGCUUCGAUCAACUUGUCAAUCUCGGCCUCGAUUUGUGGGAUGAGCUCGGAUCGAUAGCGUCUUUGAGUUUGCUUUAUUGGUCGCGUUCCAGGCUUGACUGCAAAAUGAUGCACAGCAAUGAUAGGGUCGAGGCCGGGCAUUUCCUUGUAGGUCCAAGCAAAGACGUCCUUGAACUCUAAUAGCAGCUGGUAAUACUUCUCUAUCUCGUCUACACUUAGUAAUGCACUCACGAAGAUAGGCUUCGGUUCCUCACUUGUGCCUAAGUUGAGUUCUUUGAGAUCGUCAACUGUGGCUUGCCCCCCAUCUUCGAGUUGUGACGGUGCUGCAAUGACAUCUUCCUCGAUGAUUUCAUCUUUUUCACCUUCUUGGAUUGUGAUGUGGAAGACGUCUUGGGCUUCUUCUUCGGUGUUAACCUCUCGAGCUAGUUGGCAUGAAGAUUGUCCAGUGUGAAUGAUGGUACGCCUUUUCACUUUCAGUGAUCCAACUGUGUUAACCUCCAAAAUUGCUUGGCGCUUCAUUCUUGAAGGAGUGGAACUUCGAACGUCAUCCUUUUCUGCCAGGCGAUCGAUCUCUUCUACUUCUGGUGUCAUAUUUCUCCUUUUGGAAGACUCUUUGGCUUCUCCAAGUCUUUCCAUAACUGAUUGUCGUGGAGGAAAGCUAGUCGUAUUGCUUUGCUUUUUAGGUUUUGAUAACCUUUUGAAAACAGAGCCUCGAGAUACUGACGUGUUAAGCCUUUUGAAGACGGAAGUUUUGUUUUGACCGCCAAUGAGUUUAGGUGCCGAAACUCUGGGCUUCGAACAAUUCAUUCUAUCGAAUACUAAUGUCCGGGGGGCAGAUUGAGGCUCCUCUUUAUCUUGUAUAAUGCUUACACUGAUGUGUUGAGUGCUAGCAUUUUUUGCCUUGCUGGAGAUCUUCACCGGUGCAUUUGGUGUGAAGCCAAGUCCAGCUUUGUUGUUGCUAACCCCGUAACCAUGCUUCUCUAACUUCUUCUGAGUUUUAGUGAGAUCACGUUCGUUGUCUUUGACGGUGUUUAAAUCAUUCUUUCCCAAAUUUGCAGAGGAGGUGAAGUUAUACCCAGCUUUCGACAUAAGUUUGUAGGCGUUUGGAUCAAAACCUUCUUCGGUCCUUUUGGUUGGGAGAAAGCUUGGUUCUACCCCCUUUGGCAGGCCUUUUAUGAAGCCCUGUGAUGGUUUUGCAACCUUGGUGUUGCCUAGCUGGGUCAGAGGCAAAACUGCAUUCGUUUUGAGCAACUUUACAUUAUCUAUGUGCCGCUGUGCAUCGGCUUUGCUCGCUGCAGUUUCAAACGGGGAUUGACCAUUCUUUCUUCUCGACGUCGGGAUGUACCGGAAGACGGGUACGCUUGGUCCAUUUGAGGUCGUCCUACUUCCUCUGGUUAUUGCAGGUUUAGGAAGUUCAUCGUUGUUUUUGCUUGAAGAUGGCAUAGCUUCUUCUUCUUGCUUCUUGGGCAUAGCUUGCCACUCCUGUUUUUUAGGCGCUGCUUUGCUCAUGGAUUUAAUCUCUUUUGGAAGAGUUUCGGGCACCGUGUCUUCAUUCAUGUAGAACUUGGCGUCUGCGAAAUGUGAUUCAGCUUCGGUGAAUGGCUUGGUGUCGCCAUAGAUCACUUUCACUCGUUCUUGGUAAAAUUUUAAACAUUGGUGAAGGGUGGACGGUACCACUCCGUUUGCAUGGAUCCAAGGCCUUCCUAAGAGCAGACCGUAGGAAGUUCUUGCAUCAAUCACGUGGAACAUCACGCUUGACUUGAGUUCACCAAUGGUCAUCUCCACUCGGAUCAUGCCCAUCGCUCUUUGUCCUCCUUGGUUAAAACCUUGGAUUAGUAGACGGCUUAGGGAUAGUUCAUCCACCUUGAUGCCGAUUGCGGUCAUUGUUGACUUUGGCAUGAUAUUUAUGGCUGACCCGCCGUCCACAAGCAUGCGGCUGACUUUGUGCUCCCUUACGUACCCAGAGACGAAGAAAGGUCGGUUAUGAGGCUUGGAUCUUAGCAACAAGUCUUCGUCGGCGAAGUGGAUUGUGUCCUCGGUGGCACAGCAUGUGGCACACUCGUGUGGCCGAUGCCUCAAGCCUUCGUUCUUGCUUUCUUGCACUUCGUGGUCGUUUGGACUCGCUAAAACCGUUGCCAAUGCCCUUUGUAUCUUCUUUGGCAAUUGUAGCGCUUCCUCGAUGCUAAAGUGUAUUGGCAGACCUUCUUCAAGUGUCGGAGUAUUUUCUCCCUCAGCGACGACAAUUUUGCCCUUUGAGGGUUCUUCCAUUUCUACUUCGACCACGUGACAUGCGGUGAUAGUGCAAUGUUGGAAAAAGUCUUCCGGGAAGUACUCGUGCAAUGAGACGGGAAUGCGUGGCUUUUGCUCCGCAGGUUCCCCAGCAUAUAUUGGCUUAGCAACUCUUAUGUUUCUCUUAGGCUUCCUAUUGCCGCGACGGCGGUGCUUUCUCCCUUGUUCCCCCUUUUGCUUUAUAGCUUGCGGUUUUGGUUUCCUCGUCCUCUUAUAGGUCACCAAUGUCCAUCCUUUGUCAUCGUCAGUAGGUGCGUCCUGGUUACUUGCCCCCAGUGACGGUGGUGCAGAAUGUGCAGUGUGGUUUGAGUAUUGCCGAGCAUGGUCAGGCAUUUCUUGAAGAAACACGGGAUCAAAGGAUCCGAACACGACCGUAGUAGUGUGCGUCGCAGCUGUGUCUUCUAGGUCGAGCUCAAUCCGUCCUUGUUGUGCCAACUUCAUGAUGAGUUCUUUUAGGAUGAAACACUUGCCCACAUGAUGACCCACGAUACGAUGGUACUUGCAGUACUUGGGAUCAUUGAUGCGAUUCAUUUCUUCAGGGCGUUUGCAUUCGGGUAACUCAAUCACCUUCUUCUCUAGUAGGUCGUCCAGCAUUGCGUCCAUGUCGGAGUCCGGAAAAGGGUAUACCUUCUGCUCCAAUUCCCUCAAGGUGUUUUUGUACCUAUCUUGGGUGUGGGAAGGCUCACCUUUUUUUAUCUCCCUUGCUUUAUUGAAAGAGAUUUUGACGGGCGCGGACGAGGUCUUGAUAGGGGUGGUAUUGGUGGUAAAAGCUUCCUUGGCGAGCUUUUUUCCAUGAUUGUCUGCUCUUGAAGUGAACACUUUAUCCCUUUUGAAAUCGGUGAUUGGCUCCUUCUUUCCAUGGUGGGCGAUGCUCAACUCCAUGUCGUGGGCACGGGUGGCUAAUUCUUCAAAAGUUCGUGGUUUGAUACCUUGAAGGAUGUAUUGUAAACCCCAUUGCAUGCCCUGGAUGCACAUCUCGAUUGAAGAAAUCUCGGAGAGUCUGUCCUUACAGUCGAGGCUUAGAUUACGCCAUCGGUUGAUGUAGUCCAUGACUGGCUCGUCCUUCCACUGCUUUGUGCUUGUUAGCUCUAGCAUGCUCACAGUGCGGCGGGUGCUGUAGAAGCGAUUGAGGAAUUCCCGCUCCAAUUGCUCCCAACUAUUGAUGGACUCAGGCUCCAGAUCCGUGUACCACUCAAAGGCGUUUCCUUUCAGCGAGCGCACAAACUGCUUGGCGAGGUAGUCCCCUUCGAUUCCUGCGUUGUUGCAAGUUUCAACGAAGUGGGCAACGUGCUGUUUCGGGUUUCCCUUUCCAUCAAAUUGCAUGAACUUUGGUGGUUGAUAACCCCUCGGCAUCCUUAAGGCGUCGAUCUUCUUUGAAUACGACUUUGAGUACAACCCGGAGGUAUAUGAGCUCCCUUCGUACUGUGCCUUGAUGGUGUUGGUGAUCAUCUCUUGCAGCUGUUGGAUAGAAAGAGAUCCCAUGAGUGCCGCUGCUUGGUCUGGUUUUGGCUUCCCAUCGAUUUUCUUCACCGGGGGUUCUUCGUCUCCGCCAGCUCUUCUCUUUAGUGGAUCAUCCUCUGGGUCGGGUUUCUCGAUGUCCUGCGCCUCCAGUCGGUUGACUAAUGCCGCGAUUUGCAAGUCUUUUUCUUCCACAGUUCGAGUUAGUCUUGCGAUUGCUUCAUUCAUUUGAGCAAGCUGUUCCUCGACUGAAGUUGCUCCAGCGGUCAUGACCUGCAUGGCUGAACUGCCGCUUGAAUCGUCAUCGGAGAACAUGGAUUCGGAGUAUUCCCUUGGUCUUUCCCCCCCUUGGUGCCCUUAGUGAGGCUAAGGUGAUCACAGGCUCGCGUCUGGGGUACUCUCGUUCCCUUGGCAGAGUUGAUGCAGAGGUGAAAGAGGUGGCAGAAGUAGCUUUUGCUUUGCUUCGAGUCGUGAUACCCAACGUGACACCACUUACGAAGAGGGCGCCUUUGUUCUUUGCGCCGGUUAUGGGAACAGCUUGAGCCUUCCUUGACGUCAUUGAUUUUGGAAGUGUGCUUAUAUUCCUUGAACGGAGGAAGAGAUGAGAGGUAGAGAUGUCCCACUGGGCGUGCCAAUUUGUGAACACGGAAAAUUCCUGAAACGAAAGAGACAAGAACAAACGUGCACAAACAAAUAUUUGUAUUUGAUAGUUUUGGGUUACAAUCUCUCUCUAUUUUGAUCCUCUAAUUCGAUCUCCGUAAGGUGUUGAUUUGUGGAUGUUUCGUUGAUCCAAGGGCUGUUGAGGCUUGAUCUUGGAUGAACUGUUGGAAGUUUCUUCAAGGGGCCAUGGGCUUGAUCUUUGAAGGUGGAUUUGAGCGGAUCUUCAAGGGCUUUUGGGCUUAAUCUUGAAGAACUGUUGAUGAACGGAUCUUCAAGGGCCUUUGGGGCUUGAUCUUGAUGAACAGUUGAUGGAUGGAUUUUCAAAGGGCUUUUGGGGCUUGAUCUUGAUGAAUAGUUGAUGGAUGGAUCUUCAAGGGCUUUUGGGCUUGAUCUUGAAGAACAGUUGGAUGUGUGGAUUCGUUGAUGUUGUUGAUCCAAAGGGCCGUCGAGGCUUGAUCUAGGGAUGAACGGAUGAUGAACGAUGGUGCUUUCUUCAAGGGCCGUCGGGGCUUGAUCUUGGAAGAACGAUGAACGAAGAACGAAGAAGGCUUUCUUGAUUCUUCAGGCACCUGGAUGCUUGAGAGCUUCGGAGUUUCAGAGCUUCAGAGCCUCAAGGUGUAAUAUGAAUUGGUUCCCUUAAAUGAAUGAAAUAGGCUUGUAUUUAUAGAAUUUUCCAAGGCCUAAUUUUGAAUAUAAUAUCCCAGAUGAAAUAAGUUGUUUCUGCCAGGUGUUGACACGUGUCCUAUUUGAUGACUUUUCCAACUCAUUUCAAUUUUCGUUGAGUCACACGCUACGUGUAAAAUUUAUGUAAUACAUGAGCGUUGACACUUUGAUUUAUCGGUCAACAUUUAUUUACCGAAAUUUCGAUGUCUACACUAUCAUUCAAGGAAAGAUAAGGGUGGGUACUAUUCGAUUCACAUUAAGGGUAGGUAGCUAUAUGAAUCAUCACAUUAAUUUCAUGUAAAGUAUUAUUCGAUAGGAAAACUAAUGAAAAUUAUUUGAAAAUUUUGAGUUUUAACAAUAAUGAUAAAAUAAAGGGUAAAAUGAAUAGUAUCAGCAUUGACUUUUUAGUGUAAAAAUGUGAUUUUUCGUUAAAGUAAAUAAUACCGGGAGCUUUUUGUUAAUGUUCCCUUAUUCGAUUCUACAGUAAAGUAUCACGUCGUGCCCAUGAUUCAAAAAAAGCCUCUCGUAUGUAAAAAAAAGUUUAUGGAUAAUAUUAGGGAGAUCAAAUUUACAAACCAAAUUAUGCAUCACCAAUAGAAAAUAAACAUGUUAAUCAACACUUAAGUAAUAAUCCAAUUAUCAACAACUACAUCAAUUUAUUUAGAAUAUUUGGUUAAAAAUUUAAUUUCUUUCGUAUUACCCAUAGGUUUAUAGCCAUGGUAAAAAUAAAAGGGUAGAUAGAAGAAAUUAUUCAAUCUGACUAAAUCCGCUCCUCAGAAAUAUAUAAAACGAAAUCUACUUAUAUACAAAACUACAUUUUCUUUUUUGUUUGUCUUUUCAAUUUAUGUAUUUUUCGGUUUCUUGAAGAUAUUAGGUUUUCUAUGUAUCAAUGGUAGUUGGAAAUUGGAAUUUAUAAGGUAAGUUAGACUAGGUCACUAGGUAGUUAUGGAAAGACGUCUUAUUUUAACUUUCAUUAGAAUUUUGUUUGUCUCUUCCCUUGCAUGUUUUGACAGGAAGCUUGAGAUCCAAUAGGUAGCGUUUGGUACGCAGACGGGACGGGACGGGACAGGACGGAACGGAACGGGACGAAGGUUCCGUGUAUGUUUGGUACGCGCUGGACGGAACAUGUUGGUUGUUCCGUUCUGCGUUUGGUACGCGUUGGACGGAACGCAAAUGACUGCGAAACCCGUCGGUUCGAAACCCGUCAGCGAGAUUCUGUUCGAAACCCGUUGGUUUGAAACCCAACGACGUGUGAAUUUGGAUAGCGUGGCGUUGUGAAUCUGGGUGAAAUCCCGGGCUGCCGGAUCGGACAGCGUGGUGUUGUGAAUCUGGGUGAAAUCUCAGGCUGUCGGAUCGGACAGCGUGGUGUAGGCGUUGUGAAUCUGGAUGAAAUCCGGUCGUCGGACUCCGACUGCGACGCGUCUAGGUGGUAUUGCUUGACCAAAAUCUGGAUGAAAUCCGAUCGUCGGACUCCGACCGCGACGUAUCUGGGUGGUAUUCUUGGCCAAGCUCCGGUACGCCGACUUGAUCUUCGUUGGCGACGCGUUGGCCGUGACUCGGAGGACCUCGUACAGACUCGCCGUGGAGGCCGCUACUUGGCCUCGGUGAACGCCUGGGCGGAGGAGGCCUUGAUCUGGAAAUUAAGUGUCGGAUGGAAGUGAGAAGGAAGAAGGAGGAGACGAAUAGGCUGAGAUCCGAGGAAAGAGACAAUGGGAGAGGGAACGAAUUUUGUGUUCCACGGGAUGGAAAAACCUGUUCCAGGGGGGAGCGCGGAACGAAAAUUUAGCCCAUUUCUGUCCCGCGGGACAGCAGUUCCACAUAAUUUUAGCGCGCCAAAGAUGGGACGGAACGCGUCUGUCCCACCCUGUUCCGUCCCAUCCCACGUACCAAACGCACCAAUAAGGAACACAUUUUCUAGAGUUAGUUUCCAGACGGGAGGCAGAUUCUCUGUCCUCCCACUUUUCGUGCCCUGCUAUUUUGUGUGAUCACGGUUAAACUAUGUAAACAUUUUAUAUUAUUUUUUUAUAAAGAUAAUAAGACAAAAAAGAAUAGUACUAUAAAAUGUUGACGUGGCUUAACUGUGAUCACACAAACAUGAGGGCACGGGAAAUGGGAGGGCAGAGAAUCUGCCUCCUUCCAGACGUACUUGAGUAUCUUUUUCUAACUCUUCUUGUGUUGGAAGAUUUUUCAGUGUGAUCAGAAUAUGGAAUGGCAUCACGUGUUAUUAUACAAAUGGUGAGAUAUGUAUGUUAAAAAAUUAUUAACUUAAAAAAAUAAAAUUUCUUAUCAAUUAUAUAAAAAUAAGUGGUGUAUCACCUGUAUUCUGAUCACAAUUACAAAUUUCUCCUUAGUAGUAGUGAAUAACAUUGUUGAACAAUGAAUUAAAUUUGAAUUUCAUUGUAUGCCAAAGAUUUAUUUACAUAUCCCUAUUGCGCACUAAACGUGGGAACAAAAGGUUUCAUGCACCGUGAAAAUUUCUUUCCUCCUCUUGAAACAUUUCAAACUGUUGUACCCUAAACCUCAACCCACAAAUAAGAUAUCCAGCAACCCGCUACUAGUGCAGUAUACCUAUGUUCUACAAUUAUUGGCCUCAUGUCCCCCAAUUAUAUAUGCUCGUCAAAUGAAAGUUCUAUCUCCAGGUGAAGGGACCAUUAUUGCCAGAUGACGUAACCUAAGUGAUGUCACAGUGUUAUUGAUUGUUGUCAUCAGCCAAUGGUUAAGAACGAUUCAUCUUGAUUCAUGUUUGAGAUAAGCAAGUCUAAAUUAAAUAUAUAUCGAAAAAUAAAAAUAUACUCAAACUGGAUGAAAAUUUAUUUUUUAUUUUUUAACAAACAAUAUUAUCUGCAUUAAUGAAGUAGGCGAGUCAGUUAAACCUCACAAUGAGAUUGACAAUAAAAUUCCUCUUAACCCACAAAUUAAAUAUCCAACGAGUUGCUACAGGUGCAGUAUACCUCUGUUCUACAAUUAUUAGGAUCAUGCCCCCCCCAAGUAUAAAUGUCCGUCAAAUGAAAGUUCGUCCAUCUCCACGUCAAGGGACUAUUAUUGCCAGAUGACAUAACCUAGGUGAUGUUACAAUGUUAUUGAUUGUGUCAUCAUCCAAUGGUUAAGAAGGAUUCAUCUUGAUCAAGAUAUUAAAUAUCGAUGAUAUCAGAAAUAUCGGUAGUUCGAAAACACGAAAAUAUCGGGAUAAUAUCGAUAUCGAUAAAAAUAAUAAACCACAGAAAUUGUAAGAAAAACUUGGAAAUUUUUAUUGAAACUUUGCAGGAUGUUUAUUUAGUCAAUUAUCUAUUAGUUUAUCAUAAAAAAUUGGAAGGAAAUGCAUUGCAUGAUGAAUUUAACAUUAUCAAGUUGAUUAUAUAGCGAGCUGGCAAACAUUGUGAGUGUAGAAAAUAUGUAGUAAUUAAUGAAAGAAGUUUAAACACACCAUAAUCAUAUAUAUAAUGAAUUAGUACAAUAUUUUACACUUUAUACAUUGCAUGGUAAGAUACAUGAGUAACUUAGUACCACAUAGAGUUCCUAUGAGGUUCAAAUUUUUCACUAUCUUCAUCAUCUCUAUGUGUAGAGUGAGUGUAUUGUGAAGAGUAGUUAUCAAAUGAUAAAUCCCCAAAAUAGUUUUGCAUGUAAUUGUUAACAUGUCACCCAUAUGGAUCCGAGAUUGGUUGACCUUGUCCAUAAGCAAAAUCAUUUGAAGAUUGAGUCUCGAAUUGUUUCCAUAAGUUGCUCGAUUCCAUCCCAACAGGAAUGAGAUAUAAAGGGUAGGGAAAUGGUUGGUUAUGAGUAUAACCAUAGUUACUACUUCUCACUCCAACAAAGUCCGAAGUUAUAGAUAACGAGUCAUCUUCUUGACUUAACAAAAUUCCCUUGCCUCUUUCUCAAUGAGUAUAGUCCUUCCCUAUGACACCAAUUCCUGGUCCUGCCCGCCUACUACCAUGGUCCUCAUCCUGUGUUGCAUGCGUGAAGUUUGCCUCACCAGUGAAGGGGCUCAUAAAUCCGGGAGGUGGUCCAACAUAGUUUCCAUAUCCACCACCACUACCUCAAGCUCCACUAUAUCCUUCAUCAUUCCCACCUCUGGUGGUAAGUGAGUCUCCUCCUGAUCUUGUACUAGAGCUAUCAUUAGUAUCAGCACGAUGUUGUGGUUGUGUAGGAUUGGAAGAAGGUGGAAUUCCAGUGUUUCUUGGUCUUGGGCGCAAAAGUUCUUCCAAAGAGUCAGCGCUGCUAGAUCCUACCUCAUCCGCUAAUACUCUUUCUACAUUUAUCCCUUCAUUACGUGCUUAUUCAGCAACUCUGGGAGCUGGGUUGCCUUCAUCAUCAUCUAAAUGAGAGGUCUAAUCCAUUGAUAAAGUUGGUUACCCUCUGGAUCAUCAUCUUCAGCAACAAUAUCAAACACAUCUAGUGGGUCACCACAGUCGACAUGAUCUAUUUCUUCUUCCUUAUCUCGAAUUUGAAGCUUCAUGUUGUAGUAGCAAUAAACUAAUUUUUUCAACCGACUAUGAGCCAACCUAUUUCUUUUCUUUGUGUGUAUAAGUGCAAAUGUGCUCCAAUUUCUUUCACAAGCAGAUGAGGAAGCUAUUUGUGAUAAUACUUUGAUUGCUAACUUUCUCACAGUUAGUGCAUCGGUCCCAUACAUGAUCCACCAUUCAGCUACAAUGAAAAACAAUGUUGAUAAGUCUAAUGACUCCAACAAAUUCUAUUAUAAACUUAUCGUGAAAUAUGUUUACACUCACUAGAAGACAUUUUUGUUCGAGCAGCAACUGAUGUUGGUUCUCCAAAAGUUCUUCUUGCAUCUUUAAACCAUGUUAGCUGAAUUCAAUAAAUCGUGUUAGUUUAAUCCAACAAAGUAAUUAUUAUAAUUUAAGUAAUUGUGUACCUCAUUUCCAAAUUGGCCAACUGCUGAUGAUGCAGAGUCUAAUUUAGAGUAUACAUUAUGUAUAGCACGUAUAAGGGUACCAUCAUCUCCAACACCGGGUCUGUAUUGGUAUCGAUGAUUCAAAUAAUAUGCUGUUCAAAGAAACACAUACUCUAAUAAGAGAAAUAAUACUUAUGCAACUAAAGAAAUGAAUUGCAAAUUAUGACAUAAUUUAUACUUGCUGCAUGCAAAUCGUGGUAUAAUGUUUUAUACCAUCGGUCUUCAAUUAUCUUUAUGACCCACCUUGCAUCAUGUUUUCUUUCCAAUUCAUCCUUCACUACACGCAUCAACUCAUAUAUUGCCCCCAUAGUAGGAUAUACUUAUGUGUCAACGAUCCGUAAAACUUUGUAAAGAGGUUCAAACACUUGGCACACAUGUUCUGAUUGUGUCCAAAAAGCAUGAUCAAGCACUAUACUUUCCACCAUACGACCUGCAUUUGAACGGCUCAAAUUGUGGUUGGCCCAAUCGUCACUAGUGAAUAGUUGCUUCAACCCUGCUUUCUUCUUAAGUAGGUUGUCUAAUACAAUAUAGUUGGUGGCGAAUCGAGUGGUAGCUGGACGAAUAAUGUCUCAUUUGCAAAAUUCACGCAUCUUUGCCAACAACCAACCGUGAUUGUAAAUAUAAUUUGUGAUCGUUCUAGGUCUUUUUACCACAGUAGCAACAUUCUCUCUCUUCCCCAUUGCCUCAAACAUGAUAUCAAUACAAUGUGCUGCACAUGAUGUCCAAAACACAUUAUGAUGCUUCAUUAACUUUUUCCAGCUUUGACAAAUGCAGAACCGUUGUCGGUCACGACUUGGACAACAUUAUGCUCUCCCACCUCCAUGAUUACAUCCCUCAAUAAUUUGUAAAUAUACUUGUAGUUCUUUAUAUGGUCUGAAGCAUCAACAGACUUAAAAAAAAUUGUCUUUCCCUUGGAGUAUACCAUGAAGUUUAUGAUAGACAAUCUGGUCGAGCCAGUCCAUCCGUCACACAUGAUUGUGCAACCAUUAGUUUCCCAAUUUGACAUCAACUUGUUAACAUACUCGUCAAUGUCUUUAUACUCCAUAUCCAAAUAUUUGUUUCUUAUCUCAUAGGGAGUGGGAGGUUGUACUCCAACAUCGGCCUGUUGACAUCCCACUACCAUAUUUUUGAAAUGAUGUGAUGAUGCUUUCUCAGCAAGGACAUUUUCAUAGAUAAAGAACUUGCUAAUUAGACGCCUCAUUCCCUCCUUCACAUUACCUCCUGUGAAAUAACUCCAAACACUCUUUUGACGUGCUUUGGAUGACUUAUAUAAAUUUUGGGCUAUUGGUGGUGUUGGUUGUGAUUCUCUAAGACUGCCUCCCCGUCUCAUUUGUGCACCACCACUUGUCCCGGAACCUUGUGCUCUAUUAGGAAUUUUAUGAAGGUGUUCUCUUUCCCAUGCUGACUAUUUAGAGGCACGUAAUGCUUGUUUCAAACUGCGUCGUUCUUCAGGUCCCAUAUCAUCAUCACAUUCGUCCUCAUCGUCAUCGUCAUCACUAUCAACCGCUUGGCCAUAGACUUCUCCUCGUAGCCCAGCUCGAAUAUUUUUCAUUCCAUGUGUUAUCUUUUCCUUAUGUUGUUUUUUAUUUUUUAAUAAUAUGCUGAUGAAUGCCUUCACAUCUUGGGGGACAUUAUCGCAUCGUUGGACAUUAUGUGCUGGAUCUAAUCCACUAAAAUGGUACUUAAGUCGUGUCACUCCGCCACUCUUCAUUACCCGACCACAAUAUUUGCAAAUUGUGCCAUGUUUGUUUCCGUCUAUUGGGUCUCCAUGUUCCCAAGCUGGAUCACGUUUAGUAACUCCACUAGACAUCUUAAACGUACCUAUAUUUUUUUUCAUGAAAGUUAGGCAAUUAUUUUUUGGCCAAAAAAUAUAGUAGUGACAGAAACAUAUUAAAUAGGAAGUAAAGAAAAUAGAAAGUAAAGUUAUUUUAUAGAAGAAUUAAAUAGGAAGUAAAGAAAAUGAUUGUAAGAAUUUAAGUAAUUAUAAAAAUAAUAAUAUGGAAUAAUAAAACCUAAUAUUAAUGAAUAAUAAUCCAAUUUGAUAAUAAAAUAAUAAAUAACAUUAAACAUAUUAAAAUUAUUCUAGGGAAUAAUUAUACAUUACUUAAUUACUUCAAAAAAUUAAUAUGCAAGUAUAAAAUUACAAUAAUAUAAAUAUAAGUUCGUAAACUUACCUUAAAUAUGGAACCCUUUGUGUUGAACCUCUGGAAUAGAUCUAGAAUGACUCUGAAAGGGUUAAGGGAAGAAGAAGAAACGAAAAGGUGUAAUAGAUGUUUUAAUUUUCGAAGGGUCAAAAAAUGUGUGAUGAUCUGAUACUCCACCUCUGAGAAUGUGAAAGAAUAACACAGUGGCACACGAUUUUGAAUGGUCUGAAAUUGUAAAAGUUGUCCAUGGUCUGAUACUCCACCAUUAUUUUUGUCCAUGUUCUGAAAUUGUACAAGUUGUAAUUGUAAAAGUUGUCUGUGUUUUGAAUUAUUUAGAUGCUUUUGAAUGAAACCACCAUUAUUUUUGUCCAUGGUCAAAAAAUAUGUGAUCAUCUGAUACUCCACCUCUGAGAAUGUGAAAGAAUAUCACGCGUGGCACACGGUUUUGAAUCUUGAUGCAUGAAACCACCAUUAUUUUUGUCUUGUCAAAAAUUGUACCAUUCCUAAAAGCUGUAAAAGUUGAAUUAUUUAGAUGCUUUUCUUUUCUCACACCGUCACACACCACCUACACACACACACACACACCACCGACACACACACACACACAGGGAUCACACACGUCACCACACACGCACAACAACACAUGCACACACGACUCGUCUCUAGAUCAUUCUCUCAUCUCCUUCUCUCUUCUCUCACAAACACACACACACACAGAUCUCACAGAUCUCUCGAAUUCUCGAUCCUUCUCUCUUCUCCCUUCUCCCAUACACACACAGAGACCUUUCUCGAUCCUUUUUCCACAUGGCAUUCUCCUCAUCCCUCGCCUUCCUCCUCGUCCGCGUAUUCCGCCUCAUCAGCGAACCCAGGAACUCUCUGGCGAGUUCUCUUGAUCCUUCUCCGCCUUCCUCACCGAUCCUACCGACAACAACCCCACCUCUGUCGUUGACUCCAGCGACGACCACCACGACCCCCAAUCGCCCCCAAACCCCGACCUCAACCUCCACAACAACCACCCAUUCUCCUCCUCCCCUCGGAGCCUGCCCCGUCGGCGCCGCACUCGCCUCCGUCUCUGUUCCACAUCUGCUUCAACCAAAACCACACCUGCUUCGCCGUGGGGACAGACCACGGGUUCUGGAUCUACAACUGCGAUCCGUUCUGCGAGCUCUUUCGUCGCGACUUCGACAACGGCGGGGGAAUCGGCGUUAUUGAGGCGCAGAUCUUGGGUUUGAGCAUGGAUUGCAGAGAGAUCUGGGUAGCUAGGGGGACGACGCAGCCUCGGCUGCCUUUCCGACGACGGAUCCACGAUGACUUUUUCGAUAAUAUCGAAUAUAUCGUAAUAUCAUCGAUAAUAUCACGAUAUUUUGACGAUAAUGAGACGGAUACGUGGGAAAAUAUCGGAGCCUCUGAAAAAUGAUAAUAUCGGCGAAAUUUCGCCGAUAUUAUCGAUAUUUAAUACACUGAUCUUGAUUCAUGUUUGAGAUAAGAAAGUCUAAAUUAAAUAUAUAUUGAAAAAUAAAAAUAUACUCAAACGGAAUGAAAUUUUUAAUUUUUUUUAACAAAUAAUAUUAUCUACACUAAUGAAGUAGAAAAGUGAGUUAAACCUCACAAUGGACUUGGCAUAAUAAAUUCCUCUUAACCCACAAAUUAACUAUCAAACGACUUGCUACUGGUGCAGUAUACCUCUGUUCUACAAUUAUUGGCCUCAUGCCCCCCCAAUUAUAAAUGUCCGUCAAAUGAAAGUUCUUCUAUCUCCAUGUGUAUGGAACAUAAUUGCCAAACCAUUAUUGCCAGAUGAAGGGACGAUUGUUGCCAUAGUAACAUUCUAAAGCACAUUAAAAAUACCAAAACAGUUUAACAAUACCAGCACAUUAAAAAUUUAAGAAAACUAACGAAAAGUCCAAAAAAAACUUCUCUUUUAAUGAAAAUUCAUUUUUAAAGGUAUAGUGAAUAGUACCAAGGAAAGGUAUAAAUGUGGUUUUUCGUUAAAAGUGAACAGUACCGGGAGUGUUUUGUUAAAACUCCCUAAAAAAUUUCCUAAUAAUUAAUUUACAAGUGUGAACAAUGUGAAAAAGUAUGCAAACGCUUAUGAUCUCAGUCUCUAUGCUUGGACGUUGGGUAUAUUGUCGUUUGAAUUUUUAAGACCCUACAUACCCUCGUGAAUAUUGUUUUUAGGGGGAGUUCAAAGUAAGCAAAAAAAUAUACAAGCACUGGUGAUUGUAUUUUUUACGUUUAGACGAUAGUUAUAUCGUUGUUUGGAUUUUUAAAACCCUCCAAACCCUCAUGAAUAAUUUUUUUCUUUGAUUACAAAAUUUAGAAAAAUUCAUAAUAAUUAAUGUAGAAGUGUGAAAAAUGUAGAAAAAAAAAAUAAUAUACAAUCUCUCAUAAUGACAAACUUUACACUUUUUGUGAAGGGGUCAACUCCGACAUUCAACACUAUAAACCCAAACCCUAGAUUUAUAUUUAGCCGUCGAUCAUCAUUUACGCUCUAUUUUUCUCACUGGAUUUGGUUUUUAAGAUUUUCUUUUUUGAAAACAUGAUUUUUUAGCUGGUGCAAAAAAAUGAGUAGUUCAUAUUGUUGAUACCACAUUUUGAUGUUUACGAUUAACUGAAAUAUGAGUCGAUAUUAUAUGUUUCUUGAGAUUUUAUAAACUCUGAGCAAUAUUUUCACAAAUCGUAAAAAAUUUGAAUGUAUAUCAACGUUCCGAAGCAUUCAUUUUUCUACAUGCGCUAAAAGAUCAUGUUUAAAAAAAAAGAUAAUCUGAAAAAACAAAAUCCAGUGAGAAGAAUAGAGAGUAAAUAAUGAUGAACGAUUAAAUAUAAAUCUAGGGUUUAUGGAUUAUGGUGCUGAAUUUCAUAGUUGACCCCUUUAUGAAAAUUGUACAACUUGUCAUUACGAGUGAUUGUAUAUUAUUAUUAUAUUUUACAUUUUUCACACUUAGCCAUUAAUUACUAUGAAUUUUAUUAGGCUCCACAAUCUUGAAAAAAAAGGCUCUUCAUUUUGCAUAUCGUUGGACGUUUGAUAUAUUGGAAUAAUGUGCUAAUGUUUUUUCAUUAGGCUGUUAUUUUAGGGUUUGUAAUACUUGAAAGACAAAUGUGUUUUUAUGUUUUGAAGUGAUAUUUAUGUGAUAAUGUGUUGUGUAGAUACUAAUUUAGUAUUACGUUUUCAUUUGAUUAUUUAUUGAAGUAAAAUCUAUUCUUUUUAAGGGGUAUUGAAUUAGGUCAUAUUACCCGUUAAUAUUAAUAGUCGAGUUCGAGUCAAGUCUUAUUAUCCCUUCAUUUUAACGGUUUGUUACACAACACGACCCAUUAAGAUAUCAAGUAUGUCAUGAAAACGAUAUGAACACGAGAAACACUGGAGGAACGCCAAGUCUAGAUAAUACCACCCUUUUAUUAAUAGAAAGAAAUAUAUAAAAGAUUGAAUGAUAAGCAGAGAAUAGGAAAUGCCUAAAGUACCCUUGCUUAUAUAGUUGUCUUUGCAAGCCAAAUUUUGGUUGCUUGUUUGUCUAGGUCAAAUCCUUCAAACUGGAUUUACUCACAUUGCUCUCAUCCCCAGACGCUAGUUAGAGUCUGUUUGGAAUUUGCUUAAAUUUUUCUAAAAGCAGUUUUUUCAAUAGUUGGCUAAAAUUGUGUUUGGUAAAUGAAAACUAAAAAAUGUUUUUUUUUAUUCAAAAUCAUGGGUGUAAAAUAGCAAAAUGUAGAACCAAUUCUACCCAUACUUCUAAAUAAACACUUUUUUGAUAGGAGCAUGUGAAUAGAUUCAAUUAAUGAAACUUUCAUAUUGACAAUCAUACCCUCAUCUAGUUUACCAAACACUUACCUGCUUUUUUCACAGUUGUUUAUUCUCAUAACAUAACAAAAGCAAUUUUAAAAAAACUACAACAAUCUCAAACUAGCUCUUAGCCUAUCUUCCAGCACUUAUUAUUGCGCAAUAAUUAAAAGAAUUUUUUCUUCAUCUAUAGUUUGAGUAGUUUAAACUUUUCUCUCAUUAACAUUAUAAGGUACAAGAAAACUAAAUUAAUCGAGCAUAGUAAGUGAGAUAAAUCAAGCUAGAUCAAUAUCGAGACUUUUCCAAAUCCACGUUCUGUCAGAUUGUCGCUACAUUAAUUAGAGAAUUAGUAUCAACCACUUAUGUUUAUAGUAAAGGAAAGACAAGGGCAGUUAGCUACAUGAAUCACGACUACUGUAGUAUACCUAUGUUCUACAAUUAUUGGCCUCAUGUCCCCCAAUUAUAUAUGUUCGUCAAAUGAAAGUUCGUCUAUCUCCACGUGAAGGGACCACUAUUGCCAAAUGAAAUUAACCUAGGUGAUGUCACACUGUUAUUGAUUGUUGUCACCAACCAAUGGUUAAGAAGGAUUGAUCUUGAUUCAUGUUUGAGAUAAGAAAGUUUGAAUUAAAUAUAUAUCGAAUAAUAAAAAUAUGCUCAAACGUGAUGUAAAAAUUAAUUUUUUAAUAAACGAUAUUAUUUACAUUAAUGAAGUAGAGGAGUGAGCUAAAACUCAUAAUGAACUUGACAUAAUAAAAUUCCUCUUAACCCACAAAUUAAAUAUCCAACGACUUCGUAUUGGUGAAGUAUACCUCUGUUCUACAAUUAUUGGCCUCAUGGCCCCCAAUUAUAAUUGUCUGUCAAAUGAAAGUUCGUCUAUCUCCACGUCUAAGGACCAUUAUUGCUAGAUGAAGGGACAAUUAUUGCCAUAGUAACAUUAAAAAUACCAAAAUAGUUUAAAUAUACCAGCACAUUAAAAGUUUCUUAAUAAUUAAUCGUGAUCUCAGUCUCUAUGCUUGGACGUUGGUUAUAUCGUCGUUUGAAUUUUUAAUACUCUACAAACCCUUGUGAAUAGUGUUUUCAUGGGAGUUCAAAGUAUGCGAAAAAUGUGAAAAGAAUUUACAAACACUGGUGAUCGCAUUCUCUAUGUUUAGACGAUAGUUACAUCGUCGUUUGGAUUUUUAAAACCCUCCAAACCCUUAUGAAUAAUUUUUUUGUUUGCGUACAAAAUUAAGAAAAAAUCAUAAUAAUUAAUGUAGAAGUGUGAAAAAUGUAAAAUAAUAAUAAUACUAUCUCUUAUAAUGACUAGCUUUUCAAUUUUUGUAAAGGGGUCAACUCCAAAAUUCGGCACCAUAAUCCCAAACCCUAGAUUUAUAUUUAGCCGCCAAUCAUCAUUUACGCUCUAUUUUUCUCACUGAAUUUAUUUUUCAGAUUAACUUUUUUUUAAAACAUGAUCUUUUAGCGGAUGCAAAAAAAUGAACGGUUCAGAUUGUUGAUAUCACGUUCUUAUUUUUACGAUUAACUGAAAUAAUGAGUCGAUAUUAUAUGUUUCUUGAGAUUUUAUAAAUUCUGAGCAAUAUUUUCACUAACUGUAAAAAUCUGAACGUGAUAUCAACUUUCCGAACCAUUCAUUUUUCUACAUCCGCUAAAAGGUCAUGUUUUCAAAAAAAGUUAAUCUGAAAAAUUAAAUCCAGUGAGAAGAAUACAGUGUAAACAAUGAUCGACGAAUAAAUAUAAAUCUACAGUUUGUGUAUUAUGGUGCCGAAUUUCAGGGUUGACCCCUUCAUGAAAAUUGUAAAACUUGUUAUGACAAGGGAUUGUAUAUUAUUUUUUAUUUUAUUUUUUUACAUUUUUCAUACUUAGCCAUUAAUUAUUAUGAAUUUUUAUUAGGCUCCACAAUCUUGAAAAAAAAAGGCUCUUCUUUUUACAUAUCGUUGGACGUUUGAUAUAUUGGAAUAAUGUACUAAUCUUUAUUCAUUAAGCUCUUAUUUUAGGGUAUGUAAUACUUGAAAGAUAAAUGUGUUUUUAUGUUUUGAAGUGAUAUUUAUGUGAUAAUGUGUUGUGUAUAUACAAAUUUAGUAUUACGUUUUCAUUUGAUUAUUUAUUGAUCUAAAAUCUAUUCUUUUUAACGAGUAACGGGUUAGGUCAUAUUACCCAUUAAUAUUAACAGUCGAGUUCGAGUUAGGUCUUAUUAUCCCUUCAUUUUAACGAAUUGUUACACGGUACGACCCAUUAAGAUAUCGAGUAUGUCACGAAAACGACAUGAACAUGAAGAACCCGAGAGGAACGCCAAGUCUAGAUAAUACCAGCCCUUCAUUAAUAGAAAGAAAUAUAUAAAAGAUUGAAUGACAAACAUAGGAUAUGAAAUGCCUCAAGUACCCUUGCUUAUAUAGUUGUCUUUGCAAGCCAAAUUGAGGUUGCUUGUUUGUCUAGGGCAAAUCCUUCAAACUAGAUUUUCUCUCAUUGUUCUCAUCCCCAGACGCCAGAUAGAGUUGGUUUGGAAUUGCUUAAAUUUUUCUAAAAGCAACUUUUUUUAAUAGUUGGCUAAAAUUGUGUUUAGUAAAUGAAUUUUUUUUUUCUUUCAAAAUCAUGGGUGUAAAAUAACAAAAAGUAGAAGCAGUUCUAUCCAUACUUUCAAAUAAACACCUUUUUUUUUAUAGGAGCGGGUGAAUAGUUUCAAUUAAUGAAACUUUCAUACUGACAAUCCUACCCUAGUCUCUUUUUUGACUAAAUACAUUUUUAGCACUAUAGUUUACCAAACAAUUACCUAUAUUUUUUUCAUAGUUGUUUAUUCUCAUAGAACAGCAAAAACAGUUUUAAAAAAACUACAACAAUCUCAAACUAGCUCUUAGCCAAUCUUCCAACACUUAUUAUUGCAAUAAGUGAAAGAAUUUUUUCUUUAUCUACAGUUUGUGUAGUUUAAACUUUUCUCUCAUCAUUAACAUUAUAUGGUACAAGAAAACUAAAUUAAUCGAGCAUAGUAAGUGAGAUAAAUCAAGCUAGCACAAUAUCGAGACUUUUCCAAAUUCACGUCCUGUCAGAUUGUCAUUGUACAUUAAUUGGAGAAUUAGUAUCAACCACUUAUGUUUAUAGUUAAGGAAAGACAAGGGCAGUUAGCUACAUGAAUCAGGACUACUGCACUAUACCUAUGUUCUACAAUUAUUGGCCUCAUAUCCUCCAAUAAUAUAUGUCCGUCAAAUGAAACUUCAUCUAUCUCCACGUGAAGGGACCACUAUUGCCAGAUGAAAUUAACCUAGGUGAUGUCACACUAUUAUUGAUUGUUGUCAUUAACCAAUGGUUAAGAAGGAUUCAUCUUGAUUCAUGUUUGAGAUAAGAAAGUCUAAAUUAAAUAUAGGAUAAAAGACUGUUUAUUACUCUCAUGUUUUGUCGUUUUCAACAUUUAGUACAUCAAGUUUUUUUCGUCUCAGAUUCAUACCUAAAGUGUAAAUUUUGGGACGAUCUCAUACAUCCGAUAGUCAAACUGUUAAAUCUGCCGUUAAUUGUGACGUGGCGCCCAUGUGGACAAUGACUAGGCGUCACGUGUCAUCCACGUUUUUUUUUCCUUCUUUCUUCUUCUUCUUCUUCCUUCGACUGCAACUUUUUUUUUUCUUCCUCCUUCUCCUUCUUCCUUCCUCCUUCUCCUCCUUCUUCCUUCUUCUUCCUUCUCAUUCUUCUUCUUCUUCCUCCGAAUCUAGGGAAGUUUUUUUUUUCUUUCUUCUUCCUCCUUCUUCCUUCUUCUUCCUUCUCAUUCCUCCUUCUUCCUUCUUCUUCUUCUUUUUCUUCCUCCGAAUCUGGGUUGCAGUUUCGGUUUUUUUUCUUUUUUCUUUUUUUGUUCUUUCUUCUUCCUCCUCCUUCCUCUUUCUUCUUCCUCUGACUGCAACUUUUUUUUUCCUUCCUCUUUCUUCUCCUUCUUCCGUCCUCCUUCUUCCUUCUUCCUUCCCCUUCUUCUCCUUCUUCCUUCCCCUUCUUCUCCUUCUUCCUUCCUCCUUAUUUCUUCUUCCUUCUUCCUUCUUCUUCUUCCUCCAAAUCUAGGGAAGAUGAAGUUUUUUUUUUUUUUUUGGUGAGGAAGAUGAAGAAGAAGAAGAAGGAGAAGAAGGGGAAUGAAGAAUGAGGAAGGAAGAAGGAGAAGAAGGAGGAAGAAAAAAAAAAAUUGCAGUCGGAGGAAGAAGGAGAGAAGAAAAAAAAAAGAAAAAAAAAAUCGAAUCUGCAACCCAGAUUCGAAGGAAGAACAAGAAGAACAAGAAAAAGAAGAGGAAGGAAGAAGGAGGAUGGAGAAGGAAGAAGGAUGAAGAAGAAGAAAAAAAAAACUUCCUCAGAUUCAGAGGAAGAAGGAAGAAGGAGAAGAAGGGGAAGGAAGAAGGAAUAAGGAAUAAGGAAGAAUGAGGAAGGAAGAAGGAGAAGGAGGAAGAAAACAAAGAAGAGUUGCAGUCGGAAGAAGAAGAAGAAGAAAAGGGUUUAGGGUUUAGGGUUUACACUUUAGGUAUGACUCUGAAACGAAAAAAACUUGAUGUACUAAAUGUUGAAAACCACGAAACAUGAGGGUAGUAAACAAUCUUUUACCCUUAAAUAUAUUAUUGAUAAGUAAAAAUAUACUAAAACGGGAUGAAAAUUAAAUAUUUUUUUAAUAAAAUAAUAUUAUCUACACUAAUGAAGUAGGGAAGUGAGUUAAAUCUCACAAUAGGAACAAUAGGAAGAAAUUUUUCAGAUGACCUGGUACUUGAGUCGAUCUGGAGUACCGAGCUAAUAAUAGGCUAACAUGUGGCCUGCUUUAUAUUUUAUUAAAAAUUUGGUGACUUCGAAACAGUGGACCUCGAUAACUGAAAAGGGACCGUCAGACAGAGAAAAAAUAGAUUUGAAUUUUUUUUAUACUGUCAGCUUCUCAUUUCCCUAGAACUUUUUGUUCAAAAUUUUUAUUAGUUUAUAGGUACUUCAGGAUUUUUUCUAUUCUGGGUUUUUUUUUCAACCAUUCAGGAAUUCAAGCAUAGUAUGUUUUGGGCUUUGAAGAAAACAAGAUCACUACAACCUGCAUCCAAACGGCAGCAACCAAGCAAUCUCCGACCAAAACAUCACCCCACCUACAUGACUGCAUCCAAGCGGAAUAUGAACACCCACCCGAAUAUGAACACCCGCCAUCAGGAACACCCACCCGAAACUCCAGUUUUCAUCGCCCAAUUGAAUUGUUUUGUUCUUCUCUAUUCAUGCUCAACUGGAACAUGAUUUUGAAGGAGAUGGCAGAAUUUAAAAUUAAUAGUUGAGUUAUGAUUUUGAAUAAUGUAAAUGAAAAAGUUUCUUUUUUCUUCAAAUUCCCGCAGAAGGGAGAAAGGAAGCAGAGACUCUUGGGGGAAGAGAAAGGAACGAGGGAUUAGUGGGCCUAGACCCCAAUAAAUUUGAUUUUUUAUUCUUUAGAGUGGUCGGGAAUAGGUGUCAAACUACAGCUGGUUGAACUCCAGGUCAGCUGAUGAACCAGAAACGUGAAAAAUUUCUCCAGUUAUUGUCAUCGUAACAUUCCAAAGCACAUUAAAAAUACCAAAACAGUUCAAAAAUACCGCACAUUAAAAAUUUCAUAAUAAUUACUUUACAAGUGUGAACAAUAUGAAAAAAAGUAUGCAGACGCUCAUGAUCUUAAUCUCUAUGCUUGGACGUUGGGUAUAUCGUCAUUUGAAUUUUUAAGACCCUACAAACCCUCAUGAAUAAUAUUUUUAAGGGGAGUUUAAAGUAUGCGAAAAAUGUGAAAACAAUAUACAAACGCUGGUGAUUGCAUUUUCUAUGUUUAGACGAUAGUUACAUCGUCGUUUGGAUUUUUAGAACCCUCCAAACCCUCAUGAAUAAUUUUUUUGUUUGAGUACAAAAUUCAGAAAAAAAUCAUAAUAAUUAAUGUAGAAGUAUGAAAAAAUGUAAAAUAAUAAUAAUAUACAAUCGCUCAUAAUGACAAGCUUUACAAUUUUUGUGAAGGGGUCAACUCCGAAGUUCGACACCAUAAUCCCAAACCAUAGAUUUAUAUUUAGCCAACGAUCAUCGUUUACACUCUAUUUUUCUCAUUGGAUUUAGUUUUUUAGAUUUUCUUUUUUGAAAACAUGAUCUUUUGGUGGAUGCAAAAAAAUGAACGGUUCAGAUCAUUGAUAUCACGUUCUGAUGUUUUGAUUAACUGAGAUAAUGAGUCGAUAUUAUAUGUUUCUUGAGAUUUUAUAUACUCUAAGCAAUAUUUUCACUAACCGUAAAAAAUCUGAACAUGAUAUCAAUGUUCCGAACCAUUCAUUUUUCUACAUCCGAUAAAAGGUCAUGUUUUCGAAAAAAGAUAAUCUGAAAAAUAAAAUCCAGUGAGAAGAAUAGAGCGUAAACAAUGAUCAAUGGUUAAAUAUAAAUAUAGGGUUAGGGGAUUAUGGUGACAAAUUUCAGAGUUGAUCCCUUUAUGAAAAUUGUAAAACUUGUCAUUACAAGUGAUUGUAUAUUAUUUUUUAUUUUAUUUUUUACAUUUUUCACACUUAGCCAUUAAUUAUUAUGAUUUUUUAUUAGGCUCCACAAUCUUGAAAAAAAAAAAAGCUCUUCAUUUUGCAUAUCUUUGGACGUUUGAUAUAUUGGAAUAAUGUACGAAUGUUUUUUCAUUAGGCUCUUAUUUUUUUGGUAUGUAAUACUUGAAAGGCAAAUGUAUUUUUAUGUUUUGAAGUGAUAUUUAUGUGAUAAUGUGUUGUGUAGAUACAAAUUUAGUAUUACGUUUUCAUUUGAUUAUUUAUUGAAGUGAAAAUCUAUUAUUUUUAAAGGGUUUCGAGUCAGGUCUUAUUAUCCCUUCAUUUUAAAGGGUUGUUACACGAUACGAUCCAUUAAGAUAUCAAGUAUGUCACUAAAACGACACGAACACGAUGAACACAAGAGGAACGCCAAGUCUAGAUAAUACCACCCUUUCAUUAAUAGAAAGAAAUAUAUAAAAGAUUGAAUGAUAAGCAGAGGAUCGGAAAUGCCUAAAGUACCCUUGCUUAGGUAGUUGUCUUUGCAUGCCAAAUUGAGGUUGCUCAUUUGUCUAAGGAAAAUCCUCCGAAUUGGAUUUUCUCUCAUUUCUCUCAUCCCCAAACCCCAGUUAGAGCUGGUUUGGAAUUGCUUAAAUUUUUGUAAAAGUAAUUUUUUUUUUAAUAAUUAGCUAAAAUUGUGUUUGAAAAUAAUUUGUUUUUUCUUUCAAAAUCAUGGGUGUAAAAUAGCAAAAAGUAGAAGCAGUUCUACCUAUACUUCUAAAUAAACACUUUUUGUUUUUAAUUUUUUUUUAAUUUUUAUAGGAGCAGUUGAAUAGUUUCAAUUAAUGAAACUUUCAUAUUGAAAAUCAUACCCUCGUCUCUUUUUUGGCUAAAAACAUUUUUAACACUAUAGUUUACCAAACACUUACCUAAUUUUUUUUUCACAAUUGUUUAUUCUUAUAGCACAGCAAAAGCAAUUUAAAAAAAAACUACAACAAUCUCAAACUAGCUCUUAGCCCAUCUUCCAGCACUUAUUAUUGCACAAUAAGUGAAAGAAUUUUUCUUCAUCUAUAGUUUGAGUAGUCUAAACUUUUCUCUCAUUAACAUUAUAAGGUACGAGAAAACUAAAUUAAUCGAGCAUAGUAAGUGAGAUAAAUCAAGCUAGCACAAUAUCGAGACUUUUCCAAAUCCACGUUCUGUCAUAUUAUCACUUCAUUAAUUGGAGAAUUAGUAUCAACCACUUAUGUUUAUAGUAAAGAAAGACAAGGGCAGUUAGCUACAUCAAUCACGACAUUAAUUUAAUUUAAUGUGACCCAUUAAACACGUUCUGCAAAAACAUAUUGAAGAAGAAAUGCUUAUAUAUAGGCAGCCUAUUUUUGUGCUAUAGGUAAAAGAAAAUUUUAAUUUUCAAUUACCAGAGGAGCAAUAUGUAUUGAGUUUUCUUAGUCAUCUACAAGAGGCAAAUUGACCGUACAAACUUGCUUGUUUUCCUGUAUACAAAGUAAGUGCGAAUUCACUUCAUUUUCUUUUUCAUUUCCAAUUAAACAUACUUUUAUUGAUACAUUAAAAAAUUAUCACGCAUUCAUUCUCAAAAGAAUAAAUUUCAUUUCAAACCGUGUUAGACAACUUAUUAUUAGUACCAAUAACAUCUCAAUUUUCAAUUUAUAAUCCUUUUUUUUUUCCUUUCAUCUGGCUUGUUUCUUCUCCAUUGCUAUGUUUGCACAUAUCCAUUGUUUUGAAGCCUUUUGUUUCAUACUUACCUGUUAAGGGAACACUGCAGCUUUCUUCUUAAUAUCUUUUAGUUGAAUAGUUUGGCUGUGUACAUAGGAAAAUUUUAGUUGUGACGGAAACACGGAUGAUACAUCACAUGUUUUUAUGUAAGUGGUGAAAUUUUUUAAUUUUUAAGCUAUUAACCUUUUAACACACAUAUCCAACCAUUUACAUAGAGACACGUGAUGUACCGUCUUGUGUGACGGUCACAUUGAAAAAUCUCUCGUGUAUAUACAUAUGUUUUGGAUUUAUGUCUAUUAAGUAGAACCAUGCACUGAUAUUAGACAACUUAUUAUUAGUACCAAUAACAACCCACUUUUCAAUUUAUAAACCUUUUUUUUCCUUUCAUCUGGCUUGUUUCUUCUCCAUUUGCUAUGUUUGCACAUAUCCACUGUUUUGAAGCCUUUUGUUUCAUACUUACCGGUUUAGGGAACGCUGCAACUUUCUUCUUAAUAUUUUUUAGUUGAAUAGUUUAGCUGUGUAUAUAAGGUCUAAAAUAUCGAUGAUAUCGGAAAUAUCGGUAGUUCAAAAACACAAAAAUUUCGAUGGAAAUAUCAUGAUAUUAUCGAUAUCGAUAAAAAUUGAAUAAAAACCACGGAAAUUGUAAGAAAAACUUGGAAAUUUUUAUUGAAACUUUGCAGGAUGUUUAUUUAGUCAAUUAUCUAGUAGUUUAUUGCAAAAAAUUGGAAGGAAAUGCAUUGCAUGAUGGAUUUAACUGAUUUAAGUUGAUUAUAUACCGAGUUGGCAAACAUUGUGAGUGUAGAAAAUAUGUAGUAAUUAAUGAAAGAAGUUUAAACACACUAUAAUCAUUUAUAUAUAAUGAAUUAGUACAAUAUUUUACACUUUAUACAUUGCAUGGUAAGAUACAUAAGUGACUUAGUAUCACAUAGAGUUCCUAUCAAAGUCUAAAAUAUCGAUGAUAUCGGAAAUAUCGGUAGUCCAAAAACACGGAAAUUUCGAUGGAAAUAUCGAGAUAUUAUCGAUAUUUUAGACCUACAUAUGUUUUGGAUUUAUGUCUAUUAAGUAGAACCAUGCAUUGAUAUUGUCUUCAAUCAACCACUUAGGCGUAUACAUGACUGGUGUCAAACUUAUGGUGUGAUUGUUUGUUGUAGGCUUCGACCCCAUGGGGGAGCCAACGAAUUUGGGAAAGACAGUGAUGCCAAAGGAAAGUGAGGCUGAAAUUGAAAGUGAUGAUCAAGUAAGUGAUUCUCAUCUCUUAGACGGUAAAUGUAGUUGGGUUUAAGAGCACUUUAAACCGUAUGAGGUUAAGACCCUGUUAAGCGUCUUGAGAAAAAGAAAUCUUUGUACGUUAAAGAACAUGUAGAUGCUUCGGGUUUUUAAACGGUAUAAAACAUGUGGAAAGUACUAGAUAUAUAUGAUAGAAACUAUUUACAUGUAGGUGGAAAUUUAUUUACAACUCUAUUUACAAUAAAGAACAAAAUAGGUGUCAAAAACGGGGUUCAUAAAUUUUGCAAAUUUAGAGUAGUGUUGAACUUAUGAUUCCUUUAUCAAAGUAAAAUUACAUCCUAAGCUAAUUGUAAUUAGUAAAAUACACAGAGUUUGGUGUAUAGGAGUUGGAAAGCAAUUCAUUCCAGUUAAAUUAGUGGAAGGGUUUAAACAAAAAAGUAUAGCUAAAAGGUUAAAUUAAUCACGUUUAAACAAAAAAAGUAUAGCUAAAAGGUUAAAUUAAUCACAAACAAUAAGUGAGAUAAAUCUGGCUAGCACAAUAUCGAGACUCUUCCAAAUACGUUAUGUCAGACUCACUAUAUUAAUUGGAGAAUUAGUAUCAACCACUUAUGUUUAUAGUUAAGGAAAGAUCAGGGUAGUUAGCUACCUGAGUUAUGAAAUUUAUUUAAUUUGGCCAAGUAAACACCUUCUGCAAAAACAUACUGAAGAAACAAUGGUUAAAUAUAGCCAGUAUCAUUAUGCUAUUGUUAAAAGAAAAUUUAUUUUCAUAUACCAGAGGAUGGCAAGUAAUAUUAUUGAGUUUUCUUAGUUAUCUAUAUGAGGCAAAUUAACCAUACAAACUUGCUUGUUUUCUAUAUACAAAGCAGAAGCGAACUCAGUUCAUUUUAAUUCUGUUUUUUAUGAGAAGUACUGUUAUUGACAUUAAAAAAUUAUCACAACACUCAUUCUCACAAGAUUUUGAGUUCGAUUCCCUUACCAACUUGUCCAUGGCUCGUCAGGGAAAACAUUUUUUUUAUUAAUUUUAUUAUUAUUAAGAGAAUGAAAAGAAUUUGAAACUCUUACAAUAAUUUAGGGGAGAGAGAGUUUCAAACCCAAGACAUAUAGGUAGAAAUCCACUAGGAAUAUUUUUUCAUUGUGUUCGGAACACGGGUAGUACUUACGUGUUUUUAUAUAAGUAGUGGAAAAUUUAUUUUUUAAGUUAUUAACCUGUUAACACACAUAUCUCAUCAUUUAUAUAGUAACACAUGAUGUAUCAUCCUGUGUUUCGAUCACACUAAAAAUCUCUUAUCUACUAAGAUAUUAGACCACAUGUAAUCAGGUUGAUAUGAAUAUUUAGUAGCAACAUUCCACAAUAACUCCGAAUGCAAUUGGCGGGGUUUUUUUUGUUUCUUACAAUAGUUUGCUCGAAGUAUCUCAGUUGAUUGUGUGCCUAACGAAAUAUUUGAAUCAAUGCAGAGAACGAUCUCAGCCGUUAAAAUGGCACAUGACAUGGAAAAGCAGUGGCGUAAUUUGUCUGAACUGUCCGGUGAGCGGUGUAUCUAUAGAGUUCCUGAGCGUCUACGGCAAGUAAAUGAGAAAGCAUAUACACCUCAAGUAGUCUCUAUAGGCCCACUUCACCAUGACAAC